GACUGCGAGGUUGUAACAUGAUAUGGGCUGGGCUGCUCACUGGACUUGGCCCGUUAAGUGAUUUCCCGUGUCGUGCUUGACUCAUUGAAAAAGUGCGUCGAGUUUGAACAUUUAAUUGUCAUCAGUGGCGGACCAAUAACUAAAAUGAGGGGGCUUAGUUCAAAAAAAUUUAUUUAACUUAGAUUUUUUUAAUAUUCACUCGAAUAUAUUUUAAGUUUUAUAAACUUAAAUUUUAUUACUUUUUUUUUAAAUUCUAAAUAAUAAUUCUAAAUAACAAUAGUAAUAAAUUAUUAUUUUUAAAUGCAUGAAAAUAUUAUUUUUUGAAGUAGUAUUUUAAAUACGUGAAAAUAUUAUUUUUCGAAAUAGUUUCCACAAAAUAUUUAAAAAAAUAAAAUAAUGUGGCUAAUGGGAUUUGAACUAAGGUAUUAAAAUUAUUAAAUAAUACUCUUACCAUUGAACCACAAGUCUUUUAAUAUCUAAAAAAUGUGUCUAAAUUAUUUUAUCUAAUUUUUUCAAAAAGGGCUUGGGGUACAUUUAAAAGAAAACUUAAUGGUUCAGGGGCUGAAGCCCCUCCUGGGCCUUAAUUGAGUCCGCCCAUGAUUGUCAUGCAAUAAAAAUAUGUAAUGCGUGCGCGAUGGAUUGAAAUUUCACGAGGACUAUUUACGAACAACACAUUUUACUUUUAGUAUAUGAUUUUAGAAUUAGAUCACAUUAGUUGUCAAAUUAGUAAUUAUCUACGAACCAUACGAAAUGCGUGAACUAAAUUUUUUUAUUCAAUAUUCGUUGUCAAUUUUCCACAUCCUUAUCUUCAAGCACACAAAAGAGUUAAUAAUUCUGAAAUUAAUUAGUAUCUGUCUUGGCGUUGAUGAUGGAUCAAAAUCAAUGUGAACGUGUGGAUUCAAACAUGUAAAUUGUUUUUAUCUAACUAAUAUUAUUAUUAUAAUAAUAAUUAUUAUUAUUUUGUCUUUGAUGAAAUAUCCAACUAAAUACCAUAACAGGAGGGAAAAUUAGAAACUUGAAAAGUAGCUGCGGCAGUAGCAUUCACAUUGAGGGAUAUUAAUUUGUCAUGGUUCAAAAUUGAGAAAAUGAAUAUAAUAAAUCCAUCAUCAUCAUCAUCCUCGAUUGCUCAUAUCAUAUCAAUAGCUUUCACUCAUAAUUAGGUCGGUUCAAUUUGUCAAAGCCAAAUCCCAUUAAUGGUUUUGGUAGGUCUAAGCAAGAAAAAUAAAAAUUAAAGAUCCGAGGUAAGGGACCUCCAAUUCCAAAGGAAAAAAAAAAAAUGUGCGUGGUGCCCACUAAUUUACACUCCCCCCCCUCCUUUUGCUUUUGAUCCCGUUAAUAAUUACAAUCAAUGGUUACAAAUCUCAACUAUUUAGAUCUCAGUAGAUAUCAUUCAUCAUAAACAACCGCUAAAAAUAUUCUUAAAUCAUAUGUAAAAUAGACAUGAACAAUCAUGAUUCAUGAUAUUAAAAUUUUUUUUUUUAUCAUCUGGACUCCGAAUGUUUUGAAAAUUGACACGUACCCUUUUUAUUUAUUUAUUUAUUUUGAUAUAUUAAUUCAUCGGACCGUAUUUUUUGAAAUCUAUGUAAAAGAUUAGAUGUAUUUUACGGAAGGGAGCAAAGCAAUGGAGGAGCUGCACGUGUGAUGUUGACCCAGAGGGCUGCAAACUUAAAAAUAUUGGAGAUACAAUUAAGCCUUCUUCGAAAUGGACGAGACGAGUCUUUUUCUUCUGGAAUAAUGAAUUAAUGUGAUCAGCCCUGAUAAUUAAAUUAAUUAUCUAUCACUGUGUAAGAAGAAUAAUUAAUAAAUAAAUAAAUAAAUAAAUUGGUGCCGUGUUUAUUGAGACCUCCGGGUGGAAGAAAUUGAGACGUCCAUUUUAAGCUAACCAAUCCAACUAACCUAAAACUUUGAACAGUAGACGUUUUAGAAAUUAGGAAGCCUUUUUUUUUUUAUCAAUUAUCACCACCAGGUUGUUAAUUAAAAAGUCAAAUAUUUCGGAAUGGUCCACACACCCACACGUACGCGAUAUAAUUCAAUUAUUAAAUUUCAUUAAUUUUUAUAAAAAUACUUUGGGGGGUAGUGUGCGCGCGUGUACAUAUGUAUAUAUAUAUUACAAUUAAUUAAAGACUCUUGAUUUUCAAACCCGUGGAAUUAGACUUUUUGUUGCCUUGUCUUUUGGUACACUCCAUCCAAGCACUCCAAAAUUUAACGAAAUGGUUUGUAGUUUUUUUUUUCUUUUUUUUUAAAAAUUCAUUUCAUUUUCACGCCAACAACAAAAUAUUUUAAUUGAAAAAAUCAAUAUGAUCAGGUUAUAUUUAAAAUACAACUGUUGUAUCAUGUAAUGUCCUCAUUUUUCAUUAACAAUAUCAAAUAUUUCCUUUACGCUCUCGUAUUUUUCUUUUUUUUUUUCAAUAAAAUUAGACAUAAUAUAUAUCAUAAGUUUGGAGUAUACGAAUAAUUAAAGAAGAAAUAUUAGAUAGACUAUGCGAUAAAUUACAGCCUUUAAAUAAAAAUCUUCGUGUGAUCUAAGAUGUCAUUACUUAGUUUUUAUAAAUUUGAUGUUAUGUGUCUAUUGACAAGCGUAUUACAGUUGGUAUUUAAUUAACUAUUCAUGUAAGCAUUCUUUCAAAAUGAAAGAUAAAUACAAACAAAGAAAAUGAUUGAUAACACAUGGGGUUUGAGGGGACGCUCGUGUGACAAAAGGAAAUAUUGUCAAGAUUAAACUCUUGGCUUUUCUAAGGAGUGGGGCAAAGGGAAAGAGAGUGGUAUGCACUUUAUUCAAAAUCCCAUUUUGAAAAAGGGGGAAAAAAGAAAAAGGCAAAAAAGAAAAAAAAAACGAAACCCAAAAAUAUUUAUUAAAUAAAGGGGGACGGUCCAUAAAUCUGCCUGGUUUCUUUGCGAGGAUUCCGCUGUUUUCUAGUGAAACUUAAUCUUAUUUUAAUGCUAAAUAAUAAUAAUACUUCAACAACAAUAAUUAUAGUUAUUAUUUAAAACAUGGAAGCAAAAUGCGAAUCUAACGGGAACUAAUGAGAAUAGGAUGCCCUCGUGCGUAUUGCAUACAUGCAGACAAAUUGUGAUAUAAGAAAAUAAUAAAAGAGUGAUUACAAAACCCAACACCCUUUGCACUAACCCUAACCCUAACCCUAACCAUAACCAAAGGCUCCAUCUUUUUAAAACUUUGUUUUGUCUUAAUAUUUAUGUACAUGCAUGUAUGAUACCCAUCACUUUCCCGAGAAAAAUAUUGUCUCUUCUUCCGUUGUAUAUACAAUACCCAAAGGAUUCUUUCUUUCUCUCUUUCAUUGUUGUAUGUGCAUCAAUUAUUCUUUUAAUAUCAAUUUUGAAUCAUUCUAUCAAUAUCAGUGAUGUAAGAAUGAAACGCAUGCUUGUAUAUUCUAUAAAUAAUUAUGCUCAUCAUAUCCUUUUUGUUUAUAUACGUACAUCAUUGACCUAAACUAUUUAAUGCCUUAAUAUUUAAAUUAAGGGAUGUUAUUUUGGCACUAUGUUACCUAACAUGGUCGUUUUUGGUGGAUGUGUUAUCCUUUUAUUGUCAAUUUUAUUCAACAUGCCUUCCACAAGAAAGUAGUUCCCAGAUCGCUAGCUAUCUUAGACUUUUUUCCCAUUGAAAAUUUUUGUUACAUUGACAAUUUUGUUUGGAGAUAUGUCUCCUUUUUCAAGGAGAAAUACAUCUUGUAUAAGAAAAGAAAUUAUUUGUCUACAAAAAAUAAUAAUUAUAUUCACAUAGGUUGGAUUCACUUAUCUGUAUAACACAAUAAUUAAUUUAUGUUCCAGUAGAAAAUUUCCAGUGUGAGAGAAGUUAUAGAUCCAUUGAGAGAUUAAGUGUUAUUAGGAUUUUGAGUGUGAGAAAAAUAUUAAAGUGAUUGUAAUAAUUUUUCACACAAUGAAUUUUUCUCUCUCAUUUCUGGUGAAGUUUUUGACGUAAAUUCUUUUAUUAUGUGAUUGUUUUUAUUCUUCAUCUUUUAUUUAUUUAAUAUUUUUAUUUGUAAAGCCUUAGGUGAAAUUAAAAUUCCCCUAACAAUUUUUUUUUCUUCAUCUUGUAUUGUUGAUUAUUCAGCUGUAAAAUACGCUAAAAAAAAUGUUACUUCCCAAGUAGCAGGAUCCAAAUGCGUCGCAAUCGUGUUGGUUAUCAAAUUAAUAUCAUCUGAAAUAGCAAAAAUAAAAAAUAAAAAUCACAACUUGUUCUUUAAUCUUUAGUGACCCUAUGUCUUGUAUGUAAUUGGUGAAGAUUAUUGUAUUAUAUACAAGAACUGGAUCCCCUUUUAGGGCAAAUUAAUAAGCAGAACAAUGUAUUAAAAAGUGAUAUGAGCACUAAAUUAGAUUACCAGACCAAUUUUGUUUUUUUUUUUGUUUUUUUUUUUUAUAAUAGAUACUCAAGGACAAUGUGUCGCAAGACCAAAUAUUAAAGGUAUCACGUCUUCACAUACGUAUGUUUUAUAAUGUAAUUUACUAAAGGCACAUAAAUGUAAAGAUAAGAUAUAAAAUUAACUUUUUAUUUUUUAUUUUCCCCAUAAAUUUGUUUUCCCCAGCUAGAGAGAGGACAAAACAAAAUACCACGUAAUGAAAAAUAAAGAAAACUAGAAAAGUAAAAGUUUGAGUCGCAAAGUCCAAAGAUUCAACCACUAAAUUGGCGGUCGAUUGGUGCAGGAUUUUAGUAAGUAUAUAUAUAUAUAUAUUUUCUAACUUUUUGCACAGGAUGAGAUUUUGAUAAAAUGCAAGGGACCUCACUGUAAUUUUGUUGGGAAAUAAGGUGGCAGGAGAAUUUUAAAGGAAGUCACGGAGGGAAGAGACGUGCGUGCCGGGUAAUUCAUCCGAAAAAGAGCAGGCUCUGAGAAUCAAAUCCAAAGUUUGACUGGACCCGAAAAAUAAGAAAAAUAAAUAAAUAAAUAAAAAAUGUAAUUGGGGAGGAAGCAUCACUCCCACAAACAAUUUACUCUUUUAUGCUGCCUCCUCCUCUCACUCCAACUCCAAUGCAAUGCACCCACCAACUAGUUAUCACUAUUCUAUUCUUUAAUUCUUUGAAUUCUUUAUUUAUUUAUUUUUCGUUUUUGAGUCUCCAAGUUUCUUUUCUUUUUCUUUUCUUUUUUCAACACUUUCGUUCUUCUUUCUUCUUCUUCUCCCUCUCCCUCUCCCUCUCCCACUUCCUCUUGUUUUCCUUCUUUUGCAGCGCCAACAGCUUCUUCCAUCUUCAUCAACCCAUUUUUCUUUUGUUGCCGCCAAAACAGUGCUUUUUUUUUUCCCCUCUUUGGGUACCAAAAGAAAAUCUUGUUUUUAUCGAAACUAAACCGGACCCGACAUUUCUGAACAUAGUACUUUUGUUCUGUCUGUUCUGUCACUUCCUGUACUUUCACUCACUUCCCCAUUACAUAGCAUUUACAUAACAAGUUAACAACCUCCGCUCAAGACUCAGGUACUCUUUUCAUUUUUACCUUUUUUGUUUAUGUAUUACUGUUAUUAUUAUUAUUAUUGUUGUAUGGUGUUGAAUUUAUGUAAGUUUCAGGAUCUUUGAUAGUGAUUUUUAUUAUUUAAUUUCAGCUGGCCAAGGAAGAAAAAAGAAAAGGGGUCGGUCAUUUUGGAAAAUGCAAACAGAUCUCAAAGUGAAGAAGAAGAAGAAGAUAAAUUUGGAGGAGCUAUGAAUCUUGGUUUGGUGCUGUUCGGCUUUCGUAUGGGGGCUGCACAGAGAUUACUAUUGCUCACUCAACCACUUCAAAAUUAAAACAAUUUUUUGAAGAACGGAGAAUAAAAAAAGUUGCUCUUUUAUGUCAGCUCAUUUGGUCAUUUUUUGGAUGUGAGGAUUUGAGACCCAAAAGAAAUUUAAAGAGCAAAAGAAAAAAAAAAUGAAGACAGAGUGGAGGGUAUCGUUAUUAUCACAAGAUCAACAGCAACAAGGGAAAGGAAUCAUGGGAAUCUUUGGCUUUGUGCUAUGGUUGUUGCUUCUCUGUCACUUGCUAAUAAUGCCAUCAUAUGCUAGAGAACUAUCAUCAUCUUCAAGGCAAAGCGGCGGCAAUGAAGAGUUGACAAUUUUGAUGGCUUUCAAGCAAUCCUCUAUUGGUUCUGAUCCAAAUGGGUACUUGGCCAACUGGACUGCUGAUGCUUUAACUCCAUGUUCAUGGCAAGGGGUUUCUUGUUCUCUUAAUAGCCACGUUACCUCCCUCAACCUCAACAACCUUGGCCUUAGUGGUAGCUUAAACCUCACAACUCUCACAGCUUUGCCAUAUCUCGAGCAUCUGAAUUUGCAGGGCAAUUCUUUCUCUGCUGGUGAUCUAUCAACAUCCAAAACUAGCUCCUGCAGCCUGGUGACAAUGGACCUUUCGUCAAACAACAUUACAGGCUCUCUUCCUGGCAGAUCUUUUUUGCUCUCCUGUGAUCGUCUGUCUUAUGUUAACCUCUCUCACAAUUCAAUAUCUGGGGGUAGUCUCCAUAUUGGCCCUUCUCUUCUCCAGCUUGACCUCUCCGGCAAUCAGAUAUCGGAUUCUGCCCUGUUGACGUAUUCUCUUUCCAAUUGCCAGAACUUGAAUCUGCUAAACUUUUCUGAUAAUAAGCUCCCCGGCAAGCUGAAUGCUACUUCAGUUAAUUGCAAGAGUAUUUCCACCAUUGACCUUUCUUACAAUCUCUUAUCAGGGGAGAUACCGGCUAGCUUUGUGGCAGACUCGUCCGGAUCUCUCAAAUAUCUUGAUCUAUCCCACAACAACUUCACUGGCAAAUUCUCCAAUCUUGAUUUUGGACGCUGCGGCAACCUCUCCGUGAUCACUCUCUCUCAAAAUGGUCUCUCUGGAACUGAAUUUCCUGCUAGCCUGAAGAAUUGUCAGCUUCUGGAGACGCUUAAUAUGUCCCAUAAUGCACUGCAGGGUGGUAUCCCAGGCUUCCUGUUGGGGAGUUUCAGGAAUUUGAAGCAGCUGUCUUUGGCACAUAAUCAGUUUGCUGGUGAGAUCCCUCCUGAGUUGGGACAGGCUUGUGGGACUCUUCGGGAGCUUGAUCUUUCAUCCAACAGGCUUACUGGUGAACUACCCUCAACUUUUGCAUCAUGUUCUUCUUUGCAUAGCCUCAAUCUUGGCAGCAAUAUGCUCUCAGGAAAUUUUCUUAACACUGUUGUAAGCAAGAUUUCAAGUCUGAUAUAUCUUUAUGUCCCAUUCAACAACAUUAGUGGUCCUGUGCCGCUGUCCCUCACCAAUUGUACUCAACUUCGGGUACUCGACCUCAGUUCUAAUGGCUUCACAGGAACUAUCCCAUCAGGGUUCUGUUCGCCUCCAAAUUUUCCAGCUCUAGAAAAGAUAGUGUUGCCGAACAAUUACCUCUCCGGUACUGUGCCCUUAGAGCUUGGAAGCUGCAAGAAUUUGAAAACGAUUGAUCUUAGUUUCAACAGCUUGGCCGGUCCAGUUCCGUCAGAAAUUUGGUCCUUGCCAAAUCUAUCUGAUCUUGUAAUGUGGGCAAAUAACCUUACAGGUGAAAUCCCAGAAGGCAUUUGUGUCAACGGAGGAAACCUGGAGACCCUAAUUCUCAACAACAAUCACCUCACUGGAGCCAUUCCAAAGUCCAUUGCCAGCUGCACAAAUAUGCUAUGGGUGUCACUUUCCAGCAACCAACUCACCGGAGAAAUCCCUGCCGGCAUUGGAAAUCUUGUUAAACUUGCUAUACUCCAACUGGGUAACAAUUCGCUCACAGGACAGGUACCUCAGGGGCUUGGCAAGUGCAGGAGUCUUGUUUGGCUUGACUUGAAUAGCAAUAACCUAAGUGGUCCUCUCCCAUCGGAGCUUGCUAACCAAGCUGGCGUAGUCAUGCCGGGAAUUGUUUCGGGAAAGCAGUUUGCAUUUGUGAGAAAUGAGGGUGGUACAGCAUGUAGGGGUGCUGGAGGACUAGUUGAAUUCGAGGGGAUCCGACCAGAGAGGCUGGAAGGCUUUCCAAUGGUUCAUUCUUGCCCAUCAACUAGAAUUUACACUGGCAUGACAAUGUAUACAUUCACCACCAAUGGAAGCUUGAUCUACCUUGAUCUCUCCUAUAAUUCCUUGUCAGGAACUCUUCCUGAGAAUUUUGGUUCGUUGAACUAUUUGCAAGUCUUGAAUUUGGGACACAACAAGCUAACAGGUCAUAUCCCUGACAGCUUUGGAGGUCUGAAAGCAAUUGGUGUUCUGGAUCUCUCUCAUAAUAAUUUUCAAGGAUCUAUCCCAGGUUCAUUAGGGGGUCUCUCUUUUCUCAGUGACCUUGAUGUGUCCAACAACAACUUAUCUGGUAUCAUUCCAUCCGGAGGUCAACUGACUACUUUCCCAGCCUCCAGAUAUGAGAACAAUUCUGGCCUCUGUGGGUUGCCCUUGCUCCCUUGUAGCUCUGGCAACCAUGCAGCGACUGUCCACCCCCAUGAAAAGAAGCAGAAUGUGGAAACAGGGGUGGUUAUUGGCAUUGCAUUCUUCCUCUUGAUUAUCCUUGGGCUUACAUUAGCUUUGUAUCGAGUGAAGAAAGACCAGAAGAAGGACGAACAGAGAGAGAAAUACAUUGAAAGCCUCCCAACUUCAGGUAGCAGUAGCUGGAAACUAUCCAGUGUCCCUGAGCCACUGAGCAUCAAUGUUGCCACAUUUGAGAAACCUCUGCGGAAACUGACCUUUGCACAUCUGCUUGAAGCUACUAAUGGUUUCAGUGCUGAUAGUAUGAUUGGCUCUGGAGGGUUUGGUGAGGUUUACAAGGCACAACUGAGAGAUGGCUCUGUCGUUGCAAUCAAGAAAUUAAUUCAUGUUACAGGUCAGGGAGACAGAGAAUUUAUGGCAGAGAUGGAAACUAUUGGGAAGAUUAAGCACCGAAACCUGGUUCCUUUGCUGGGAUACUGCAAAAUAGGUGAAGAGAGGCUUCUUGUGUAUGAGUACAUGAAAUGGGGGAGUCUGGAGUCUGUCCUUCAUGACAGGGCCAAAGGAGGCGGCACAGAGCUUGACUGGGCCGCUAGAAAGAAGAUAGCUAUAGGGUCAGCACGUGGCCUUGCAUUCCUUCACCACAGCUGCAUACCUCACAUUAUUCACCGGGAUAUGAAGUCUAGCAAUGUUCUUCUGGAUGAAAAUUUUGAGGCCAGGGUUUCAGAUUUUGGCAUGGCAAGAUUGGUGAAUGCUCUGGAUACUCAUCUCAGUGUAAGCACCCUUGCAGGAACUCCAGGUUAUGUUCCCCCCGAGUACUACCAGAGUUUCCGCUGCACAACAAAAGGUGAUGUCUAUAGCUAUGGUGUCAUACUACUAGAGCUUCUUUCAGGAAAAAGGCCAAUAGACCCUUCUGAGUUUGGUGAUGAUAACAACCUAGUUGGAUGGGCAAAGCAACUUCACAGGGAGAAAAGAAUCAAUGAGAUACUGGACCCUGAGUUGACAAUGCAGACAUCAGAUGAGACUGAACUGUACCAGUAUCUAAGAAUUUCAUUUGAGUGCCUAGAUGACAGGCCAUUCAAGCGGCCAACCAUGAUACAGGUAAUGGCAAUGUUCAAAGAGCUUCAAGUUGAUACAGAAGGUGAUAGCCUUGAUAGUUUCUCGCUGAAAGACACAGUUAUUGAAGAAUUGCGAGAGAGAGAAUCUAGUUCAGGCUAAGGCAACAAAGAUGCAGUAUCAGCGAGUUGAACCUCUGAUAUUAGAGAUGAGGUUUGUCCUACCCGUUUCACCUAGUGUAAAUAAUAGAACACUGAAUGAGACAGAGAGAACACGGAGGAACAAAGUUUGGGGUCUUUCAGUUGCUGUAAGUUGGAUAAGUUAUAUUUUCUUUUUCUUUUCAUCAUUGUUUCUGUUAGUAGAGACUUCAAGACGUUGUUCCUUUGCCAUUAGCUUCUUCUUCCUGUCACAGUUUUGCUAAUUUAUGUUCCACUAAUUGUUUGUCGCAAUUGCCAAUUGUUGUUCAUAGAAUGUUGGAAUGUGAUCAGUGAGAGGAACAUUUUGUAAAGUUGUAGGUAGCAUUAUUUGACAAAGUAAACUCGUAAUUGUCAUCUAAUUUAUGGUGCAAUUAAGUGAUUGUGUUAAUAAUUUUGAAUUUGAGAAAGCAUAUAUGCAAAAAAUUCAGGAACAAGACUGUAUGUGCACGUGUGUGUGCAUAGUGGCUGUUUCAACUCUUGUUUUGGCUCUUAUAAAAAAAAAAACUCUUGUUUUGGCUUAAAAAAGAAUCAAAUUGAUGACGUUCAUAACAUAUUCAGACUAAAUGAAUAUUAAAAAUUGCUAAGCGUGUGUGUGUUUGUGUUGUAUGAAGUAGAGGCAGGGAUUUCAUGAAUCUGUUGUUUUUCAAUUUGAUGAGUUUUGAGUUGACAAUUACUUCCAAGCAAGCGAUUCAUAUAUUCAUGUAACUUGUUAUUAUUACCAUGAUGAGCUGAUUGCCUUUCAUUUCUCAUUUAGCUACUCUAUUAUCUGUAUUUACGAUUUUUCAUUGACCGUUAGUUGCUGAAUCUACCUUAAACCCUAUGAAAUAAAUUUCAAAAAACCCUUGAUGAAUGUCAAAAGAUUUUUCACUGUUACCUAAAGGUGCCUCAUCCUGCUAAAAUAGUUCAAUGUAAUAACUAAACCACUAUUGCGGUAUUGCCUUUGAUUCAACACGAUCUUACAUGCUUUUAAAUGUCAAAGAUUUGCCCUGUUUCUCAUUAUGUCCCAUGAAUUAUGGCUUUUACCCAAAUAGGCGUAUUAGUCAAAUCUUUUUUUUUCCAAAUUUAUGCCAUCAUUUGCAUGUUCUUGCAUGAUGCUCUACAGGCGUUUGAUAUGAAAGUUUUGUCUUCUUAUUCUUUUCCCACGACACAUUGGUCGCUUUUGGACCAUCUCGGAUCACUCACUCUUCAAGAAUAAGUACCUUGGUAUCAUUGUUUUGAAAUCAAACACUCAUGACGCUUUUGACUUAAGCCCCUGUGGCCUGGGAUUGAUGAUGAAUCAAUCAAUCAGUCAGUGGUGCUUUUACGAAAUGAAGAAAGGCAAGUAAAUGGGGUUUCUGUGUCAUCCAAUAUCCGCUGAUGAUUGUUGCCGCAAUCUCCAGAAUCCAGAAUCCAGAAUCCCCAAGUAAUUGGGCCGACAUGGGCUCAAAAGAGUAAGCCCGGCUCAUAACUAAUCCAACAAAUAGUGAUGAUGGCCAAUAAACGUGGGACCCCUUAUGGCCGAAUUUGCAACAGUACCUGAAAUUGGAAGUCAUGGAAUUCAGUCCUGAAAGAGGCCCCAUAACUUGACAGAUAAUAUGGUUUUACUCAGCUUCCGCUGACUGUGUGACUCAAAUUUGUUGCUUGGAAAUGGAAAAAGUCCAAAAAGAAUAAAAAAAGAUUGGCAUUGGGCAGCGUGGCUCCCAAUUUUCUCUAUCACAUGUCCCCACACACACACAUAUCUAACCUGCGUCCCGAAUCCUGACACACACAAACCGGAGACCAUGUUUGAAAAAUGAAAACUCAUAUGCUGCCGGCUGCAUGAGCCAUGAAUCUGAAGCCCUUUCUAUAGCCAAUACAAACAAAAAAAAUCCUUUACUCUCUGGAGAUCAUAAUCUUGCUUCUAUUACGUUAAGUUUUUUACUAUAAUUGCACUUUCUUAUUCUAGUUCAUGAAGCUGUGCAUGCAUUGGAAUUUUUUUAACCCAAAAACAAUGUAUUAGUAGAGCUCCUUUAUGGAAAGUGAUCAACUCCACUGGACUUUUUGUGUCCGGGUAAUAGAAUAUAAUAAAUAAAACAUUAGCAACAGUACUGUGUCCGUGAGACAUGGGCUAAGAGACAAAGACUCGGUCAAAUAAUCUUUUUGACCGGGUGGGGGGGAAAAACUGCCCAUAAGAAGAAAAUAAACAAAUAAAGUAUUACAUAAAAGAUAAAAAUUAUCUUUGUCACGUACCCACAUGAAGAAGAAGUAGAUUAGACCGAAAUGCUGUUUGUUUCCUCAUAUUCACAUACAUACUGACAUACAUACAUACAUACAUUACACGCAUGAUGUAGGCUGUGUGUGUGUGUAUAUAUAUAUAUGCAGACAGAUACAUGAGGCAUGCAUGGAUUAUCCCCCAGUUGGCACAUUCUGAACAUCUUCAAACAACAAUGUUUUCAUGCUUUUCUGGUGCCAGUUUUUGGCUCCAUUAUCAUCAGUUGCUUUCUUCUAUUUCUUUUGAAAGAUUCAACUCAUGGGUUUAAUUUAUAUACACUGUAACUUCUGCACACGACAUGUAGCCCAAACAAAAUCUCAGCUCAGGCACUGCCAUCCACCCAUGGUCUUGUUUUCAAUUAAUUUAAAACUAGUACUUUGUGCCACAUCCUAUACAAUACUGUUGGUUUAAUUAAAAGGUUUUCACAUAAUCUAAUAAACCAUGCAUGAUUGAAGCUAGUGCUCUAGAAGAUCAAACUAGUAAUGCAAAAAAUGAAAAUGGGGCAUAAGCUUUAUGGGAAAGAAUAUGAACUCAACUUUACGUUGUUAGUGGGCAACCCGCAAGUAACAAUAAACCAAACCGGAAAACAAAAAAAUAAAAUAAAUAAAAUAAAAAGUAAGGUCACGCGGCAAGAGAUAACUAGAAUUUAUUUAUUGAUUAUUUUAUAGGGGUGGGCGUGAAAUGAUUAGGCUAGAAUUGGAUCCUCUUUAGGUCUUUUGGAAAAAAAAAUAAAAAAAAGAAUAAAAUUAGAGAUGAUUAUCAGCUGGUCCUUUUCAUUUCAACAAUACUAUAUUAAAAAAAAAAAAAAAAAGUAAUAGAGCUAUCCAAUAUGGUUCCAAAAAUAUGGCUCAAAUUAAAAUGGGAAAGUCUUUUUUUUUUUUUUUGGUUCUUUCGGAAUUCUGAUACAUCAGUUUACUUGUGUAGACUGCCCUUCUUUUUAAUCCUGAUAUUUUAAUUAAUUAAUUAAGUAAUUAAUUUUUUUUAGCAGAUUCUAGGAAUUUACAUUUGGUGGCCACUUGGGUGUCAUUUGUCACUUCCAUUAAAGUCCAUCUUUGGGAGCUCCGAUCAUCCACUAUGUUAAAAUUCGUGUUUAUAAUUUAUUCAUUUGCUUCAACAGUCCACUUCUUCAUGCAUAAUUUUAAGCCUUAUGGUUGGGUUAAUCUUGGGAAAAAAAACAAACUAAUGAUUAAUUUAAAUGGGUUCGAUUGGAUUAAAUUGUAAAUAAAAAAUUAAUCAACUGGUGUUAGUGAAACCAACUCGAAAGUUUGAUAAUAUGUUGUUAUGAUUUGAUUCUUUACCAUUCAAAAAAAUCAUGUCAAACUUCACACCCCAACAAACAAAGUAACAUCUUUACUCCAUCCAUUGAAUUGAUUGAGUUAAUACAAUUUACCAACUUGGUUUGAUUGAUCACACAUACAGAAACUCAAAAUUAUUAAAUUAAAAAAAAAAGUGUAGACUCCAUAUAUGUUCCAAAUGACCAAUUAAAUCCAACCGUUGCAAAAAUAUCCAUUCAUACUCCUGUUCAUUAGUGAAUUUGGUUUAUGUCAAUGGAGAUGGGAGUAUUAAUUUAUUAUUUUGUUUAUUCAUCACCAAAUGAUAAAAUGGGUGGUGUUUUCUAAAACCAUACAAUAGAAAAUGGAAUGAAAAAUAAAAAAAUAAGGGUCCGUUCGGGAUUGAUUUUUAAGAGUUUAAAAGUAAUUUUAAAAAAUUAAAAGCUAAUUUUAGUGUUCAACAAUUUUUUUUAGAAAUCACUUUUGGUAAAAUCAACUUAUCCUAUAUUAAAUUUUAAAAAAUAGAAAAAAGUAGCUUCUUAAAAACCUAUUUUUGAAAAUUAAUUUAAUACUUAAUAUUAUUCUAUAUAUAUAUAUAUAUAUAUGAAAAAAUGAAAAAAAUUAUUUCAUUAAUUAUAAAAUAAAAACUGCUGUACCGUACNNNNNNNNNNNNNNNNNNNNNNNNNNNNNNNNNNNNNNNNNNNNNNNNNNNNNNNNNNNNNNNNNNNNNNNNNNNNNNNNNNNNNNNNNNNNNNNNNNNNNNNNNNNNNNNNNNNNNNNNNNNNNNNNNNNNNNNNNNNNNNNNNNNNNNNNNNNNNNNNNNNNNNNNNNNNNNNNNNNNNNNNNNNNNNNNNNNNNNNNNNNNNNNNNNNNNNNNNNNNNNNNNNNNNNNNNNNNNNNNNNNNNNNNNNNNNNNNNNNNNNNNNGUUAUUUCAUUAAUUAUAAAAUAAAAAUAUUUAUUUUGGUUACUAAUUAUUACAUGUACGCAAUCAAAUAUUAUACCUAAUUUAAUUAUUUAUAUUUUUACAGUAAUUUAAUAAUAAAAUUUAUAAAAAUAUAUACGACUGUUUUUAAAACUCACAAAUCACGUUACUUUCAAAAAUAAAUUUUAUAAAAAAAAUCAACUAAUUAUUUUUAUAAUUAAUUAUUUGUAUAAUAUAAUUAGCAAUAAUAAUUUUAAAAAUUAUAGCAUUUAGCUAACUGAUUCUGAGUUCAUAAGAUAUCGAAGUGGAAGGAGCUGAAGCCUCGAAGGGAUCGAGUUUGGGCAGCAGGCGGUUAUAACAUCUUCACUUUACAAGGGUACAGGUGUUAGGCACCCAAAUCACUUGACACCCCAACGUUACACAUAUUUACCAAUUAUUAUUAUUUUUAUUAUUAUCACUAAUUACUCCAAAUUAAUUAACCUACAACUCACUUUCCUAUAAUUCUUCCAUACAACCAAUUGCAUCACUGCUCUCGGGGAAUUUAUAACCCGCCCUCGUUCACAUGGCGCUCUGCCAUUGGCUUUGGCCAGUCCAGAAACAAACAAAAGGGUGAAUGAUUAGUUAAAAUGAAUAGUACUAGAACAAGCAAUCAAUGAAACACAAAUAAGAGAGGGAGAGGGAGAGGAGGUGAAUAUGUAUGCUUUGUUGAUUUGUUGUUGUUCUUCUUGCAGAGCUUUUUGUUUCAUUCUUCUAAAGAUUCCAUUUUCUAGACAUAAUAUUGUAGGUUUCACAGAUUAAAGGAAAAAAAAAAAAUCAUCUUUUUCUAUUUCGUUUGGUUUCAAUUUUUUAGCUAUAAACCAAAAACAAGAGAGGAAAACAAAAAGAUUCCAUUUUGACAUUUUGUAAGGAGGGGGGAAGAGAGAGAGGGAGAAAAUCCGAGGUGGGUUUGUGAAAUUUGUGUUCUUUGUUGUUGCUGUUGUUGAUGGUAGUGGUGGAGGUGGUGGUGGUGGGUCUUGUUCAUUUAGCUUUGACUCUUUAAUCAAUCAGGUAAUGAUUUUUAAUCAUUCUUUCACUUUCUCUCUCCCCAUCUCUUUCUUUUCUUUGUUUUGCUUUUCCUCCUUUAAUGUUUUGUAACUCUCAAUUUUGGAAAAUAUUUAUCUUUGAUAAAUUAUGCAAAUUUUGAGGUACCACUCUCACUCUAAUAAUUCUCUUUUAAAAGAUUUUAUGAUCUCUGUGUUUUCUUUUUUUGGUUUUGUAUUCUGGGUUGUUUUUGUAUUUUUAAAAUGUCAAUUGGCUUAUCAUUAGAUCUUGAUUGAUGGGCACCAUAACUUGAACAACUGGUUUUCUAUAUAUGUAAAGGUUCAAUGGAUUUGUAUGAUUAGUUUCCUUCAACUAAACUUUAUCAAUAUUUGGAAUGUUGUCAAUUUUUCUUCAUCUAUUUAGCCAUGUCGAUUUUCUGUUGCUACCUCUCCACCCCUCUUACAGGAUAAAAUUUUGGGUUUUGUUGAGACAUUUUUUUUUUUUUGCCUUUUUCAUUUUGGAAAAAGGUAAAGAGGAUAAAAUUUUGGGUUUUGUUGAGACAUUUUUUUUUUUUUGCCUUUUUCAUUUUGGAAAAAGGUAAAGAGAUAAUAUUAUUGCAUUAUUGAAUUAUGACAUGUUUUUAGAUAUCUUACAUGGGUGUUCCUUCAUCUAUUCCGGGCUUAUCUAUAUGCAACUUUGCGUUGAUUCUCUUUGUGUAUAUAUCAAAUCAUUUGAUAACCUCUAGUCAAAAUUGCAGCUUUAUACUCCUUCUGGGUUUCUGAGUAGCAAAACUGGGAUUUUUUUUCUUUAUUUUAUUUGUUGUUUCUGGGUUAUUUUUAGUCUUAUUACGGAAACCCACAUGAGUGCACACCUGUAUUUGAACAAGUUUUUUGUUUGAAUAUAAUCUUCCAUCUUAUCUGCAGCUAAAUUUUAUCUCCGUCAUUGGUCAUUUUCUGAUUCCAUUGUGUACUGUGUGAACGAAUCUUUCAGGCAUUAAACCCUUUGCGGAAGACUUUGAUUCUACGUUGACCUGACUUUUAGACUAGACUGAAUGGUCAUGGCUGGAAUUGAUGAUAACAUGGCAGUAAUUGGAGACUGGGUGCCGCCUAGUCCAAGUCCAAGAACCUUUUUCGCAGCAAUAUCAGGUGAUGAUAUUAGCUCAAGAGAACCACCCAGUGAGAAUGGGGCUGAUGGGCUCUCCUUAGGAUCUCAAGAGCAGAUGACAUCAGGAAAUACUGAGAAAAAGAACAUGAUGACAGGAGGUGCAUCAACUGACUUAGGUCCAUUUUCUGAGCAGAAAUCAAGGUUGGCGGCAAGAGCUGGGUUUAAUGCUCCAAGGUUGAAUACAGAAAGCAUUAGAACAUCUGACCUUUCUCUGAACCCUGAUAUUCGAUCUCCUUACUUGACAAUACCACCUGGUCUCAGCCCAACGACACUGCUGGAGUCUCCAGUUUUCCUUUCAAAUUCCCUGGUGAGUUUAUUUCUUGAGAAAUGUCACCUGUUGUUUCUUGAAUUCUUGUCUUUAAAUGAAAUUUGAUAAUAUGAAAUCUAUUGAUGGGGUUUCAAAUGAUUGCAUUCCGAUAGGAACCAUUACGAUUCCAGUUUGUGGCUUUUUUGCAUUUUGCGUUAAUUUUUUUGCUUAUGCUGAGAAGAAAGUAGUUUUAGAUAAUAACUACAUUAAAAAAUGAGUUUAAUUUUAUGAAUUUGCUGUGGCACAUGCUAAAAAACUGAACCCUUGCCUCCGCAGGCACAGCCAUCUCCAACAACUGGAAAGUUCUCAUUCAUCCCAAAUGGUAAUGGUAAAAGUUCGACAUGUAUCUCAGAGGCCCCUGAUAAAAGCAAGGAUAACAUCUUGGAGGACAUCAAUACAUCAUUUGCGUUUAAGCCUGUUGCAGAAUCAGGUUCUUUUUCCCUUGGUACAAGAAAUAAGGCAAGUAUAAUAUGGCCGGAUUCCUAAUGCUAUUUGUUAAACAUUUUCAUUUUCUGUCUGUUGAAUAUUGUGUGACUAGUACUUACAGAUUUACUUUUCCUCAUCCUCAGCAGUCCUUUCCUAGUAUUGAGGUUUCUGUUCAGUCUGAGAAUUCCCAUCAGUCCCAAAAUGUAAAUGCAGCCAAAGUCCAUUCUCAAUACAGAAACAGCCUCAGCCUCCAAGUCCAAACAGACUUCUCCAGAGCAACAACUGAAAAGGAUAAUGGGUGUAAUACCAUCUUGGCUGAUCAAAGGGUCUUUGAUACUUUUGGUGGCAGUACUGAACAUUCUCCACCUCUUGAUGAGCAACAGGAUGAAGAAGGAGAUCAAAGAGGCAGUGGAGAUUCCAUGGUUGCUGGUGCUGGAGGUGCAUCAUCUGAAGAUGGAUAUAAUUGGAGAAAAUAUGGACAAAAACAAGUGAAGGGUAGUGAGUAUCCCCGUAGUUAUUACAAGUGCACACAUCCAAACUGUCAGGUUAAGAAGAAAGUGGAGAGAUCUCUUGAAGGCCACAUAACCGAGAUCAUAUACAAAGGAGCUCAUAAUCACCCCAAGCCUCCACCCAAUCGCCGAUCAGCCAUUGGGUCUAACCCUCUUGACAUGCAAUUAGACAUUCAUGAACAGGCUGGACUGCAGAGUGGUGCUGAUGGUGAUCCCUCAUGGGCAAAUACACAGAAAGGGACUGCUGGUGGAACUCCCGAGUGGAGGCAUGACACUGUCGAGGUGACAUCAGCAGCACCUGUGGGACCUGAAUACUGCAACCAAUCUUCUGCUUUGCCUGCUCAGAAUGGCACUCCCUAUGAAUCAGGUGAUGCAGUGGAUGCCUCAUCUACCUUCUCUAAUGAUGAAGAUGAAGAUGAUCAGGCGACACACUGUAGCGUAGGUUUUGAUGGUGAAGAAGACGAAUCUGAGUCAAAGAGAAGGUAUCUUUUUCCUUUCUCCAUAUUUCUGCUAUGAAGUCUAGAAUUGUAUAUUUACUUCACUGUGGGAAUAUGCUUAUGUUAUUGAUAUCCCAGGAAAAUUGAAGCUUAUGCAACAGAAAUGAGUGGAGCCACUAGAGCUAUUCGUGAGCCUAGAGUAGUGGUUCAGACAACGAGUGAGGUAGAUAUCCUUGAUGAUGGAUACCGCUGGCGCAAAUAUGGGCAAAAAGUUGUGAAAGGAAAUCCAAAUCCAAGGUGAUCCUUGAAAUCAUCUACUUCCCCCCCCCCCCCCCCCCCCCCNNNNNNNNNNNNNNNNNNNNNNNNNNNNNNNNNNNNNNNNNNNNNNNNNNNNNUCUCUCUUUCUCUCUGAGAUACACGUGCACAAAAAAUGCACAAGCCUGCAUGCCCAAAGCAAAAUUGCAGUCCUAACAGUCGCAUUGAAAUUGAAAUUUUGUUGCUAUCUUGUAGGAGUUAUUACAAGUGCACAAGUGCAGGCUGCACGGUGAGAAAGCACGUGGAGAGGGCGUCCCAUGAUCUGAAGUCAGUGAUCACCACAUAUGAGGGAAAGCACAACCAUGAUGUUCCCGCUGCUCGAAAUAGCAGUCAUGUUAACUCUGGCUCCUCAAGUGCCGUUGCUGCCCAUGCUGCUGCUGCUGGUCAAAUCCACAGGCCCGAGCCAUCACAGCUUCACAACAGCAUGGCAAGAUUUGACAGACCUGCUUCUUUUGGUUCUUUCAGAGUACCUGGAAGGCAGCAGUUCGGACCUUCCCCUGGCUUCUCAUUUGGAAUGCAUCAACCAGGCCUGGCCAAUCUAUCUAUGGCAGGACUUGGCCCCGGCCAACCCGAGCUGCCUGUUUUGCCUGUUCAUCCAUAUUUGGCACAGCAACGCCAGGUUAAUGAAAUGGGUUUCAUGAUGCCAAAAGGAGAACCAAAGGUGGAGCCAAUGUCGGAACCUGGUCUGAACUUGUCGAAUCGUUCAGCAGUUUACCAGCAGCUAAUGAGUAGGCUACCUCUUGGACCUCAGAUGUAAAUGUUGCUGCUUUAUUUUAUUUGAAUUUAUUCCAUAAUUAUAAUUAUAAUUAUAAUAAUUAUUAUUAUUGUUUUGUUGUUCUGAGGAAAGUAGUGCUAUUUUAUAUAAAUCUAUACAAAAAUUCUGUUCUUUAGAUGAUCCAUUCUGUGAUUCUUUGUUCAUUGCGAAGCUGUACCAAAUUUUCAUCCAUUGGUAAAUGAUGAAAGCAUGCAUCAACUUGUAGAAGGCGACUUUCUGUUAAAGAUGCUAUUUUUCAUUUUAGCUUCAGUCUACACUCAGUGUGUGCAAGAAAAAUCUAUUAAUAGUUCACGCUUCAAACUCAUCGUUUAAGGAAAAUUGUGAUUAUAAAAUAAAAAUUAUUAAUGAAGAUAUUAUAGAUUUUUCAUUAUAUAAGUGUAGAAUUAAAUCAAUUCAGUUUCUAAACCAUAAUAAUAAGUGUUUAAUAGACAUUUUCAUAAUAUAAUUUUUGCCGUCCAAGCACUCCAAACAGGGCAUUUAGGCUAAAUGCUGAAUGUGUGCGGGCAUGAACCCGUUUAGGCUCCCGUACUGCAACGAUCCUUGCCGUUUAACAUUUGCCAAAAUUUUUAUCAAACACACUUGGCGUGUAGCAUUAUUAGAGGGGGAAAAAAAAGAUCCUUAGCCGUGAAAAAUAAAGAAUUAAGUGAAAUUUUCAGAAAAGCUCCAAUGCAACCCACUCUGUGCUGUGAAACACAUGCAUCAAUCGGUAAUAUUGAGUACAUUUAUCAGGGAAAAAUAUGGAUCUUUUUAACUACUGAUUUUCAAUUCCUUUCGCUACUUAAUACGAAAAAAAAGGGAAUAUUACAUUUACAAAGUGUAAUUUUGCUAAAUUACAAGAGUUAAGAUAUCAGCAGCAAAACCCACAAUGGGUAACUCUAAAAGGCAUGUAUAUUUUGCUUGUCAAUGAAGAUGGGAUGAGUUCCAGAAUCAACACUCGGCAAUCAAAUGCAAUCAAUCACCCACUCAAUGGCCGUUUGAAAUCUCCUCGAGAUUUUUGUCUUUACUAUGCUGAUAAACUGAUUUCCGGUGAUUUACUUCUUCUCUGUUGGACAUAAAAUCAGAAAAGUGCCAAUUGAUUAAUUAUUUGGAAACUUUUGUUCCCCAACCAAGAUCAUAAAACAAGGGAAGCGGAAAAUGAUACCAGAUUUGCUUAUUUAAAAGGAGACUGAAUGAAAACAAUGAAAUCAAAUGAUAUAAUAACAGACUGAAAGAGAGUAAGAACCUGAGACAAUUCCAUAUAGAAUCAUAAUGAAGAAUAGCAACAAUUCUUUGCUUCCUUCUUCUUUGGAGUUCUCUGGAACGCUUAAUUACAGGCAACUGCUUGAUCCCCUUGGCCUCCAUUAAUUCCUUGGCAAUCGCCAGAUCUGUGUCCGGGUAGCAGGUUAAAAGUCCACGCUCUCGGCCUCUAUAGCUUAUCCCUCGAGUACAAAUAGAGGAAACAAGACAUGUAUUCACCUAUAAAGAUUUCACUUGCAUGUCAUCAGUAAGGAUAUAGAUAGACAAAGUAAAGACAAGCUGCGAGAGUUCAGAAAAGUAAGGCAACAAUUACAUACAUCGGAAGCUAUUGAAUCGCCCUUGGAAUUAUCACUAGACAGUUUGGACAAGCAACGUUUAAUGUCACCAUAUGUUAAUAUGCCCUCCAGGAAAUCUUCACCGUUAACCACAAGGACACAAUUCUGUUGGCCAUCUUUCAUGGAUUCUAUUGCUUCUUUUAAGGUUACAGUAAGUGCAACCUUUACAAAUUCCUUUGACAUAGCCCUAGAAACCUGACAAGGAGGGAUGGAGAAUUGAAGUAGCUUAAGUCACAAUUAAUGGAAAAUAAGCAGGAUUGUAAUUUGUGAGGAGCUUUAGUCAGGUACAAAAUGAUGAAGCAUAUCAGGAAAAUUGUACCUUCAAUUCUUCCAAAAGCAUUUCUUCAGCUGCUUCAGAGUCAGCAGCGUUUUCUACGACAGAGAGUUCUAACUCAUCUGCGCCAUCAGUCCUCCUCCAUAAAACCUCAUUUUUAUCUUCCAUAGGUGAAAGCGACGAAUAACCCCUAGCCAAAGUCCGUUUAUCAGAUGCAUCCGUCUCCUUGGCCUGGUUUGCCACAGAGGGAACCCAUAUUGCCAAUCCAACAGCUCCCUACUUGCGAAAUAGGGGAAACAAAAUCAAGCACCAAGGUAAAAUUAGCCUCUGAACAGCAUCAGUGCAUUGUUAUGAAAGACUACAACUUAACAGUAUCAGUGCAUUGUUGCAAUUGUGAUUGCCUUCAGAAGACAACAUCCGCAUGCCAUUGCAAAAUGGAAAGGAAAGGAAUUUUCAUAGGCAAUAAGCAGUGAACACACCCAUGCCAAACAUGAAAGAUGCAAGAAGAUUUUGGAUCAAUUACCAUGAGAGGAAGCAAUAUCCUGUAAUCUCUAGUCAGCUCAAAGAGAAGUAGAACUGAUGUCAAGGGUACAGAACAAACAGAAGCUAAUGUAGCAGCCAUUCCGACCUGCAUUAUGAGUUUGUAAGGACAGUAAUUAGCUAAUGAAGAUCAACAUCCCCAACAACCCUCAGACCAAGCCAAGAAAAAUGUAAUUGAUAACUUCUUUAUAAAAUGGAAAUGUUACCAGAGCAUAGGCCUGCGGCUCUGCAACAGCGACAUUGCCUGGAAUGGCUGAAUUUAUAAUUUCUGCAGCCGAACCACCAAAUACAGCACCAACAGCUGCACCAAUCAUCAAACUUGGUGCAUAAAGACCACCCACAAGCCCAGACCCUUUGCACAAAGCUGUGGCCACAACCUUAGCAGCUGCAAGUUGAGUUAACAACCAGAUUCCAGGAGCAGAUGCAGUUUUCCCAGUAUGUAGGAUUUCUUCAACAUUUGUGAAACCCCAGUAUAGUAUUCCCGGAUAUCUAAGAGCAAUUAUCCCAGCUCCCAAACCACCUAAAGCAGGGCAUACAACAGGAGGAAGGCCAAAUUUUUCCUUGAUGAAAUCAAAUGACUUUGUAAACCAAGCAACCAAACGAGUGAAGACUACACUUACAACUCCACAUAGCAUGCCCAAUAUGAGGUAUAAAGGUAAUUCUGCGAGACAAUAUCAAAAAAAAUAAUCAGUAAGCAGAUGAUUCACGAACCGUCUAUUGAAAUUUCAUCUAUGGAUUGGACGAAAUUAUCCCGGACCCAAAAAAAAGAGAAAGAUCUGACUAAUAGAACAAGCAGAAUCAGAAAUCAAAUAUAUAAAAUUACAAAAGAAAAAAUAAAAUAAAAUAAAAUAAACUAAGAUCUCCAACAAGCACGGUUAAUGUCCAAUAAAUACUUCACAGAAGAAUACCAUGCAGAUUCAGGAUAAAACCAAUAUAUAAAAAUCAAGAACAAUACCAGCAGCUGACUUCAAAUCAUAUGAGGGCACAGUGAAUGCUGAUUGUGUCCCCAGCAAAACAGUUGAUACUGUAGAUGAUAUAACAGAGGCCAAUAUUAUCAUUGCGGUUGUAAAUGGGGGUGAGUUUUCAGCCCGAAGAGGCCUUAACACAGUUUCAAUGGCAAAGAAACAACCGGCUACAGCCGCAUUAAAACCUGAAAGCAAAUUGAAACAGAAAUAUCAGCCACUUGAACGAUCAAAACUGGAAAGGGCACACGUUCUAGAAGCUCAAAUAAUCAGCCACUUGAACGAUCAAAACUGGAAAGGGUACACGUUCUAGAAGCUCAAAUAAUAACUCCCAAUUACAUUAAUAAAUAAGGAUGAGAAAACUCAACCUCAUUGUUAUUCAUAUCUAGAUCAAAGCUAGCUAUUAAAUACAAAAGUGCAUACAGAUCCAUAAUAAAUUUAUGAUACCUGAAGCAAUUCCAGAAGCAGCACCAGCUGCAACAAGCGCAAUUUUCCUUUCUCUGUUAUUUUCCAUCAUUAAAGAAAAACCAUUGGCACAUGAUUUUCCAAUAUCAACACUAGGACCUUCAGGACCCAAAGAACAACCAGUACCUAAAGUAACAGCAGCCUGAAUGGCCUUUAUUGUAGGAAACACUCCGGCAACCAAAUCAAAACCUUGUCUAUCCAAAGAACUCGACUGCUUUAUUUGAUUUAAUAUCUCAAGUAAUCCAUGCAUCAUUCCAACAAUUACUCCUCCCGUCACUGGAAUGAGUAAAAUCCGAUGCCAAGUGUCCGCCAGUCUCUGUAAUCGAAGCCAAGCAGCACCCUCAUUCGGAGUACCCGCCCAGGCCCAUUCAUGUAUAAUAUGAACCUAAAUAACCAGACAAGCAACCAGUUUGUAUUAGCCUAAAAAAAAAAAAUCGGACUUUAAAACAGGAAAAAGAAAAAAAAGAUCAAUUUCCUUGCAAAGCAAUCAAUUUGGAUAAAUAUUUGCAACUAGCAAAGCUACAAAGCAAAAAAGAUUCAAACUUCAAAACAAAAAGAUCAAAAUUCAGCAAAAGCUAACCCCUUUAUUGAAGAAGGCAACGCACAAACCGGAUGCGAGGCCGAGAAGGCAACCGAUGAGAAGCAACGCCCACUCAGGAGGGGCACUUUCCGUCAGAGAAUCACGGGCGUCCACAUAAUUAUGGUGAUCGAAAGACGACGAACGCGAAUGCGAAAGAGGAGGAUCUUUGAAAGUUAUGCGGCGAUCGGAAAAUCGACGAUCCAAUUGCUUAAACAGAUCUUUGAUUCCGCCUGCCGCAGAAGGAGUACUGGUUCUAUUCGACGGCGAAUCUGGAGCUGAUUCUAAGUCUUCUUGAUUCGACGAUCUCAGCGGACGCCUCUCAUCGCUUGACAUUUUCUGCUUUCGAAAAUUUGAUUAUUUUUUAUUUUUUUUGGUUUACGAUUUAUCAGUUCUUCAUUUUGUUUGUUCUACUGGUUUAUGCAUUCGUAGCCUUCUUCUUCUUCAUCGUCUUCGUUUCGUUCGGUUCCGUUUUGUUUUCAUUUUGAAGCUUUGUUUUUCAUUUCCUAUAAUAUUAAUAUAGUGUGACGUAAAAAUGAAGGUAAAAUAUUAUUUUUAAGAGAAUAAUAAAAGUAAUUAGCAAUAUAUGGAUUACGAAAACCAAAUAUGAAGUUUUUCUUUUAAAUAAUAAUUUAUGAAGUUAAAUUAGAGUAAUUUCUAUAAACGAAGCAAAAAAAAAAAAAAAAUCAUUUUAUUUAUUUUUGUGGAAAGGAAGCAAAGACCUUUUUCUUUUUGACAAUAAAAGUAGGAAGCAAAGACCUUUUACUUGUGUGGACUGCAGUUGUUUCACAGUAAACAAUUAACACUCGUUUUUGUAACUACAGAGUAGAGGGGUGGUCUUUAUUAAUUAGUCUAUACAAAUUAUCUCUCUAUCUUGGUUCUAAUUCAUUUCUUGAUAUUCACCAAUUUUUAUGCACAUUAAAAUUUUGUUAAUAUUUGUUUUUGAAUGAUCAAUUUUACUCCUUUUAAUUUAUGAUAGCCCAUAUUAUUAUUUGCAGUUAAAAGAAAAAUAUAUGAAAAAUUUGAUGAGAAUUAAAGAAUUGAGAAUGAAAAGAGAAGAAAAAUAUUAAUUACAUAAUUUUAUCAAAAAAUUAUUAAUUAAAAAGAUGGUAUAAAGAAAAAAAAUUAGUGAGUUCAAAUAGUCCCACCUAAAGAAAUGAGUGAUAUAUAUUAUAAUAUGUAACAAAAAAAAAUGUUAUUAUUUGAAUGUGAUGUAAUAUUUUAAGAUUAAUUUUAUAUAUAUAUAGAUGUAUACAUAUCUUUAAAUUUAAUUUUUAAAUAAAGUAUUGUCCAAAUCUCAUCUAAUAAUCCCACUAACUAAGAUGGGAUGGUGAAGAAUCCAACCCAAUCGAAACCCCACUGACUGAGCAUGUAUGUAUCUCAAUGAAUGAAUUGUUUUUCAAUAAAAACAAACAAUAAGAGUAGAACACGUUGUGUUGUAUCAUUUGAUAAUUGGGCAUUGCCCACCGGACUUUGUUGGCAUUUGCCCACGAACGCAUAUAACACAACAAGAGGUUAUCAUCCCAUUUCUUUCGAGGGCAAAAAAUUUGAGUAGAUCACAAUAUUACAAUGUGCCCAUCUUACAUAUCAUAUUAUUAUUAUUAUUAUUAUUGUUAUUAUUUUAAAAGAAGAAUGAUACUUUAAGUCUUCAAUAAUUUUCAUUUGUAUCAUUUAAGUCCUUAAUUCUGUAAUAAUAAAUUAUUACUUACAUAAAGAGUGUGUUCGGCAGCCAGCUUAAUAAUUUAUACAGUGCAGCAAUCUUAUGUUUAGAUUAUAGCAAUAGCUGCACAAUGCACUAUAAUGUAACAACUGCCAAAUUAUGCUAACCUUAACCUUGGGUUUACAUAAUAAAACAUUAUUCUCUCUCUCUGUUAUAUAUUAUAUUAUUCAAUAAAAAUAAAACUUAUAUUUAAUGUUACAUUAUUUAAUUAAUAUAUAUAUAUUAUAUUAUUCAAUAAUUGUAUAUUAUAUUUGUAUUUUUAUGUUAAUUAUAAAAAAUAAAAAAUAAUUUAAUAUCUUAAUAUAAUAUAAUAUUAUUGUAUUGUACUAAGAUAAAUUAUUAAAUAGUUAAUUUAACAUAACCAAUAAAAAUUAAAUAAUAUUAUAAAAUAAUGAUAUACAAAUAUUAUUAUAUUUAGUUCAAUUUAUUGCACCAAGUAUGAAAUUGUAUUAUAAUUUAAUCGCAAUACAAUACACCAUAAAUUAUAUAAGAUGAUACAAUUAAUGUAAUACAAUAUAAUGUGUUAAACGCGCCCAAAAUAUAAAACAAAAUUAUAAGUUUAAAAAAAAAAACAUUUAUCCCGAAACAGUAAAGUUCAAAACUUAAAAUUAUAACAUCACGACAUAAGGGAUUAUAAUAAAUAAUUAAAAACAUUAAAAAUCUAAAUGGCAAUAAUAAAACGAAUUAGGGAGCCGAGUGUUAUUUUAUUUUCUAAAUACUUAAAGGAGAUGACAGAUGGAGAGCGCGUGCACACGUGCUAGAGAGCUGGCGUGGCUGUGUCAAAAAAGUUUGGUUAAGGCAUGGCACUCGUUUCUUGGCGGAUGGAAUGAAAAGGAGGAAAAAAAAAAUCUCAACAAGUGAAUUAACAGAGAAACCCAUGUUCAAAUUCUGCUGUGUUUCUGGUCAGAAUCAGUUUGAAGACGAAAUUUUGAACGCAAAUUUAAAACGAACACCGCCAGCCACUUUGCACCCAGAAAGUUAAAGGGAAAAAGAAAAUUUUCCUUUUUUGCUAUCUGAAAGCAACAAAAAGACAUUCAUAAUUGGAAAGUUGCUGCUGAUGACCAAAAAAUGUUGCCUUUACUCUUUUGCUAAUGUAAGAAGGGGAUUAGGGUUUGACUUGGAGGACUGGAUGUGGUAAUCUCAGCUACUGGAUCUGAAAUUAUAGAGAGACUUGAGCUGGGAUCUGUUUAUUCUUCAAUCAAAACAAACCCAGCCAUACAAUUCAAGCAAAAAAAAGGAACAAAUAGAGGUUUGAUUUUUACUGUCAAGAUUGGCCCUGAUCUUUUCAUCUGAAUUCUUGGAUUUGGUUUAUAUUUGAUCUUUAAAACACUGGACAUUUAAGCUUUUAUGCAAAUUAUCAUUUGUUGACCUUGACUUGAGCUGAACAUUUUCUUCUGGGGUUCUGUUUUACUUAUUUUUAUUGAAGUUGAAAUUUGGCUGGGAAUUUGCUUGUGUAGCUGUAAUUCCGAACCAAGUUGAUUUUGUGGUAGUUGAGAACAUUUCUAUUUGUGAGAAAGACAGGCUUGGCUGUUGGCUGUGUGUUGUUCUGACUUUCUGAGAGAUUUACAAAUCAUAGAAUCUUCACUGUUCUGUGGACAAAAGUAUAACAAAUGCCCUGUGGCAAAAUCCAGUUCUAACAUAAUUGCUAAAGAUUGAUCUAAUUCCUUUUGACCUUGAAAUUUAAAUUUGUGGAGCAUAAACGUUGGUCUUUGUUAGUCUUUACUUUGAAGAACUGCAUGUAGCUCUUGAAAAUUGUUGGUUUACAAUUGAAUUGAUUACCAUGAAUAUAUAGGUACUCUGAGGCAACAACCAAUAUGCAUGCUAGGCAUCGGAGUCCUGGAAAUGGCUACAGGUCAAUAGGGAUGGGCAUGGGCCCAGAAGCUUCAGCUAGAGGCCGUGGAUUUUACAAUUCAGAAUACCGGGGCUUCAACCGUGGGUUUGGGCGUGGCCAGGGCCAGCCUAAAUCAUUUCAGCCGCCGCCUCCCACACCAAGAAAGGGUGACAUUUUCAUGGAAGCAGGUCGACUUGCCGCUGAGUAUCUGGUUUCGCAGGGACUGCUGCCUUCCAGUGUACUGUCUGGCAAAUCGCAGAAUGGUAAUUUUAGGUCACUAGAUGGAGAUGGUAUGCAACUUCCAUCGGAAGGUCGGACAUCAGCCCUUACCCGUCUUGGGAAUUCUGGUUCCGAUGUGGAGUCUGGUAGGAGAAGAUACCCAGAUGAUUAUAACUCAAUGGGGUUGGGGAAUUAUUUGAAAGGUAGGAGAAAAGGGUCCUUCAGAAGUUACGGAUCAGAUUGGGGAAGAGAAUAUGGCAGGACUGGUUCAUGGUCAGAGAGAAAUAAAAUUUCCCCCGAUGUGGAGGGUGAUGAUGACUCUUAUUCUGGGCAUCAAGAGGAGCAACGUCUUGGUAAAGAUGUUGAUAAUGGGUUGCAGAAGGCUGGGACGGGUGGAUUUGCACCAAAAAGUGAGGAAGCUGGUAGCAUAGAGGCUGAAUCGGAUAAGCAUAAUGUCCUUGAUGUAAUGGGCUCACGAGUGAGUUCUUCAAGCAACGGAAAAGAUUUACUUAAAGAGACUGAUGGUGAAUUCUCCAGGAAAACUGUGGAAUCAACAAACAUGAAUGUGGAGACUGGAGAGCUGAAGGAUGUUUCUUGCAAAGAUGAAACAGAGAAACUGGAUGACACGGAGGGCUCAUCCAUCAAGCACUGUGCUGAGGAAGGUGAUACAUUGCGCAAGAGUAAUAAUGAUUUACUAGCAUUGUGUAAAUUUGCCAAGGUGCCCACAAAAACUCGCUCUUCACUGUCAUAUAAAGGCUUGAAGGCUGAUUCGGUUUCAAAUAAUGAUGAUGAAAACACUUCUGAUAUCAAACCUUCCAGAAGAUCCGAGGUCUUAGUUGAAGAUGUUUCUGCUGCUGAUUUGCCAUCGAAUAAAACUCAAGAGUCAAUGUGUAACGACUUUGAAAUGUCCAAACCUCUGACUAUCCAGGCCGUUGAGUCUGUGGGAGCAUUAAGCUCUACUUCUGGUAUCAAUCAAGGUAAAUGUGCAAGAUCACAAUCUUUCCCAGAUAGAGGUUUCGUGCAUGACACCAAGCUGGAAUCAGUUCAGGAGCUGUCAGAUCUGCAGAGGUCCAGUUCUAUGGUCAUUGAGAGAGGUGAAAAACGACCCAUGGAAGAUAAUGAUACAAGGGAAGGAGCCAAAAAAUUAAGAGAAUGGUUUCCAUCAAUGGUUACUAAGGCUGAUGAGUACUUUGGGAUGUCCAAUUUGGGUGAGAAGAAAGCAGUUUCACUAGAAGAAACGGCUUCACCUGAGGAAAAGGUGAUUCUGGCUUUUGAUCAAGAGAGCUCAGUUAAUAACUAUCAAUUUCAAAAGGGAAUUGGUGAACCUUGUGUUGAGUACACAGAAGAGAAACAGCUUUUUCCUGGUUCAUUUAAGAUUUGUGACCUUAAUCUAAUGGAAGGUUCAGACUUGAAUGAGAAUCAUCAGAGUGAUCCAACUCGCAUGUACCCUUCUGUUCCAAAAAGAGAAGCUACGCCAGUUGAUAUUGGUUUGUCCAUGAGUAAUUCCAGUAUGGUUAGUGAAUAUAGUAGACGUCAAAGUGAUUGUAAGGCGAUUGAAGUAAUUGAUUUAGAGGAUGAUUCUGUCCAAGAAAACAAGACUAAUGAUAAUUCAGAGAGAAAGUAUGUUUCUCUUAUCUCCUGUGUUUUCUCUGUUACUUCAUUGGUGCAUUUCUCAAAUAUACACGAUUAUGGUGUUAUAAUCUUUUGGAAAUCCAUAUUGAUUUUUUGAACAUAAAUUGUUCCUUUAUGCAGGACCGAAACUAUGUUUACCAGUUUGGAAGGUUUUCCUAACAAUACACAGAAUUCCACUCAAAUUCUUGAUGUUCCGGAUAACUAUGAUGGGCUUACAAUCACACAGUUACUCAAUACUUUUCCAGAUUGUCCUCCAGUACCUGGGGAUAUUAAUCCCCUUCAGAAUGAGAUGGUCCUACACAAUGGAGAGGUAUUGCCACCGUCUUCUAAGACUUUUGGUUAUUUAUUCAACAAGGGUCUUUCUCAUUUUUAAUGUGAACACCAGGCAACAUGAUGGCUGCUGGGCGUAAUUUGAUGCCUAUUUGUAGUGUCUUUAAAUGUUUAAUUUUUUAAUCUUGCAGCACGAGCAUGUAGUUUCCUAUUUUUCGGUUUGAUCAUGGAAUGAAUACUACAUCACUAGAUUCCAUGUCUUGAGUUCAUUACGGCUGAUUAAUUACCAAUUGUUUUUAACUGGUUGUUUCAGGGGGCUCUUGCUGAUGAUGAUUCAAUAUACAUGUCCCUGGAAGAAAUACCACUGAGUAUGCCAGAUAUUUAAUUUCAUGCUUUUUUUCUUUUGAAUUUACAGCGUAGCUAGAAGUGUAUUGGGUUAACUAAUAUGGUGGAUGGGAUUUUAGAAUUUUGAUAACUUAUUCAAGCUGAUCUAAAGGGAAUGCCCAGGAAGCCAUUAGAACCAGUUGUAACUUCUGUAUCAUGCAGUUAAUGUAGGUGGUUUUUUAUUCCAAUUUUAGCUGGUAAAGAGCAUGGGCCGGGUGAUUAUUGGCUUGCGAGAAGUGUUAUUGGUUAGUUAAUGUGGUGGAUGGGAUUUUAGAAUUUUGGUAACUUAUUGAAGGUGAUCUAAAGGGAAGGGCAUGAAGCCCUUCAAACCAGAUUGGAACUUCUGUACUGUGCAGAUUAAUGUAGCUGGUUUUUUAUGCCAAGCUUAGCUGGUAAAGUGCGAGGGCUGGGUGAUUUACCUCUGAGAUUUCAUUUCAUUGCUUUAGACCCUUCCCUCAAAUUGUUUCAUUGUUUUUUUAUGCCAAGUUUGCUACUAAGUGGAUGGAGUACCCAUUUUUCUUUUUUUUUAACGCUCAAAUUUUUGGACGGUGGGCAAUUGAUUUUUUUUUUUUUUUGCCCCUACCUUCUGCUAGAUUCAAACUUUGGUGGCCAACAAAAGAAAGCUACUUGAAAACUGCUUGGCCUAGCCCCUAGGGGCAAGUGGAUCGAGUACUGGUCCAUUAUGUUUUUUGACCUGUUAAAGUUUUGGCGUUGAAUUUAUGUUUCUGCACUAAUAUGGUAGGAUCUUCUUCGCUAAAUAGAAAAGAAAAGAAAAUUAGUAUUAGUGUUGGGUUUUAUUUAUUCUUAGAUAGGGCAAUGUUCAAAUUUUUGUUGAAUCAUGCUUUUGUUGUGGUGAUUGUGAUGAUAGUGUACUUGUUGACCAUAUGUAGUUUUUGACUUCCUCAUAUUUUGGUGCUCUAAUUCAUCCCUUGUAAGAAUUGUUUUUGAUGAUUUUUAUGUAGGCUUUUUGCGGGGAUGGGAGCAGCCACCACCACAAGAAUAUGAGAAGCCUUUCUGAUAUGGCGAUCGCUGAAAACUUAACUGAAGAUACUGCUUGGUUUGCAUAAUAUUUGGCCACUGGGUUCUUUUGUUGCAAUUACUAUUUACUCCAACUGUAUGCCUGCUUCUGGUAGUAGUUUGAUUUUGAUGAUAGAAGAUAAGCAUAUUCCUUCGGUAGGAAUUCAGGCAAACCGUGAUUUCUUUUUUACUAUAUUUGGCUGUUACACCUCAUUGUAAACUAAAUGGCGUUUGUAGUGUUGUUGGUUGAAAAAAUAUCUACUUACUUUUCCACGCAUAAUACCUGGUUGGUUUUCAGAAAUUAUGUCGUCUAAUACAUUAAGGUCUAACAAAUUUAUGACCAUUUUUUCGUCAAAUGGGAACUUGCAUAUUUAAAUUGAUAAUAUGAGAAGGAUAGAUUAAUGUAGGCUGCUCCAAUGUUCCCCGCUUGGAGCACUCUGCUGCAAAUUCUGAUGACAAGAAUCAUUUUUAUUUGACUCAUGGCUUAGCAGCUGUUUUCUGCGUACUCUUGUCUAAAUGCAUCAAUUGCUGAUUGGUUCAAUGAUUUAGCAAAUUUGUUUGAAUCAAGAUUCUUGUUUGAUAUCUGGCUGUAUCUGUACUAUGGUAAUGGACUAGCAGUCCAAGUUAUUGGAUUGGAGGGAGAAACUUCUUAUCAAGUUUCAAAAGCUUAAAGCUCAGCAUAAUUUCAUUGCCAACAAACCGGUAAGAAAUUAUCUUCCCUCCCUGUAACACAGGAUGUCUUUGGCUAUAUACUAGACUUGCUCAGCUGAGCAUGCAGCUGCAUUUGGCAUAUAAUUCCAACUUCUUCGUGCUGCUAGUCACUCUAAACAAGCACUGGAGGUCUUUUCCAUGCCCUAGAAUGUAUUGUUUUUAUUCAUAAGCUAGAACUAAAAGAGCAGUGGCCGGUAGCACGUGCAGAUGCAAUCUCUGUUUAAAAAAACGGAGCACUUGCAGUCCAACUUGUUCGCUCAAGAAGAAACGAAAGAGUAUGACAUGACAUGCGAAAGAAGUCUAUUAACUAAAGAAAUGAAAGAUAAAGACGUGUGACCAGAAAUUAAGGGCUACCUAUAAUAUAGCUUACAAAGUCUACAACCUUUUAUUGUAUACAAUCCGUCCGUUGGUGGAUCAUGUUCAUGUAUAAUGCGUAUAUUCAUCAGUGUAGAAGGUCUUUAAAUUCUUAAUGGUCCUGGUCUAUAUGGACCCACCUGCCUUGAUAUUUAAGACGUUUGAUUCUACAAUAUCUGAUGGCCUUUUGUCCCCGAUUUGCAUCUUCUUCUUGUACAUUUAUUAUUUACUGCCCAUUUGGCUAAAAAGCAAGGGGCUGAGGAAACCCUUUGGUUGUUUUGGCUCAACACUGAUGAAAACUCGGUUCAAAAUUCAAAAGCUUGUCGACUGUUGUGAUAUAGCAUGCACUUGCAGCACACAUGCUAGCUGUAACUUGAAUAAACAAGUGGUAUCAGAACCAAUGAGGCUAAUUGAACAUGAUUCCACGUACAGCGGAUGUUUGUUGCAUAUUGAAUUGACGAUGGGGAGUUUUUGAGUUACCAAUUUGAUCUGCCGAACUGACAUUGACUGUUUCUGAAUCCAUAGUGAUUAAAGUGGAAGAGUGGGAGUUGGAACGCCUUUCUUGUUUCGUUACGUUUUUAAACUUGGUUAUUGCCUUAAUUAAGAGAAAGAAAAAGAAAAAGAGUCAUAUGGGGCUGCUGUACCGUACAUCCGCCUUGGCCGUACAGCAGAAGCGUAUCAAAUCCUCACUAGUUUGAAUAGUUAUUUUGUUAAUUUUCCUGAAUGACUUUUACAACUGUAUAUAAUUUACACACUCGUGAUAUGCCGGGGGAAGUGAUCGCUAUAAUUUACUUUCAUCAUGCCCAAUUCAUUCGUCGAUUCGGGUGGAUUAUGCUUUGUUAUUUUCAAUUUGACCAUUUAUUUGAUACAAGUUACAUAAUUAAAUUAUUAUAUUACACAAUUAUAUGUAAUAAAUCCACAACAGUAAUAAUAACACAAAAAAAGACUGUCAUUUUGCGUGAUAGUUAGACAUACGCUAUUUUUUGCAUGUCGUGCCCUAUCGUACACACGCGACAAGCGCGCGCGUGUUACGUGCAGCAUGCACUCCCCCUCGCACGCUACCUGUGAUAGCCGCGUGUUUCGUUCUUUCAUCGAUCACUAAAUUUACUCUUUAUCGCACUAGGUAUACGAAAAACAAUGCACACAACUCAGCAAAACCCUCGUAGGGGAAGAUUAUGGGGGCACCGUUACAAGUCCUUGUCAGCAUCCAAUGAAUGGGAUUUUAAUUUAAUUAAAUCUUCUUACAGAAGAAAAAAAAAAAGGAACUGCUUCAUUACGUUAAGUAAGCACAAUCUGAAAACAACAUCACAUGGAUAUUAUGUAUGUAUGUAAGUAAUGGUAGUCUUAAAAAGAAAAAUCUAUGAAGAAAGCAAAGCAAUUAAGCAAAGUGAGGACAGCAACGCACACUUGCAUUUCUCUUCUUAGUCAGCAGCACAGCGCAGGCACUGCGGAGGCUUCAAAACAAUCAACAAAACAACAUGACAAGUGGGUCAUUCAUUUUGUCCGCUUAAAGAGUUAUAUGGACCUUCACACUCACUUGGGUUUUCAACUCUCUAACAAGUUGUCUUUUGGGACUGUGCAUUGAACCUCCAAAUAGUGGCCAGUGCUACUAGGCCUAGCUGUCUAGCUGAUUAUAUAAAUAAAUCGUGCAUUGAACCUCAGGCUCUCUCUCUCUCUCUCUCUCUCUCUGGGUUUUUUUUUUUUUUUUUACUUUUUGACAUGAAGCUAUUGAUUGUUCAGUAAAUACUUAGAAUUAUGCUUUGGCACCAAAAUUACAUAGGCCCCCUUAAAAUUUGAUGUUUAUGUAAAUAUGUCCACUUAACCAGUUGGUUAUCUUUUUCAAACAUCCAACAGCAGUUGCUUAAUCUUAAUGGUCAGAACUUAAAAACUUCUAUUUCUACUACACCAACGACUUAAAAGACAUAGCAGCAGCGUCAUACCAAAGGAAUACUUAAUACAUAUUUACAUAGGGAAUUGUCACUUUACUCCUUACAUUAUAAUCAACUCUCGCCAUUUAAUUCCCCAUUAUUUUUAUAAUAGCUAAUUACUAACGUGUGUGUGUGUGUGUGUGUGUGUUUUUUAUUUUUUUCUUUUUUUAAAUUUCUUCCACCAAUCUAUCUGUCUCUCCUUAUUUUAUUGAUAAAAAAAAGAGAUGGAUGGGUGAUUGAUCAUGUAAUCUGAUAACGAAAUCAUGAAAGACGGUCAAAGCAAGUAAAUCAUGCAUGCACUGUACUACCGAGUCACAGUGACAAAUAAAUCACAGCGACAUGUUGUCGCGGGCACAGUGAAACAAAUAGAAACUAGUAUCUUUCUUUUUAUAGCCUUGCCUUUUGUUUUGCUGCACUUGCCCAUUAAAUAAAAAAUAAAAAAUAAAAAUAAAUUUAUUAUUAUUAUAUAUUUUUUACCGAUGCCGAAAGAAAAAAUGAAAAAAAGAAAAAAAGAAAAAAGAAAUCGAGUCUGAAGUCUGAUCUCUGAAGCAGGCUGCAGCAGCUCUCAGCUCCGGCAGGGAUCCUGGAGUAAGAUCUUGCAGCGUAAACGUGGCAUCAUUUGGGUGAGCGGGGCAGACACUGUUAAUCUCCGUACACGUGUCCCGUCCUUUUUUUCUUUUUUUUUUAAUUUCAAAAAAUCUUGCAAGGGAGAGGACCCCGCGGAGCCAGACAUCCAACCGUCACAUCUCUUUCAUCCACCACACUUCCUCUCUUCUGUUGUGUUGUGCUGCCGCAAGAGCAAGUGCGAGUGCUGCUGCUGAGUCUUUGACUCCCACUUUUUUUUCUUUUCCGCUUUUUAAUAAAUAUUUUCUCGUGUUCCAUGUCUGAACACUCAUUGGCUCCUCUCUCUCUCUCUCUCUCUCUCUCUCUUAUUUCCAUAAAUUUUGAUGGGAAAAAAAAAAAAAAAAAAAAGAUGUUAUGCGAUCACACGUUUAUUUUUACCCACCGCCCAUCAAUAUUUGCAUGAAUUUUCUUCUUCUUCUUUUUUUUUUUUAAAAAAAUUUGGAGAAAAAUUAGCAUGAACCUCGGUCUUCUUCUAAAAUAAUCGUUAAUUUGCCAAAACGCGAACAGGGUUUUGGUUGUUAUAUAUGAAGAGGGUGAAAUAUAUGUGUACCCAAAUAAAUGCACAUGAACCACUUCUUAUUCAUCGAUCAUAUCAUAUACUCAUGAAAUAAAUAUAUGUACUAUGUUUAUCAAGAUUUAGAUGUAUCAUAUCAGCGGCCCCUAUAAUAAUACCUCUCUAGCUCCGCCGCAACAAAGUAAUGAAAUAUUAUAUCUUUUUGGUGUUCCCAUGCAUGAACCGUAUCAAUGUACAAGGCUUUAAUAUCUAUUUGUAGUGCCCCUCCCCCCCCCAAAAAAAUUAAUAAUAAUAAUAAUCACUUUGAAGGUUUGAAAAACGUGCAAUGGAGUAUCAUCCUUUUGCAAAUGUUAAGCUGCAUUUGGUAUUUUGGUAAUAUCAAAAUAAAUUUUAGCUUCCCCACAAAAAUAAAAAAAUAAAAAAAUUGCCCCCCUACUUGUGAGAGUUUUUGUUGUCAUGCUUAGAGUUUAUUUUUGAGUGAUACUAUUAGCACCUACCUCUUUUAAAAUAAAAUAAAAUAAUAUCUCUCUCUCUCUCUCUCUUUGAUUUUUUUGAUAAAUUAUCCUUCUAAUUAAAACUUAAAAGAGGUGUCGCCUUAGCUCUAUUUUUAUAUAUAUAUUUAUUUAUUUUUAAUAAAGAGUUGUAUGGUCAAAGUUAGAAAAUAAGUAAAUAUAGGCCUGGCAAAGCAAAAUAAAAAUAAAAAUGUUAGUAUUAGAUAUAAAUUAUGACUUUUUUACAAACUACACCUUAAAAUUAGAUACAUUUAUAAUUUGACCUUUAUUAGUUGAUGUUCAUUACGAAAUGAUCCCGGUAUCAGUGCAUCUUUUAUAAUUUUAACAUCUAAAUCAUCGUCUAUUAUAUUUUGAUAUCAACUAAUGUUAUUUACAACAAAAUGGUGCCUUAAUCCAAAAUAUAAUAAUUAAGGAUUAGAUUAUCAAUUAAAUACUCUAGCAACUAAAAACCAACUUAAAAAAAAAAAAAUGAAGCCUUACUGGAUUGAUAUGCAAUGGUAUAAGAAGUUUUAUAGCUUCGGUCGAUUUUUAAAUAUUUAGAAGUAUUAAUAAUACUUCUAUUUAAUUGUCAAAAAAUCACACGCGUCGAACACAAAGCAAAAGUAAUCUUUUUACUUGUAUGAAUAAAGGGUGGGGGGGAAAAAAUAAAACUGCUUUGAAAUUACAAAUAAUAAUUUAAUUAAUUAUUGGCAGUAGGAGGAGCGGGGCUGCGGGAGAGGUCACUUUGAAGAUGCAAGGUUAAGAGAAAAAAAACAAAGAAGCGUUAAACAGAAAAAAAAAAAAAAAAGGGUCGAAAGGUACAUCAAGGAGUUGUUAAAACUAUUUUAUAUAAUUGUAAAAUAUUUUCUUCCUUUUUCUCGAUUUUCUUUGAAGUUGAUCAUUUCUUCGAGCAACUUUAAUGGCUAGUGGGGUCAAUCCAUGUUCAAUCUUAGCUGCUAAAGAAACCCCAUUUUAUUAUAUAGCCCAUAAAAUAAAGAAUUAAAACGUUUCUAUUUUUAAUUUUGGUCCAACGGCUUACGAAUUGGCGACAAGAGUCGUUGAGCCAAAUUUUAUUAUUUUACACUACAAAUUGUGGGGUUGAAUUGCAAAGGUGAUGGGGGAGGGGGGAAAAACCAUGGAGAUUUCUGUCACUCUUUCCGUUAAAGUCAUUGAAUUAUAUAUAUAAAUGGUUGAAGUGGAAGAUAUGUGAUACUAACACGCAUGAGAUAUGCAUGCUUAUAAUCAAUUGUAUAUAUAUUGCGUGAAGCGAAAUCCAUACUUCUAAGAUUAUGUUUUAUCCUUUAAUUUCAUUUUUGGAAACAAGUCAAAAGUAUUUUUAAUAAGUAAAUGAUUUAAAACAAUAUUUAUGCCUUUAAUUAAAAUUCUACAAGGCAUAUAUAGAUAAUUGUGAAGACUACUAGCUAGAUGGGGCUCCUCCACACCAAAAUUUGGGAUCAAAAAUAUAACUCUCAAUUGAAUAGCUGGGCUCCUACGACAACACGUACGUCGGCCUUGAGAACCACAGCUUAAUAUUGUUUGAAAAUGAGCAUUGGAGUGGAGAUUAUGCGUAUUGGUAAGUUUGAGAAGUUGAAAGAGAUUGGGAGAAAUGGAUAGGAUCGUAGUGAGGCUCAGGCUCACAAAUAUCAUCGCUUGUUACAUGGGAAAUGCAUGGGAAUUUUUCUCUUUUUCUUUUUUUUCUUUUUUUCUUCCCAAUAUGUGUACAAUAAAUUUAUUCGUUUUUAUACCCCAUGAAAAAAUAUAACUUUUUGGGAAGACAAAUUAAUACACAAUAGAUUGACAACAAAAUUAAAUGCGUUCUUGUUUUUUCGUGCCUUUUAAUUUCCAAGUGCAUGCAUGCAUGCAUCCAUCCAUGUAUAUGAAGCAGAUUUAUUUGUGAUAUAUCUAUCAACCGCCGCUAAUUUUACUACAUUAUUCAUCGAAUAUUAACUUGAAUAAUUGUCACUCGUAAUCAUUUCUUGAAGCUCAACCUUAAAUAGUUCAUAGUAAAUGCAUGCAAACACACUAUUUAUGGUACUAAUUAACAGUUUUUGUUUUCACUAUCUAAAAACAAUUAUCAUACCCAUACAAAAUUCAUGUGUACAAGUUAUUACCCGAAUGAAAGGAUGAUAACUAUGUGAUAUGUAAUAGACUUUUAAUAUCCAUUUGAGUGGGAGAAAAUUUUCUUAUAUUAUUAAUUUUAUAACAAUAAUAUUAUUCGUUAAAAAAGAAAAAAGACACGCGGACAAAGUAACUUUAAUUAAUCUCGAUCCUUUUUAAUAUAAUUGUUAUCUUAUAAUAUAUUGAUGUUGCAAUAAGGUAUGAUAAUUAAAUUCAUACAAUAACAAUAACAUAAGUUAGUCCUUUUAUAAAAAGAAAAAAAAAGUUUGGUUUAGGGACUCUGAGUGUUGAAUAUAAUUCAUAAAUUCGUGACAAUUUGAAUCGUAUAAUUCUUAUGUAUACAUGUAAAGAAAAGGAAAAUUAGCAGUCAUCCAUCCUCAAACUGCCAUGUUAUUAAAUAUAGGACAACACUUUCUAAUUGUAUCAUGUUUUAAUUUUAAGAUCGAUGUUAUUCAUCCACCAAACCAUUAGCUUCCGCUAAAAAUUAAUAGAAUUGUAACAAAUUGAUCAUUAUGCCCUUGAAAAUCAAUUUAACGUAAAAAAAAAGGAAGUUAUCAACAAUAUAUCUUAAGUUUAUCACGUUAUCAAAAAUAAUAAAAUAAAAUUUAGUUUUUUUUUUAAAUAUGAAAUCAUAAGGAUUGGAUUUUUUGGGUGUUUAUGAAUUACGGUUUAGGGUAAUUUGUGGAUUUUAGUUUGAUUAUUUAAAUUUGUGAAGAUAAAUUGAGAAAACAAAUUAGAUUUUUUUUAAUUAAGGAAAAAAAGAGUUCAAAUUUGUUUGAAAUACUGUAAAAGUUAUAUUUUAAGUUUAUCACGUUAUCAAAAAUACUGUAAAAGUUCGAAUUUGUUUGAUUUUACACGCUAAGUUUGUAAUUUGUAUCAAUUGUUCACCAAAACAUUAACACUAACUAUUAGAAUAUUUAACAAUAUUGAUGUAAAAUGGCCAUUUUUACCCUUGAAUUCAAGCGCAUUUCUGACUUUGCACUAUAAAUAAUAAAAUAAUUUUUUAAAAAAAAUAUGAAAUCAUAAGGUUUGGAUUUUUUGGGUGCUAUGAAUUACAAUUUAGGGUAUUUUGUGGAUUUUAGUUUGAUUAUGUAAAUUUGUGAAGAUAAUUGAGAAAACGAAUUAGAAUUUUUUUUAAUUAAGGAAAAAAAUAGAGUUUAAGUGUAUUAAAUUAAAUAUUAGUUAUGAAAAUAUAUUUUUUAUAUAUUUUAAACUAUUAUUUUUUAAAUAUUUAGCAUUUUAAAUAUCUAGAUCACCCUCGUGACAUCAUUAAUUAGAUUAGAAAUGACAGUUAACGUUUUGGUGAACGAGUGAUACAUAUUAUAAACUUAGGAUAGAAAAUUAAAAAAUUCAAAUUUUGUAGCAUUUUUUACAACAAAAUAAACUGGAAGUGGAAGAUUGAUAAUUUUUUUUUUUACUUUUUAUAAACAUAAUAAAUGUCUAAAUUAUUCUUAUGGCAUCGUCAUUUAAAAGUAUAACUUAAAAGUAUUAUAAUAUUUUUUUAAUAACAAGAAAAUUUAUGAGUGGACGGCAAAUAAUAAUUUUCCUAAAAAAUAACCACUUAGUAAAAGAUUCAAGACAAAAAAAAAAAUCUAGGAGGGGGAUGAAUGAAUGAAUCUAGAACAGUAUAUAGAAAGAAGCAAAGAGCUAAGAUAAAUGCUUACAAUUAAAUUAAAGCUGCAAAGCGCCACCAGAUAUCAAUAAUUAAAAAAGAAAAAAUUCCCCAUAACAAUGAGAGGGAUGGAAUUGGAAUUUUCGAAAGAGAAGCGGGUAAAAUACAAUUUCCCACGGCGGUGAUGACUGAUAAAUUGUCAACAGCAUGACUGCAAGAUAUUUGUCGUGUAGCGAGGCGUAAAUGAAUUGUGUUUUUUUUGAGAAUUUUCAAGAAACAAAAUGUCCAAAACAGACAUUUCAAAAGGGUAUUCGAUAAAAAAUAACAAAAAAUCAGGAAUAAAGAAAGCCGAGAAAAUGAAAGGUUUUUUGUAGGGUAGGUGCAAGAUAGGACAGCUUUGUAUUUUCUUUAAAUUUUCAAAAAAAAAAAAAUUAAAAAAAACGCAAACACAAACGAGAUUAGCUCUAAUCAAAUGCAUUAAGCCAUCAACAUUAACUCACCUUUCAUUAAUGAGAGAGAGGUUAUUCUUUUUUUCUUUUUCUCUUACUUGUUUAACUUUUAACAAAUUACAAACAUUUUCUUUAAUUUUUUUUGACAAUUUUGCUUUUUGGGUGGAGAUGUGAGAGAAGGAGAACCUGAUGCCCUUUUGAUGUGUUAGUGGGUGGUGCUGUUUUUCUCUCUAAAAACAACACACACACACAUACACAUACACACAUAGCACACACACACUCUCUCUCUCUUUCUUUCUUUUUCUCUUUCUCUUUCCAUUUCCAUUUCCAUUUCUUCUUCUUCUUCUUCUUCUUCUUCAUUUUCUCCUAAAAAAAAGCAUCCCUUCAAAACAACAUCAAAAGGUUUGUGUGCUGUGUUAUUUUUCUUAUUAUUGUUGUUGCUGAAGUUUCAUUCUUUUUCCUUCUGGGUUUGUUUUGUUUUGUUUGUUAUUUUUUUCUAAGGGAUCGGUUUCUUCCUUCCAUGAAGCUUCUUUUGAGUUGUGAUUUCAUGAUCUUUGCUUCAAGCAAGUCUUCUGUUUUUACCGAAACAACGGGGCAAAAAUAUCAAAAUCUAAGUCUUUGGUCAUGCGUUUAUACUUUGUACUGCUUACUCCUCCUCUAGAUUUCGUCUUUUGUGAUCAGUUUUUAACUAUUCACUUCCUUGAUUUGAGCCUGAAAAUUCAAGUCUUUUUAACUUGUAAGCCAUAAAAUUUCUCUUUUUGUAGUCUUUAACUCAGCGUAUACUCACGUUCCUGUCUUAUUUUAUUUUAUUUUUCUCCCGAUGGCUUGCUGCAACACUUAAUCUCACCUUUGCAUCUUUAUCUAGCUAUUGCCGUAUGAUUUAAAAAUUUUCCAAGAUUUGAUUUUUGAGUUUAUGAUAGUGGGUUAUGGUAUCUCAAAGUUUUGAUUUUGAAAACUUUUUCUGGGUUUGUCCACAUAAAAUAAUAAUGCUCUUUUUUGCUUGUGGGGGUGUUUUGUUCUUUGCUUGAUCAAAUCAAAACAUUGAAGAUAGCUUCAAAUUUACUCAUUAAUCUCCCCAUCACAUAAAAUAACAUCCAUAUAUGGAAAGCUCUAGUCUUUAGAAUAAUCUCCUUCUGGGUCUCAUGAUCUUAUUAUCAUUUUUGUGUAUUUCUCUCAGGUUAAAUGGAUGAAGAUUCAAGUGGGGUUGUUGUUUAAUUGAUCUUGUUUCUGAAACUACUGCUGAUGGUGGUGGGGUUUGGAGUUUUUUUUUGGGUCGCUAAGGAUGCAUAAAUAAUAGAAAGAGAGAAAAUUUUCAAAAGAGUGAUAAUAAAGAAGAGGUCAAGUGUUCCUUUUCCUUUCUAUAUGCUGAAGGCUAAGAAGAGCAGUAGCAGUAGAAGAAGAAGAAGACGAAGAGGAGGAGGAGCAGCUUGUGACUGUUGCAACAACAGCACAAGAAGUGUGAAGCUUUUCUUCAGAUGUUAUCCGUUGAAAAAACUCCAUCAGAUCCGUCAUGUUCUUGUCAAUUUCCUCAACUAAAUGCUACUUGUAACAGUGAUGACAAAGCUUCUCCUAAAGUAGUAGUAGAUCUGCUAAACACACAAACCCAUGAUCAUGAUCAUCAUCAUCUUCCCAAAUUCUCUAUAAGGUAAAAACAAUUUUAUUAAUCAUUUUAAUAAUCUCUUGAUUGUAUUCAAUGAAUAGUGAACAGUGUCAAUAAUAAUAAUAAUAAUAAUAGUACUUGCAUACAUCUUAAAAAGAUUAUGCUAAUAUCUGAUGCUUAAUUUCUUCUUGGGUCAGAUCCAGAGUUUUUACAAGUAGCUUUUGGUUCAGUUUCGACAUGGGGCCUAACUCAAAUCUUGUCUCUAUUUUGGUCUUUUGGGGAGGGGGAGUGGAAGGAGAUCUUUUUCUUUGAUCAUAAACUUAUGCACGGCUCUUAUCCAACCCAGCCAGCUCUAAGCUUCUAAGUUUGCGUCUAAAUUUGUGUAAAGAAUAAAUCUUUUUUGUUAAACAUUUUAUUUGCUCUUGAUGUUAUUGCCUUGUGAUUUCAUGUCAUCUUGCUACAUGUGAUCCUAUUUGGGUCUUAGCCACCUGGGUUAGCUUACCAUAUCAUUCCAACAUAUUUGAAACUUCUGUUUAAGUUAACUAGAUCCUCGAAUCUGGCUAUUUCUUGGAUGUUUCUCUUUCAAAUUCCGUGGUCCAUAUGUUGCUGUCAUCGGCUGACAUAUGAUAUAAGGGUCUUAUAGGUUCUAUAAUCCAGAUAAUCUUAUAAAGUUUAUUGUUGAUGAUUUGAGCUGACGGUGUCUUUCAUAUUUGAUCAGAGUUACUAACCAUACACAAUUGUUUGAACUGUAGAGAUUAUGUGUUCACCUCCCGGAGCAAAGAUAUCAAGAAGAAUUGGCCUUUCUCUCUGAAGAAUUUGCAACUUUGUUUGAAACAUGGUGUGAAGGAAGUAUUGCCACCAUUUCAGACUCAUAGUGCAGUGAAGACUCAAUCUAUUAGGAGAUGUGCGGUUGAAACUGAGAAGAAAAGUGUAGCCAAUUUUGAUGCGGAGCCUUCUGAGCCCAACAAUAAAGAAGUCCUAGACUCAUCUGGUAAUGCUCAAUUGAAUGACAAACUAGAAAAUGCUUGCCUAGACACGAGUUCAUGUCGAUCAGCAGGAGAAAACGAAUUUCCAUCUACCACAACAAGUGUUUCUCAUUCUGAAAUAGAGUCUGUUCCUACUAAAAGACCAUCUAGUUCAUCGCUAGAAACUGAUCCUUUAUUGGAAGCCUCCGCCUCGGCCUCAGCCACAGCUGAAGUUAGAGCUGCAGGUCAUCCUACCACUCGUCCCCCAGGCAAAAAGUGCAGAUUGAUAGUAAAAUUCGGUGGCAAUUCCGAUCGUAGUUCAACUGAAGAUAUUGCUUCGAAUUCUACUGCUGUAUCAGAAACAAUGGCUUCAAAAGUUUGCCCUGUUUGCAAGACAUUCACGUCCUCAUCAAACACCACUUUGAAUGCACAUAUUGAUCAGUGCCUUUCUGCUGAAUCAACUCCUAAGUGGACUGCAGAUUCUAGACCUACAAGGCAUAGAAUCAAGCCAAGGAAGACUAGACUGAUGGUGGAUAUAUAUGCUACUGCCAAACAUUGCACAUUAGAAGAGCUUGAUAGAAGAAAUGGCACAAGCUGGGCUACAGUUUCGAGCUUGCCUGCUCAGGAUACUGAGAAGCAUGAGAUGCCAGCUGAAUGGAAAAGGCCAAGGGUGUCACAGGUACAUCCUGAGGAUGCUGGUGAUGUAGGUGAAGUUUAUAUCGAUGCCAAUGGCACUAAAGUUCGUAUUUUAUCCAAGCCUAAUGAUGCUGCUGAGGCAUCGAAAGAAUUAGAGCAUUUUCAACCGAAGAAUCCCUUGAAAGGAUGUAAAGGAAGCAAAUUAUUUUCCAAAAAGAAGAAGCGCCAUGCCAAAAAACAACUCAAGUAUCUCAAACUUGCUCCUCAAAGCAGAAAAUUUUUCUCUCACAAAGCCCGUGCUUCUCAGGUACUCUACUUUGAUAGUUUCUACUAGGAUAUCUAAGCAUUUCUUUUUCCUCUUUCCAUCUUUUUUUUUUUAAAAAAAAAUCUAAUAUAUGACAAAUAAAAGUGAAAAUAUGUUACAUGAUAUCAGUCAUGUAACUGGAUCCAUGUGCGUGAUACUUAUAUGCCAGAUUGACAAAAUGUUUAAAAUAUCAUAACCAAAAGCCACUAUGUGAUCAUUUCUACUUCUUGUCAUACAUUCUGCACUUAAUCACAAAUUUAAGUUGGAGAUUUGUGACGAAUCUGGUACUUUGAAAUUUAGCCACAUAUGCUUGUCAAAUUUUUUGAACAGAUAUGCGGGGGUCAAGAAGGAGAUUAUGGAGUGGAAGAAGGUAACAAGAAGGAGAAACAUCAGAGACAGAAGCAAACCAAAUCUGGUGAUUCUGGAGCUUUGAGACAAUGGGUUUGCUCAAAACGAACAGGUCUUACAAAGAAGGUUAACAAUCAAGAUAACCGUAAAGCUUUCAGAUGUAAAUGGCAUUUACCUCGGGAGUUGCUGAUAGAUAGUGAGCGGUCAAGUUUAGGUGAAUCUCUGACAGUGGGGAAUCAUAUUGAAAAAUAUGGUAAUUUGUCUGAGAAUCUGCCGUCUUCUCCUGGAACUAGUGUGAGGGGGGAGAAGCCAUUUUACGAAGUGCAAGUUAGUGACAAGUCUGGGAGAAAGAAAGUAGGAUGCCCAUCAUUUGGAGCCAAGGUCAGUGAUAAUACGGAGAGGUCUCGUCUGCCAAUGAAGCAAAAUAGCCAUUUGAACCGAGACAAUCCUAUUAUUCAUGACUGUCGUACAUCUGAUGCAUCUUCUUUGACCAAUAAGAGAGCAAGUGUUCCUGGAGGUCUGGUUGAUAUCCCACCCAGUGGUAGCACAACACCGUGUAUGAAUUCACAAGUAUUCGCAUCAACAUCGAUAAGAGUGAUAUCAAGGAAAACUAGGUCAACUGUGUUUAAAUCCAAUCCUAAUAGGGAGAAGAAAUUUUUGGCUGGAAAGAUGACUCGAUUGGAGCUUAUUAGAAAUGUAGAUGAAGAGGUAGCAGCUUGGGGUUCAGAGGUUGGUCAACAAUAUGCAUUAAACUGCAUGGGUGGAAGAAAAGAGAUUAAUGACGAAACACCUUUUGGAAAAAGUAUUUUACGUGGAAUGAUACAAGAUAGAGGAGCAAUGAGUACUGAAGGAGAGGAAAUCAUGGCUUUGGAGAGUUCGGAACAAGCACCCCAGUUUUAUGGCCAUGACAAUGGAGAAAACACAGAUGCUUCAGCUAGAGCUGGUGAUGAUGUUAUAGACAAGGUCGAUGUCCUUGAAUCUGUUGAGGAUGCAGUUGCUACUGUGGAUACUAAGUUCGAACAGCUGAGUGAUCGUUCCGGGACCCGUUCGAAUUCUUUUGAGGACUAUAAUGGGAUACUAUGUGGAGGUGAAGCACUGACAGGCCCGACUGAGCCAAGCUUUGUUGAUGGACAAGAGAUGUAUAGUUCCGAUGAAGCAGGCAAUGGGAUAAUUGGGCAAAAUGAUCAAAUGGGACCAGGUUUGGAUUCUGAUAUUGGGGAAGGAAAUUCCUUUCCUGAGGUUGAUCCCAUUCCAAUUCCGGGACCACCAGGUUCAUUUUUACCCAGUCCUAGGGACAUGGGAUCUGAUGAUUUUCAAGGGAACUCAUCACUAACCACAAGCCGUGUUCAAUCUUCUCAAGAUCAGCUUGAUUUGGUAGAUGGAGAUACGUCAGAUUCACCAAUUUCUGUGGCAUCAACUGUCUCUAAUUCCACUGCAGUUAGGUCUGACUUCAGUCCAUUAUCAUCUGCGGUCCAUGCAGUUCAAGACAAGUUGAAGCCAGGCUUAUCGAGUGGUGGUGCUGAACCAUUGGUUGAAAAUGCAGCUGUGGUUGCUCAGACAGGUACAGGAGCAGAAAGAUCGUAUUUUGAUGGGGAGAAGUUUAAAGUCAAUAAGAUCUCUAUUGAAAAGAGAACUUCCAGUUUCAAGAAUGAUGGUCAGCCAUGCUGUUGCCAACGGAAGGAGAGAAUAUCUCAGGAUGUUGCUCAGAAAUAUCAAGAAUCACAAUUAUUAAAACGACGAACAAUGACUUCAGUGACGUUGCCUGCCAUUGUGAAGCAGAAUGUGAAACCCAACAAUUUGGAUGUGAGACCUGAAAUAUUCUCCCUCGGCAGUUGUCCAAAUUUUGUAUCUGAAAAGAUUGUUCCCCCUACCAUGAAGUCCUCUGCCAGUCCCAUUAGUGUAAAGGGAUCUCCUGAAACUGGUGUGAAGUUUUCAGGUCACGGUGAUUGUGAUUCUCCUAGUCCAUCAACUCCUAAUCCUGUGCUCAGGCUUAUGGGGAAGAACUUAAUGGUGGUCAAUAAAGAGGAAGAUGCAUCUGUGCCUCUUGGGCAGUCCCAACCUUGUGCCCAGAACAGCCAUUUAAUUUCUCAGUUGCCAACAUCGUCUCGAUUCUCUCCUGGAAGUAUGCAAAAUCAGGACUGCCAUUACUUCCCACAAAUGGGUUCUCAAGGUCCUGUGAUCUUCAGUCAUAAUCCAUAUGAUGCAGCGGGCCAAUCUUUUGAUGCCAGAUUGCCUAGCAGUUUUAGAAACCAGACUAAUCCAAGGACACCACAGACAUCUGCACAAGUUCCAUCAGGCCUGUUUCCCAACCAGCAUGUAAAUGGUGGUUUUACUGCUCCAAUGGAGCCUCACAUGUAUGGAGAUGCUUAUAGUUUAUCAAGUAGACAUGAUCGACUGAAGUUCAGACAGAGUGAAACAUCCUCAUAUGUUAUGGGGAAUGUAGUAACAAGUCUUGACCGUCCACAUAAGAGUGCAGAUUGCGGUGCUUCCCAAAAAGAAAUCAUUGUCAUUGAUGAUAUUCCUGAAAGUGAAGCCAAUGUGUCUGCUGAUGUAACAAAAUAUUCCGAGGGCUUGAGGGCAAGUCAGCUGAUGUCAUCUGGAAUUUCAAUUGCAAAAGCUCCCAAUUUCAAUCCAAGGCAUGUGAAUCAUUUCUCUUGUUAUCAGGCACGAGAUCAUCCCCCAGUCUUAGGCGAAUCACCUGCGGUGCACAACAGCAACUUCCCUGCAAUCCCCAAGCUACCCAAUGCAAGUCCUGUUAGAUGGGUUUGUACUCAAGAAGGCUCUACUGUGCUGCAACGGGGUCCUUUUGCAGCUGCUCCACCCACGGCGGCAAGUCAUGUAAGAUCCGGGCCAUAUUAUUCUCCAAGCUUGUCAUAGUCAGGAGCGUGACUUGAGAUUGGCAAUUUUCACAUGGUCCAUGCAGUAUCAACGGAUGGCCAGAAAAACGAAUUGGGACUGCAGAAAUUAUGGGGGAUCUCAUUAAAGACAGUCUGCAUGGGUUCAUCGGCUAAGAUCUUGAAUAGAGUUUGUAUUUAUAUUUCAAGUUACUAAAUGUUGGCUCAACUUUAUGCUGUUUUUGGAGGAUUUUCUGCUUAGGCAAAAAACUCAAAAGCCUUCCAGGAACUAGCAAGUGUAUAAGGAAUCUUUGAAUAAUAGUUUAUGAUGAGAACGACUCAAUGCCAAUGGAGUUAAAUGUACCUAUAAAGAAAUUUUCUUCUUGUUCUUUCCAUUUCUAUAUUUUGUUAUUAGAGAGCUGCUCUUUUUACCGUGUGCCUUAGCAUCCAUUGAUCUAGUAAUACGCCUUAUGAAAAGUCUAAAAUCAAAUGACCUGUGAAUUGUAGUUAAUUCAUAUUUUCAAUAGCUGGUCUCAUUUUUUCUCCCCCAUCUGUACUCGCAGAAUUAAAAUACCAGAAAAGAUGACAAUGGUAUACAAACUCCAUCCGUGAUGGUAUGGAUAUUGCAAGAUUACUACGAACAAUCAGUACUCAAGGACUAAUUGGGGGAUCAGCUCAAAAACUUUCAAAAUUUCAAUAUUUCAUGGAGAUCAUAUCAUCGAUAUUUUCGGGUAAUUUUAUUGUAAAUCAUAGGCUUAUUAUAUCAUUAGCACAUGUGAUGUGCGGUUGUUGGUUAGACGAGUAGAGUAGAGAGAUAGAUGGGCGGAUUGUACUUGCAGCGCGCAGUAGCCAGUUAAUUUGUAAGAAUCUUUGCAUGCAUGGUGUGUCAUUAAUAAUUGUUCAGAUGCAAAGGCCCUGCUACCUGCCUCUCGCAGCAGGGAAUGCAUGCGAUUCGUACACCAAAGCCCAGAAGAUGAUGAUCGAUCUCAUGGCUGAUUUGAAUUAGACCACAUAAAAUUACGUUAUUAAGUGAGCUGUCAACCGAUGCGCUCUCUAAUAGCCGUCAAAUAUUUGUUGCAUGAUGAACAAGAAUUCAUUUUCUAAUCUUCGCCAUAAAUUAAAUUAAUGUGGGACACAAACAGGAAAAUAUAGCAAAAGACGUGUAGGACCCCAACCCCAGCAACAACAAGGAGGUGAGAAAAAAAAAAAAAAAACACUGAAAGUUGCUGUAGUUUUUGUGGUCAUUAGGCUAAAAAGCAAGGCUACUGGAAGCUCUGCCAAAACGACCAUGAAAGAAAUAUAGCCGUUGCUGCAGAGAGAAAAAGGUGAGCUAAGCUAGGGUAUGUACUGCUAAUCAUAAUUCAUAAAAAAGAGUACGAACAAGAGAAGGUGAUGAAUGAUGAUGAUUUUCGGACAGACAGAGAGAGAGAGGGAGAGAGAGAGAAAGUAAGGUCAAGGUCAAAGGAAUAAUGCCCAAAUUAAAACCAUAGUGGCACAAAACAACAAAACAAGAGAAUGGCCGUUUGCUUUGCUUAGAGCCUUAGACAUUCGCAUUAUUUACUAAAAUCUAGGGCUUAGUUAGCUUGGCUUAGCUUAGUUUAGUUUAGUGGCACUCACUAUUUAGCUUGCAUUCUGCUUUUUCGUGUUUUUUGAAAACAGUUUUGAUUCACUUUUUCUAUGGUAUUGGUUUGGGUUCUGGUCUCAUUUGCCAACUUGAGAUGGGAGGGGUUUUUGUGAAACAACGUGGGAUGUGCGUUUUGCAUGGUGAAAGCUGGACACCUUGACAAGUCUUUACAAAGACGAAUCGCUCUGUUUUUGUUUUUUUGUUGGGGGGGAAUUUGUGGGCCAUUCCUUGUCUUUCUCGUCAUCUUUUGCCCCCAAACCCACUUCCACUUUACUCUUGCUUUCUUUUCUUUCUAUUUGCUUUUGAAAAAAAUAUUAGAAAAUUUUACAAAGUUGUGUUGCCCAAGGAAAGAAACCAACCUCCCCUCAAGCAAGAAUCUAUCUUCAAGCCCUUAAUUAUUCCAACCUUGACCAAUCUUUGUUUUUUUAAUCCUUUCUUCCUUCAGUAAAUAUAAUAUAGUGUUAUUGAUUUGUUAACUUUUCCGGGGUGAGUAUGAGUUGGGUUGAGAAGAAUUCAAUCUAAAUUAAUUAAUCAAAUAAAUAUGUCCAAUCUAACUUUUAAAUUAUCAAGUUGGGUUGGGUUACAUUGAUAGAGUUGAUAAAAAUUAAAAAAAACUAUUUGGUAUUUAGAAUUAUUUCAAAUAAGAAUAGGACAGAUUAAUUCUCUAUUUUGACAUUAAAUGUUAUUCAUUAUACUCAACAAUCGAUUUGUAAACAAAGAAACAACAUAAAGAUUUGUACAAAAGAAGAAGAAGAAGAAAAAGUUAUGACGUAAUGUUUGAAAAUUUAUCAAAUUACUUUUAGUGAAAAUUCGGGUUUAAUUUCUAAAUUUUGAAUCAAGGGAAUUCAAUCAAUGUCAAGUUUAAAUAAAAGAAAUUGAAAAAAAAAAUCUAAAAAGGAAGGUUGACAGUUGGCAUUAAUUUUAUCAUGAUUUUUAUUAUUUUUGGAUUGGUUGGGUUAUACGUGAACCCAACCCAAUUCAAUCAUUAAUUGGGUUAAACAAAUUGAUCCAAUCAACUCAUUAUAACAUAAUUAACUCAUCUAAAUUUAAUUAGAUUAGGUUGAAUAAGAUUUGUGCCGAGUGGUUAGAACUUUGCCCUCACAAUUGUGAGGACAUGAGUUCGAGACCUAUAAUACAUUGUGAGGGUUUAAUUUUAUUAUUCAAUUUGAGUGAAUAUAGUCUUCUCCUUUUAAAAACGUGAGUGGAGUAUAUGUCCCUCAAAUAUUAGAGAAGAGAAAAAUCUAGACAUUGCUAUAUAAGAUUUGUAAAUCUAAUUUCAUUUGAAAUUUGAGUGGAGUAGGCGUCUUUCAAAUAUUAGAGAGGAGAAAAAAUGAAAAUCAGGCAAUACUAUGUAAAAUUUGUAAAUCUAGUAUCAGCAAUUGUCUGAUUGUAAAUAUAGGUAUAGUAAUCUCAUGAAAUAUGAGUUAUAAUUUGAGUAAUAGUCUCAUGUAAUUUUUUUUUUUUCAAAGAGAUUUGUCGACCCCUACCAAAAACGCUCUUUUAAUUUAACUUUAUAUUGAAUUAUCAAGUCCUUGCCAUUAAGCUAUACGGUUUCGCCAGUAAUACAUAUAUAAGGAUAUUAUUUAAAAUGCAUCAGGUGAUCAGAAGAAAGUAUCAAGUGCAUUAUGUACUCAUUUUUUGUUCUUAUUGCUUAUCUCCAUUACAAAAAAAUCACUUAAUCAAUGCUUGAGAUUUUGAUUACGGAAUUGUACACUUAAUUUGUUAAGAGAGGAAAACAGACACAUUCUUCUAAGGACAUAUUUUGUCCACAACAUAGGUGUUUUUAGCUUGUAAAAACAAGAGAAAUGAGAAGUUGACUGCUUAAGAAAUCACCCCAUAUAUAUAUUUUCACUGUUCCUGUAAAUUUCCCAAAAGUUUUACCUGUCGUAUUGUGAAAGUGGCUGUGUAUAAAAUAUAAUAGCAUAAUCUCAAAUUUAACUCAUGGUCCCUGUGGCUAUAUAGUAAUGUUACAGCACCAGAAUAAAUAAAAUGUAGAGAGAAAGAAAGCAGCACAUAGACAUACAAAGGGCGUCCAAACGCAGGCACGUCGUGCGUUUAAGUGAAAGAAUAUGUUAAUGUAGAUAUAUAUUUAUAGAUAUAUCUACAUGCAGGAUGCAGCUUAUUACUUAUACGAGUAUUAGGAAGCUGGUUGGUUGUAAGCAUUAACUCGGCUCUGCAAAAUCCUUAAUGUUAUUUCGAUGGACCACAAAAGUUUUCAUUGCCUUGCCUCACAUUUCGAUGGACCACAAAAGUUUUCAUUGCCUUGCCUCACUCUCUUGUCAUUGUUGUAACAAUAGUUUUAUCUAGAUUUACUGUACAUUUAUUUCAUCCAUAUUUAGAAACGCAGUGGUUAUAAUUUUUUCCUGAUGUUGAUAUCUGUAAAAAUUUAAUUAGUUUCUUAAAACAAUUACUUGUAAUGAUGAAUCAUCAGCAAAUCAACCUUCAUGUUGCACUGUUUUAUGUUGAUGGAAUGAAAUUAUGAAACUAUGUUUCUUUGUCCGAGAAAAGAAAAAAAAACUGUAGAAAUUUAAUCUUUAAUGGGUUCUUACUAUUUGUAAGUUUAUAAGAAUUUCAUUUUCAAGUUUUGUAGUAAGAGUAUGAGCAAUCAAUGAAAUGAAAGGAAAUUUCUAUUCAAAUGAUGACAUCAAUAAGCCGUAAAGAGUCCACACACUUAGACCAAACCUUGAACCAACGGUACCCACCAACGAUUACCAACCCAGCAUUUGAAACAGUUGAGAGUUAGUUGGUCAGUUCAAAUCGAUGCACCUGUAAGACCCUGUUCACGGGCCUUCUUUGGGUUGUUGCUCAUGUGGGGGUUGAUGAAAAUGUGAAUAUUGAUUAGUCUAAUUUUGACUUUUGUUGGUGUGAUGAAAAAUGAGAGAUCAUACCGUUAGUUGUAUACGAAGUACUUGUAAGUUGUAACUUGUGUUACUAGAUUCAUUUCAGAAUCUAUGCAUAUUACAGAGGCAAAUGGUGUGAAAGCCAAUGAAAUUGAAAGCCGCAAGUUAUAAGAAAGAAACUUGAUGACUAUAUAUUUCUAGCUAAAAGUGUUACAGCAUUAACAAAACUGAGCUUCCCAAGAAGGGAGUCGAAUGGUAAAAAACAAUGAUCACAGGAUCAUAUCUUACUUCUCAUCCUCACUAAUUUUGCCAAAGUUUCCUGAGCUGCCAAGGUAUGAGCAUGGUUAUGUCCCAGCAUCACUGUUCGAAUACUGAUACAGGUUCUGCAUAGCUCUUCACCACUGUCAAAAUGCCCCCCUCUCAGCAGCAACUUAGCUCUUGUCUCAAGUAGGGUUGCCUUCAACAAUGUCACGUCUUGCCACACAUACUCAUCAACCCUUUGGUUCCCAUUUAACUUUUUCUUCCAACAAAGUGAGCCAUGGCACCAAUCUUGAAUCUGAGACACAAAUGAUUUCUCUACUUCCUCGAGUACAUUUGUGCAUACUUUUAGAAGCUCCAAUGCUGAGCUGCACCUUGAGAAUGUUGUGAACGCCCUGAUUGCUAGAGGAAGAGCUAUCUUUCUAAUAUACAGAACCAUGUCUAUUGCCUUCACUUGGACUACUGGGGGCUCGGAUUUGAAUCCAAAAACAAGGAAUGCAGAUGCCCAAAGAUGAUCGGAGUUUAGCAAUGGAUUGCUAAUCUUCCUUAUGCCUUGAACUGCUGCCCUAGGAGCUAAUAAACCUUCUUUUAUCUUUGCAAACACUUGAGCUAUAGGAUGUAACUGAAUCCAACAUCCAGGUUGUUUGUUGGCUCUUCGUGCAAGUCCUAACUUGACUAGAAGAAGAGCUGAUUCUUCUUCAGUUUGGGGUGCCAGGCCACAGCCAACACAACACCCAAAUGUGAGAGUCAAGAAUUUUGUCCAUCUCCUGAAUCUAUUUCCAGCAUAAGGCAUGUUCUUAGCAGCAGCAGCUAGCAAAUUUACUGAAAUCGGAGCAGGACCAAACCAGGCACCAACGAGAAGCAUUCUUGAGGCAAGAAAAUUCUCUCUCCCAUUUAUUUGUUGUAAUAUGGCAAAGCAAAAGCAUAGAAUCUUCAUAAGGAAAGGAUUGUUUUUGCAAUACUGUUCCUCAUUAAUACUCAUGUGAGGAGAAGUAGAGCAUUCUUCAAGUGGAACUUGAUUCACAGCUUCAAAGAGUGCUGAUGGAGCAAUUCCAAGUUCAGAAAGUAGUGAUCCAAUUACCCCCAAACCAAAGCUCAACCUUCCCAGUUUCUCAUCAAAAUUUUGAAGGAACUCUAGCUCCUCAGCUGGAUAGUCUUUCUUCCUUUUGCCUCUCAUUAGAACCAUUGCGUCAGGCAAGGACAACGGUGGAAGCUGCAUUAUUUCAAAAUUCAUGAUCUUGGAUAGCCUUGUAGUGAUAAUCACAUGAGUACCUGCAGUGUUCCUUGGUAUCAAGUCAUGCAGAUCCUUCCCUUCCCACCAUUCUUUCUCUGUCUCAAGGUUGUCAAUGAUCAGUAGAUAAGGCAUGUCUCGGAACAGCUCCUUCUUAACUCUCUUGAAUGCCUCAAAUUCUUGCUCUUCGAAGCUUCGAAUUCUACCCCUUUCCUUCUCUGCAUCCGCACUCACAUCUAACCCCAAAUUGAGUGAGAGGUUCAAUAUGUUCUGCCUGAAGUAUCUAGCUUCCCCACCAACCCACAAAACCAUCUUGUAUCUUUGAGAAUAUCUGUAAGCAAAUUCAAGUGCUAGCUCAGUUUUCCCGCUGCCAGGAACCCCAUUUAUGCAUAUCACGUUGCUGCCCAAGCUCUUGUAGUUCCCACUUCUAGACUUCUUGUACUUUAACUUUUUCAACGAGUUUCUUCCCAACACUGGCUCAACCCAAGCCUCUAGCUUUGGUUCUUUGCACUUCCCUAACUCCAAGUUGAUAAAUCUCCCACCUCUGGUGCUGACUGAAUCACUUUCUUCAUCAGCAAGGCCUUCAGAUUGGCCACUUGCCUCUCCUUUGGUGAUUGGCAUAGCAUAAUCUUGCUCAAGAUAAUCUCCACUUCCAAAAAAGGCAGUUUCAAUCUCCAUAAUCUCCUUGUCUCUUCCCACCAAGCACCUGUUUCUAGGAAAUGGUAGCUCCUCAAAUCCUUCUAGAUCAUUCUCAGCCACACUCUUCCUUCCAAGCUUCGCUCUCAAUAUCCCAGCAGUUUUAGCCACACAGCUUCUCCAGUUACAUUCAUUGGCUUCCAACUUGAACUCAUGAGACUUCAUAAGUCCAUCAAGUGCUUCUUUGCACUCUGUAUCAAUUGAAUUGCAGUUGAGCAAACCCAAUAUCUCAUUAGGCCCAUUGUCAAAGAAAAGUGGAAUCAAAUUCUUCUUUUGAGCGAAGAACCUAAUCUCCUCCAAACUCAAAUGAUUAAGAAAGCUAGAAUUAGUCACAACCACAACACCAUAAGUCACUGAGCAGAUAACCCUGUCAGCAAUCUCAUGGCUCUGACUAUCUGAGUACUUAGCUCUGUCAGCAACAAAGCAAGCAAUUCCCUGCAGCUCAAGUUCUGACUUAAGCCACUUGCAGAACCUGACCAAGUUGGGAUUUUGCCCAUGAAAACCAAUGAACACAUCACAGCUUCUUAGUUUAGCAUUAGAAACAGGAGAAACUGGACCUUUGGCAAAGGAAAUUCUCGGCACUGGAAAUGAAAAUGAUACCCUUGGAGGAGCAGGAUCUGCUACUUGAACACAAGUCAUAAACUUGAGCUUUGAGUCAGUUGGGUCAUCAGAAUACUCAUAUUGGUCUGACGGGGGUGUGUAGGAGCUACUAGGAAUGUCAUCGGAUUGUGAGCCUCUGAAUGAAACUGGAGGUGAAGGAUGUGUAGCUGGAGUUGGGGUUUCUUGGGGUUUUGGAGUAAUGGCUCUAGGUGAAAUGUACGGUGAUUGUAAAGCUGAAACAAAUGCUGAAGAUGGCGGUGACACAAGAGGAGAGCCGUAUGGAGAUGAUUCAAUUGAGCUGAUUUUAAUGUUUGGUGAAGGCAAAUCCGAACUGAUAGGAGUUGAAGUUACAUUCGUACCAGCUUUGGUGCAAGAAGUUGAAGUCUUGAUGGUAAGGCCAGUUGGGGUUUCUUGAGGAAGCUGAGUGUUACCAGAUAGUGAAGCUGCUUCUACAGCCAUGGCUAGUGACUGAAAUUUCACCACACGGUAAAAAUGCCUUUGAAGUAUGCAGUACAGAAGUAGAUCUCAAUGCUUUUAACAAAGUUGAACUUUACAAUGUUGCUCUUCUCUAGAACACAUUAACGCUUGCUUUCAUUCACAGCCUGGACUGGAAGAAGUUGACGAAGGCCCUUUAAUAUGUGCUUCAAAGCUCUUCACAAAAACCAUUCUUGGCUGAGCUAUUCUAUUCUUUGCUUUGCUGACACAUAUAAUUAAGUGAGUGGUUCUGUCCAGAGACUAAUGGCAGAAGAUGAAUGCAACAGUUAUAAUUCAUUCACACAGAAAGAUCUGCAUGUGAUGUAUUAUCACUUGCCGUUGUGGGCCUAUUUAGUCAGAAGUAUACCUGUUUUCUUCCGCUUCUCAGAGUAGAUUUGACCGAAUAGCAUCAGCAUAAGAUCAUACUUCAUAAUACAUCACUUGGUAAAAAGAGCAAGCAUUCAAGCAUAGCCCUGUACAAAAAAUGAUAUAUACUGUUAGAUUCGGAGACAAAAUAUUAUUGCAAAAAGCUGUUUCCUAGUAAUAAAAGUUUCAUGUACAUGUAAGUGAUCAACAGUAGUACCUACUGCUUCAGAAGCUAUUUAAAUUUAUUUACCUGAAGCAAACAAGAAAUAUUGGCCCUAGUCUUCUGCAACUCUCGAAAAUUCAUCUGUUUCUCUCUCUCUUUCUUUGAAAAACAAGCUGUACAGUAUGGGAGGAAUCUAACGUAUGGGUUGGAUCUGCAAGGUUUUUGAACAUAAAAUAGUACAUAAAUAAGUGCUUAAAAAAGAAGCUGAAGAGGGUAAUAAAAUAUAAUGCGUUGGGCUUAGGCAAUUGCUUUCUUUUUGUUUUAUCUAAUGUACAUAUUAAUCUUUCAAAUUCUAAAACAUACAUGGGGUUCUCACUUUGUCACGGAAGCCAAGGACUGGUCAGAAAGAACUCAGAGGAAAAGGGCAUUGGGAGAGCAACCCCCAUUACGCAGACCUUGUUGUUUGUGGUUGAUUUGUAGUAAGUGGUGGAAGGUGUAAGCUUUUAAAUUGCAUUAGAAUAAAGCAUUUUGCAUUGAUAUUAUACAUGUGUAUAAUAUAUAUAUAGACACACAAUACAAAGGCUGGCAGACAAGUUUUUCUCUGUAUGUGUACGCAUCUGACACUAUUUGAAACUAUAUUGCUCUGGGAAUUGCACCAUAGACCAGUCCAACUGAUGCAAUUGCCAAGUUAAAAUGACACCUACUGCAUCUGCUUCUGGUUAUUCAUCAUUUGAAUUGUUUUACUGAUCUGUGACCAAAAAAAAAAAAACACUGUUCAAUUUCAAAUUAUGAAUUUUCUUAUCCAUUAUUUAGUUUGAUUUACACCAUCCUCAAGCAAUGUCUUUGACAUUGUCAAAUAGUGAGGUACACGCAGGCAAUGUUUAUAUGAGUAUAUAUAUGAUAUGUUAUAUAAUUAUGUGGCAUAGCCACCACCUCUUUAGUUUCAAAACGAUAGAAUUUGUUUGUGCUUAAUGCUCAUCGUCUCCCGAAAACUCAAAAAGUGUUGUUGGUGUUCAAUUACGCAAGGUUUUGCCACUAACAUGCAAGUGCUUUUCACUAAAUAUCUAGUGCUACUUGCUAAAAGUACUCUCCCUUGAGUGCUUAUUUAACUGUGGCUGCAAAACAAAAGUGCUUGUGUAAUACUUUAUAAAUGAAUUGGCCCAAGCUGGAAGGCUGCGCUUACUCAGACUAAUGUGUCAAGUGUCAACUUGGACACCCCGACCCUUAAUCCUAAAGCUUGAUCUCUUUAAAAUUUGUUUAGUGCUAUGGUCUUCCUUUUCACUGUGGACCCUCUAGCUUUCAAUCAUGGAGUUGUAAUAAAUUCAAUUCGACUGGCAAAAGAUAGCUAUUCAGUUCAAUAACAUCCUUAUGCGUCAGCUCUCAUAUUCUUUGUAUAGCUGUGCGUUAAAUUGUACAGAAAAAAAGGGUUAUUUUCCAAGCUAGCUUUGCAUACAAAAGUUGACAUUAUUGGCACCUUUCUGGUUUAUUUUAUUACGCAGUUGUGUCGUGGGAUUUCCAGUUUAAUGGAACUUCACUAGCAACUGAAAAAAAAAAAAGGCUCCAUUGAAGAGUUUCAUUGUACUCCUACGUCCACUUGCAUUCAAUUAAUUUUUAAAGCAUUGAAGUGAGGGGAUGUGUUAAUUGGUACAUUAAUAACAAAAGAUUAUUUUUUAAUCGCCUUAGUUGUACUCUAAUAACAAAAGAUUAUGUAUUGAGAUACAUAUGUAUAUAUAAUAUAGCUAGAAAGGGUGGAUUUAAUUAUCUUUUAAUCUUUAUUAUCACUUGCCCAUGUGGUCUUGAUUUUCCAAUCAUGCUGACAGGUGGCAAUUAUAUACAAUGAAAUGCGGCAUUCACCGGCAAAUCAAUAAGCAGAUGGCAGUUGUCUAAUUGUACUGGCUAAUCAUUAAAUCUAAGGCUAAAUACAACACUAAUUAAGAAUUUACAAGAGGCAGCAGCCAUAAGCGAUUAACUGAUUGAGCAUUAAGAUGGAUAAACUUGCCUUUGUUUCUAACUUUUCUCGUCUUUAAGUUGCCUCACUACUGGGGAAAUUGACAGCAACAGACACCUAUUAUAUAAUAAUCAUUCAAGUGAGAAGAUUAGCAAUAUUGAUUCUUGUCUCUACAGCUUUCAACUUAGAAAUAGUGAAGCCACAAUCAUAGUGGAGCAAUUGAUCAGUAUUGAUCAUUAAUUAUUGGAAGAAUUAAUAAGUUGUUCUUGUUAUUCCACAUUAAACAGCACCAUUAUGUAGAGCACUCAUCUCAUAUUUGAGACACUUCAUUGUUCAUAGAUGGAGCAUUCAAGGAUAGUGCCUGUAUUGUUCGAUACACUUAUCUUUGUUUAAAGAUUCACUGGUUUUGAUUAUUUUAUGAUUCAUUUGGUAUCCCCAUUAUGUUGAUGUGGACCACCAACGAGGCUUGGUAUCUAUGUGGACAUUUAAACUGGAGACAAAAUCAACCUCUCUGUCAAGAUUAAUAUGCAUGGCAUCUUCAUAAAUCGUCUAUUCGUCUUGGACUUUGACUGAGGACAUAAAAAUUUUUUCAAGAACAAAUUUUGCUCAAUAAGGAUUCAAUUUGUUGGCAUGCAAUUAAAAACUUGUUGGAUAUGAGCUAUAUUACCAAAGUAGUAAAACUGCCCAUUUGUUUUACCGGCUAUCAAUAACUAAACGAACGAGAUUUAUGAGCAAACUCAUAGAUUUAAACGCCUUAAUGUUCGUUGUAUGCUUUCCUUUUUGCUUUCACCACAUAUAGAAGAUUCUUAAAACUUUCAUUAGCCAAUUAUGGUAUAUGAAAUUCAAAAUUACAUGUACUUGCCAAGACUCGUUCAAUAAUUGUGAUAUAUUAUAAUUUUAUGUUUUAUCAUUCUUGGUUCUUAUCUCCUUUCUCCUCAAAUUUAACUUAAACUUUUCUAUUACGUAUGUGAACCAAGAUUUCAUCUCAAAAUCCUUUUUAUACUACCUCAAGAUAAGAGAUGUUACAAAUGAAAAAAAAAAACUAAUACCAUAAUUUGAUCUUUUUUCAGUUGAGAUAAGUUUUAGGUUUUAUUUAAUCAUUAAUAAGCUACAUGCACAAAAAAUAAAUUUGACAAGGCGAUUUUAACAAGAGAACAAUGAAGAGUGCCAAAGAAUAUAACAAAAAGCAUUGUCAUGUUUUGUCUCAUAUUAAGGUUGAAAUUAUUCCUCUUUUUGUUUUGAAUCUUGCUUGACUCAUUAAAACUAAACCUCAUUUGGGAUUAAGGUUGAAACUCAACAAGUUAUUCAUUUAAUAAUUUUUUAUAAAUAUAAUGUUUGGUAAAUUUUUUAAAAGAUACUUAUUUCACAAUUUUCUUUAUUUUUAUAGUAACUUUAAAAAGUAGGUAAGGGAUUUUUUUUUCUUUGUUUAUAAACAGUUUAUUAAAUAAGCAACUGUACCUUUCAAAAGUUUCUAUUAUAAUCUUAAAAUUUUAAUAAAAAAUAAUUAUGGCUUAUUUUUCCACAAACCACCCUAAUAUAUGAACCAUUAGAUAUCAUAUCACCACCACAAUCAAAUUACGCUAAUAACAAUUAUGUCAUUGUAUCCAUGGCAUUGCAGAAUUAUAUGAGGAGGCAUGCACAAUGUGGUCUUCAUUUUGAGAACAUUGAGAUGAUCCUAAUUUAAUCUUUGAUGAAGGAAUAGAAAGAGACAAUGACAUUUAAGAAGAGUAUUACAAUACUAAUGGCUCUAGAUCAUAAGAAUGAAAAAUUUGAGGAUUAUUAUUGUAAUAAGUUCAAUGUGAAUGUAAACUUUUUAUUUUAUUUGGAUUAUGUAUUAGUAUGAAUUUUUAUCAUAUUUUAUGUAACAUAUUAUGAAGUUCAUUAUAUAUUAUUUAGUUGAGUUUUUUUUUUCACUUUAUGCAAUUUCAUGUGUUUGAAAAGAAAAAAAACACAUGUCUACACAAUUUAUUAAAUAUACUUUAAAAAUUUAAAAUGCAAUUUAAACUUAUGCUUAUUUUAGUCAUUAAAUAAUAAAAUAAUUCAUUCAUAAUAAAAUUUACCAAACGCAUGUACCGUGUUUUUCAAGUUAUACAAGCACAGUAAUCUAAUUAACCAAAUACAAAAUUACAUUUUUAAUUAAUUAUUUAUUAAUCUAUACAGUAGAAACAACUUUUUUUAUCGGCCAUCAUAAUUCUAAACGAUGCCAAAAGUCCAAAACGAGGCCCAUUUAAAAGUUUUAAACCCAAAAAAAAUAAAGUUGCUGUCCGUGGAAUAAUUGAUAACUUGGGGUAUUUUCGUCAUUUAGUAUAAACCGACCUCGUCGCAUAAGAUGUGUGUCCGGUGUCCCAGAUCAGAUGGCCAGCAAUGCCCACUUGCGUUGUGUCUGUGGGCCAGCAUCUCCAUGUGGGCAUCUAUGAAUCACCCACGAUGAGUUCUUAUAACUUUUUUUUGCUUAAAAAGUUCAUUUUUUUUUUUAUCAUUUUAAUUAAAUUUUAAUAAAUUCCAUUGGCUAUAAAAAUCCAAUUUGAACAAUACUUUAGGGUUUCCAAAUUCUUCGAUUUUCGAUAUAUCCUUAUUUUGCACUUAAAGAUUCAUUUAUGGAUCAUUAAUAGUCACAUAAAAGGUACGUCUACAUCCCAUAUCUCAUAUUUACGUACUUUUAUUUAUUUUCUGGGGAUCCAUUUUUUCAUUUCAAUUGAAUUAUAAACUUUUAUGACAAACUUGAUUGAAAUUUGAGUUCUUUAAUGCUAGUUUAUCUUUAAAUUUCAUGAAUAGAAUUCGAAUUAUGUAAACAUGAAUUGAAUUUGAUGUAAGCUAAGAUGAUUCAAGAAAAUAUGGAUUUGAUCUUUUUUCAGAUUAUGUCAAUUUGGACAAUCAUACUGCUGGAAUGAAAGUUGUUGUUCUUGAUCUUGAUCUCGCGGCAUCUUUUGAUAAAUUUGAGAGAUAUUGAUAAUGGAUUUUGACAGUGAACGUUCAGCUCAUGAAUCUGUGGAAGAUAAUGUAGUAGUGAGCCAAGGAGCUGUAUCCCAUGUUAAUGAUGACAAUAGCGUUAAGAUUAAUGGGUCAUAUGUCAACGAGUUGGUUAGUAGUGACAAUCAUGAUGCUAAUGUAGCACCAGUUGAUUGCAAAGAAACGGGUGACCAAGGUUUGGCAAUGAAAUCUCCAACCGGAGGUUCACCUCCUAUGAAGAAAGGGUAUGGAUUAAAGAAAUGGAGGCGGAUUAAGAGGGAUUUUGUUAAGGAUGCUGGUCCUAGUGUGGAUAGCAGCAAAAUUUUGAAGCGGGGUUUGUCUGGUGCUGUUAAUCCAACUACACCAUUGGCUGAUAAUUGGCAGAAUAACAAGGCUUCUGUUGGAUUCCCAAAUGCAUUAAAAACCAUGGGUGUUGUUGAUGGCUUUGCAACUCGUGGCUCUAGUUCGGAUUCUAGGUUUGCGGUUGGUUCCGCUUUUGCUGCGGGUACGGAUUCUGAGAACAGUGAGGAUCGAAGUAGCAAGUCUUCUACAGCAGCCAGUGCUCCAAAGUUGAGAUAUGAAUUGCCUGCUGCAUCAGUGUAUGUGCGAGAGAGGAACAGGAUGAAGAAUUUGAGUGGGAAGAGUGGGGGUAAUGCAACUCAACGUGUUCAACAAGGAAAAAGUCGGGCCGAAGGCAGUAAGAAGCCUAGAGGGGAAAAGGUCAAAAUUGAGAAAGAGAACUCUCAUUCCAGCAUGGAAUCUGACUCGAGAAGCUCCAACUUUGUCUUUAUGCAGGGUACUUCUGCCAUGACUAGUAACGGGAGGCAAAGUGGACGGUCAAUGAAUUACGAUGGGGAAAAUAGUGACGAUGCUCAUGCUUCUGACCAACAGUUUAGUGAGGAAGUUCAAACUGGUUACGCCGAAGAGAAUGUGGGAGUAGUUGAGGAUCUUUCACAAGAUGAUUUAGCAGCGGACUUAUCUUGGGAUGCUAAGGAUGAGAAGAAUGAAAACCACCAGCCGUCAACAGUACGGGAUCCUUUGGUGGAGUCUCUCCUCACCCUCCAGUCUGUGCAAGAUGCGCUGGAAAAAGGUAUGGUGCCCUCCUUAAUUUUCUAAACAGUUUUAAUGAGCUGCGUGUGAGUGUGUAUUUGUUAUGUACCGUCUUAGACUCUCAGUAGUGCUUUGCUCUGGUCAAUUGUACAAUAUCUUUGUUUUUGUAAAUAUGUAGUUUGGAAACUUGAAUAAUACCCAUGAUCAUUCAUUGGAAGCAUUUGAAACAUAUUUUUACCCUAUUAUUUAAAGGAAAAUCAUUGAAAUCAUUUCAUUUUGUGGGUGGAAAUUUAAGAUUCAAACUAUGUUUUAAAUCUGCGUCAUUUAUGCAUCCUCCUGCUAGAUUGUACACUAUCCUAAUUUCUUUGCUUGAUUUGUUGGAAUAUCCAAAUAAGGAUAUUAUUAACCCAAAUGUGGAUUUUUGUCUUGCUUGAUUUGCCCAAGUGACUGCCUAAGGGAGUACAUUGGGUUGACUGAUACUGAUUUGGGCUUUGGGCAUGCGUAUGUAACUGCCACAGAAAGGAUUCAGUGUUAUUAAUUGGUUUUUUUUUUUAAAUUGGAUGAUCAAUAUUGUCUUCUCCUUUGGAUGAAGAUUUUACCAUUAAAAUCAACUUGAAAGGUAACUUAGUAAAUACAUUCAAAGCACAAACUUAACUGUAUAUAACCAUUUGGCAGAAUUUCAAAUUGUAAAUUGUCAUUGUUUUCACUUGGCAGCCGUUUGUUAAUUUCUGUUGAUUUCGCAGUUCGGUGAUUCAUGUUUAAUGUGCUUAACAUAAUUGAUGUAUUGAUGUCGUUAGUAUGUCUUGUAGAUUGUUUUACUCUAUACUCCUUAUGUCUUCUAUCUGCUUAGAAAAAUUAAUUCAAAUACCACUGUAAUUGCUUCGUGGACAUGAUAGUUUGUCAAGUCUGAUCGAACUAUGUGCUCAUUUGCAGAAGUUGAGAAAUUAGGGGAGAUUGGGAAGGAUGCCAUAUUGCUACAUGAUAACUCAUUUGAGGGUAGCAGUAUACCUGCUGAUUCCAUUUUUACUGAUCCACAAAUCCAUGGACUAAGUUCUUCUAACAAAUUUAGAUCUGAAAAGAAUGGAGAAGGUGCUUCAGGUUCCUUGGAAAUGCUGGUGCUAAGCUUGAAACAGAAUGUGCAACAUUUGGAAGCCAAACUGGAGGAGAUGAGAACUCUGCUAGAGGUGAAGGAACUGAGGGUCGCUGAACUGGAAGCCACAUUAAACAGUAGCAAGCCUGGAAAGGAAGAGUCAGGGAGCACUAUUGACUUGCAGCCAGAAUUAUGUAGAGAGAUGGAGACUGAGUUUGAAUGUCUCUUUCGGCAAAAGAUUGAAGCUGAGGUGGAGUAUCUGACACUAACGAGGACAAUAGACAAGGUGAGAGCAGCUGGUGGUGGUCGAGUUACACUCAUUGAAGAGCAAGAAGCUCUAGCCUUGGAGCAAGCACAGAUGCUGAGCAAGCUAGAAGAAACCGAAUGCAAAGCAGCGGUGCUAGAGAAACAAGCGGAGGAGUUGGGAAAAUAUUGUAGACAUGUUUUGGGGGAGGAAGUAGUUUUGAAGAUGCAGAACAGGGUAUGUAAGGUUACUACAUGUUUUGUCAUACAGUUUCUAUUACUGGUCUUGGUAUUUUGGCUGGUUGUCUUGCGGUUGUCAUCCCAUUCAGGGGUGAUUGUACCCACAUAAAUUUUUAAUACAUGGGUUCCUUUUGUAACUGCAACGUUUUAGGCAAAAGGUUUGAAUAUUGUAUUAGAUUUCAUUGUUAUUAAAUAGAGCAUUUUCCUUUCUCACUGUAAUUUGUGUGCCGAGGCCCGAGUGGGAGGAGUUGCAGUUUUUAACGGUGUUUUCUUAGCUGGUCUCCAUCUUCAUGCUUGUGCAUGAAAUAUACAUAUGAUUUUUAUUUUUUUUUCCAAUUCAAGUGCCAAGAUUGAUGCACAAGCACUUGAUGUUUGUUCGUCGGUAAAGUAAGUUUUAAUAUCAUCGUCAUCUUUCACUCCCCAUUCAAUGUGAAACUGCAAUCCAUAUUCAGUAUUGACAUUUAGGACUGGCUUACAGUAAAAGUCUUCUUCAGUCUAUUUCCAAGACACUGUUUUGACGGGCAAACAUGGGGUUUCCAAGUUGAAUCACUUCGCACAAAAAGUCACCCACUAAGGCACUAACUGCUGAGUGCUGACAGGCUACAACUUCUUGUUCAACUUUUGAUAACUGCCACCUGCUUUUGUCAGCUUCCUCGUUAAUUUCUUAUUUCGUUCUUAGGAUCAUGUUAAAAAUACUGAUUUGGAAUUUUUUUUGUUUUUAGUAAGUAAUUUUUUUUUAAUUAAAUGUCUUAAAUGCAUUAUGUGCUGUGUAAACCAAGUGAUCCCAAUGAGGCAUGCCUUUGGAUAUGAAAAUAAAAUUGUGAAUUAAAUAGAAAACAAUGGUAUUAUUACAGUGCGUAUUCCUCUUUUAAAACAAGAAAUCCAAAGCAAUAACAGACUCAUUAAGACUUCAUUUUGUGGGAAAAGAAUAAUUACGAAGGCUAAGGUCCUUUUCUAAGCACAUAUGAUUUGAACCUAAAAACGGUAGUUACAGCCAUUAAAAGGCCACAAAAACUAGAACCAUGUGCGGCAAACAAUAAUGCAAAGCUUUAUAUAGCAUGGAAUGGAUGCAUAUAACAUUGCAUCUGUUGUCAACAUCAAUGAUGCAUGCAUAAGCACUUCCUGAAAUUUUAUGCCACAGGAAAAGUGCUUUCACACGGUAUGAAAACAUAGAGAUUCAUUCUCAUUUAGGAAACAAAUUAAGGCAUUGUCCUGGCUGAGAGUGAAACACUGAAACCUAGUGAUUUGUCCAAUCUUUAACUUGCCAGAAAAAAAAAAAAAAGAAUUGCCAAUAAAAUUACCCAUUUCAAAGUUUUGAUUGGAAGACCCUUUGAUAAAAUGUUUAGCCACCCUCAAAUCAUAGGAAGAGCAUGAACAGGAAAAUAAUGUGUAGUCCUAGAAAGAAUAUAAUAAUGGAUGUAAUGCAACUCAUGGCAUGAUCAGUAGUCAAUUAUUACCCACCAUGCUAGUAGUAAUUUACCAGGUUAGCCCCACCUAUACAAUUAUAUAUCUAGAACACUUGCAAUUCUUCCCAUGUUAUAUAGAGAAGCUUCUUGAGUUAAACAAUAUGACAUUAAAAUAAAUAAAUAUAAAGCAGCAAAAUAAAGAAACUCGAACAAGCAUGCUCAGUGUACUAUUUAGAAAUCAAGAGUAAGGCGUGAGAAAGGUGUUAAUGUGGCUUUAAAGUCAAAUGAUUCGUAUACACAAGGUGUUGCUUUCAUUUGGUCACGAGAAUCUGUCAACAAAACAGGUGAAGCUAUUCCUUUUAAUUUGAUAUGUGCAAGAAAUUCAUUAUGGAAACACUAAUCACUUGAUAAUUGAAUUUUGACACCCUUUAAAUUUGACCAUUCAAUGCUUUCUUGUUUUGAUUUUCAACCGAAAAGACUUGGUCUCAAAGAAUUACUUACUAACUGCUGUCAAAUUGACAAGAAACUACUUAACCAUGCUUCCUUCUUCUAAUUGGAUCCUGAUCAUAUAAUAAUGUGAGACCGGAAAGAUGAAUAUUCUACAUCUUUAUCAAAGAUAUUUAGACCUUUUCAAAGUACCCCACGAAUUAUAGACUUUCAUAUAUUUUCGCAUAAUGUACACUUUAAAUGUGAGUGAGAUUCGAAUGUUUUAACUUACAAGAGAAAAUUGUUAAAGAUUCAGUCAUCAAACUCAGAAGACGAGUAGUAAUAAGAACUGAAAGGACAAAGCAAUGAAUAUCAAAUGACCCCCCAAAUAAAAAAAUGUAAAUGCAGUUCACUUUACACCAUUUGGGGAGGAAAAAAAAAAAACAUAGCACCUUUUUUCUAAUCUUUUCCUUCUCAUACAAGCCUAAUAGACCAUCAUGCUCUGCAUGAAAGAAAUUUUUAACACAAAGCGACAAAGGUCCUAAGAGACCCCACUUGAGAAAUUAGGAAAGAACCAAGAGGGUUCCUUUUGUGGCUUUGUUUUCGCUAGAGCUAGCUAACUCCAAUCAACUAACUAAGACUUAAAAAAAAUUAAAAUAAAGACCAAAUUCUAAGACUAAUUAACUGAACUAAUAAAGAAGAGACUGUGUAUCCCAAUUGAAUUAAGAAAUAGUAGCUGCUGCAGCCGAAGGCCCAGCAGCUUCACAACCAUGAAAUUGAUAAUACUCAGGUGGAGUGUCAUUGAGAUCAAAAUCAUGAACUCUUCUGCUGGGACUAGGAGCUCUUUGAGUAACUUCACCAGCUGAUGUUGUCACCUGGCUUGAGCUUGAUAACGCUUCGGCUGGGCCUGUCCAAUGGCACCUCUUGUGCCCUCCAAGUGCUUGUCCUGUUGGGAAUAUCUUGUUGCAUAUGUUGCAUUUAUGCUCACUGCUUCCACCUCCUCCUGCUGCUGCUGCAGCUAAUUCUCUUGAUGACUCCCCAGUUUCUUCAUCGGAUGCUGCUGCUGCUAGUUUGUCCUCACCUUUGCUAUCCUCGGCGGCGGCGGAUGCAGAUGAAGAUUCUUUAACAUUCUUGUUUUUGUUGUGGCUAGCUACAUGGCCUCCAAGAGCUUGAUGCUUGUCAAAAGACUUGUUGCAAAUAAGGCAAGAAUAUGUUUGAGCAGUCGACAUCACCACUGGCUCCUCUUUGAGAGCACCACCACCAGCAGUGGUACCCUCUAGUACUGCAUCAUCCAAUUCAUUCAAUCUUCUCCUCUUAUUCUUCUUCUGUUGCUUCUUCUUCAUCAUCAUCAUCAUCAUCAUCUGAUCAUCCAUAUCACUGCUACGAGCAUCCUCAUCACCUUCAUAAUCCUUCUUCACAGUCCACAUGUCCUCUGAAUUACAAUUAUCGAACCCUAACCCAUUGCCAUCUUUCAUCUCAACAUUACCCUUCUUCUUUUCCCUCUCAUCAUCUUCAUCAUUAUCAUCAUCAAUCUUGUUAUUAUCCUUAAUCUUUAACACACCAUAUCCAGAGUCAACAGAUGAAACGACUCGAUGAUGGUCAAACGUCCCCCGCUGCUCCUUAUUAUCGUUACAAUCAUCAGCACUAAGUUGAGCCAGCAACAGCAGAUCACUCACAGCUUGUUGCAUAGCUUCUUCUUCAUCUUCAUCUUCAUCUUCAUCCGAAGAAGACGACAUUAUCAAUCUCUGACCUCUCUUUCUCUUCGCCGACCACCCCCUCAGUGACUCCACCAAGUCUUCACCACCGGAUCCCAUACUGCCAUCAACAUCAUAACCAUCGUCAUCAUAAUGAUCAUGAUCACGAUUAUCACGUGAUAGACGAUAAUGAAUUGUUGGUGAAGAAGAGGGAGAAGGAUGCUGACGACGAUGAUUCAACAAGUAGUGCUUUGGAGGUUGAACGCCACGCCACUCUCUCUCAGGAUGCUUUCUCAUGUGGCCGUACAAAGACUUGACAGAUCUAAAACUCUGGUGACAUACAUAACAUAUAUGGUUAUUAAUAUUACCCUCUUCACCUGCUUCUUCCGGUUUCACAGCAACCGCCUUCUUAAUCAAUCUUGGGUUUUGAUUAUUAUGAGUAGUGCCGUUCUUGAUCUUCUGCAGGCAAGCUCUCUUGUGGCCACCCAAAGCUUUACCAGAAGUAAACUGCUUCCCACAUUCACUGCACGUUCUUGGCAGCCCUAGUACCCCGCUGCGAUCUUGUUGAUCUUGUUCUUGUUCUUGUUGCAGCAGCAGAUCUUCUUCCAUAAACUGAUGAUCAUCAGCUUCAGCAGCAGCAGCGGCGGGAGGAUUUGUUAUUGGGAUCUUCAGCUUCAAAGAUAAAGAAGACCCUUUUGUUAUUUCCGUAUCAUCGUCAGCUUCAGAAACCAGUUGAUUUGGCUUUUCUUGAGCAGCUUCAACUGCUACUGCAGCAGGAAGUGGUUGCUCUUGAUCUUCUUGAUCUUCUUCAGCCAUUAUGUUAACUCUUUCUUUCUUUUUCUUUUUUUUUCUUUUUGGGUUUUGAUGGUGACAGUGAUUGAAAAGUGACGUUAAAACAUAAAGAAAGAAAGAACUAAUAAGAGAGUCACUGACGACUGUAGAGCAGUAGUAGAGCAGAAGCUGAAAGUAUAAUGAGAUAUGUUGUUAAUAAUAAGAAGAAGAAGAAGAACAAGUUUAAAUUAGGUUUAGCUGAGCUCCUUUCUGUAUUUCCUUGGCUUAGAAGGAACUCAAGAAUUCCAAAAACCGACCUUAAUAUAAGAAUAAUUAUAAUUAAUAAAAACAAAAAUAAAAUCUUAGAAGUUGAUUUUAUCUAUAUUUUCUAUUAAACUAAAGAUUACCCAGAUGGAAAUAAUUACCGAGAUUUUCUAUUAACCCAAAUUUUCUUUUAAAAAAAAAAAAACAACAGCAGCUUCCUCUUUCUUCUUCUAAGCAAGAUUCAAGAACAAGAAGAAUCCCAUCUGUAAAAUAAAAUAUCUAUAUAUAUACAUAUAAAGCGCAGAAGAGAAGAAGAAGAUGAUGAUGAUGAUGAUGAUGAUGAUGAUUGCUGAGGAGGAACCUCGAAAGAUUAAGCUGUUGAGUUGAGAGUUGAAAUGAGGAGUCACACUAGAAUUGGUUAAGUUUUUUUAGAGUAGUGGGAAAUUGACUGACUGUCACGUUCUUAGCCUCUUUGCCUCUCAUUCUGCAUCAUUAUUGAUUUAUUCAAACACAUAUAUAUAUAUAUAUAUAUAUUUCUAUUAUUUAUUAUUUUAUAUUUUUUACCAUUUGCCAUACCCUAUCUUGGAUUUUACUUAUUUAUUUUGUAAUUUUCUUAAUUUCAUAAUUAAUUUUCCUUUUUCUUUUUGACUUCUAUGGAGUGUAUGGGUCAUUAAUGAUUCCCCCGAUAAUCCCUCUCGCAUUUGCAAAUUAAAUUAAAACCUUUCCUUUAGUAAUUGGGAUUAUUUGGGUAAUUAAAAAUUUUUCAUUAUGUACAAUAUCUUUGAUUGGGAUUCUUCAACUGUGGAGUAGUGGAUGCAACAAUGUGUGUGUGUAUGUGUAUAUAUAUAUAUAUAUAUGUACUUUUGGGUUUAAAUUAAUUUUCAUAGUUAUCCAUUGUCGUUGCUAUCCUUAAACCAUUUUUUUUCUUUUUCAUAAAUGAUAAUGUUGAUCAACACAACACAAAUUACAAAGUGAUUUAUAGACUAUUAAUUAAUUAAUUUAAUAUACUUUCAACGGUUGAGAUUUCAUCAUCGUAUCAAAUUUACUCUCAACCAUUCAUAAUUUAUGUAGAAGACCCUAUAUAAGUGCAUUACCAAGCUGCCCAUUCACACUUUGGGACCAAACCUUCUGAAGAAGCUGCACGUCCAUGACUUUCCAAUUCUUGAAUCACAUUACAUUUUUUUUUAUUUUUUAUUUUUUUUUUGGGGCUAUGGAUUUAAAAUGGUAAGUGCCAUAUUUAUUUUUAUAAUUUAUUAAGGAUGUAUAAAAUUGAUUCGGUUAUUAAAUGUUUAUAGACGUAUAUCUAAAUUGGUACUUUGUUUUUCAAUGACCCAACAUUGGGUGGUUCAUUGUAGCAUAAAGGAUGAUGCAUGUGACCUAAUCAAAUACGCGAUUGAAUGGAGAAGGACCAAUCAAAUGUGGCCAAUUGGAAAAAAAAAUUUCAAAGCAAAAGUUACCACUCUACUCAGAAUUCUAAAAGAAUAUAUUGAACAUUGGAAUUUGAACCCAUAAAUAUAGGAUUAUAUUUAUUUUUAAUUUCAUAUGGAAACAAAUAAUUAACCAAAUAUAAAAUAAUUCUCUUAAUGUAAAGUUAAAAUAACCAUAUGAAUUCAUAUAUAAAGCAAAAUGUUGCCAUUUCUAUUUUUUUUUUUUUUUAUAUAUUGAAUAUGUUGUGAUAUGACAAAUUAAAUAUUUGGGCUCAGAAUUAGCCGAACUAAUGUACAUGGGAGAGUCUCAAAAUCAUACCUACACUAGUGAAAAAGCGGGGUGAUUUACCAAUGAAAGUUCAGAUUUCAUGCCUAAUAGCUAGUGCUUUAAUUGUCAGCAAUGGCAAUUAUGGCAUAGGUCCAAGAGUUGCAGAUAAUUUUUGUUGACUGAAGAGAGAUGGACAAAAGAAAUACGUAAGAAAUUUUGGCACUACUUAAAGUCCUUUGAGCACAACAAUUUCUAAUAAAUAAGGCACUCCAUUCCAAGUCUCAAAAUCAUAUAGUUUUGACUAAUGUAUAAGAAGAAAAAGAAGAAGAAGAGAAAGAAAGAAAGAAACGUGGGUAUUCAACUAAUAAAGACAUUACCAUAUUGAAGAAAUUACGAGUCAACAAUAUGUUCUGGCUUCUGGGUUCUCUUUUUUUUUUUUUCAUUUUUUUUUUGUAAUUAAAUGAGAAUUUAAAGAAUAAUGUGAACAGGGUUUUUCUAUUUUUUUGGGUUCUGGGUCGUUUUAAUUUCCAAUUUUCUACAUACGGAUAGUCAUGGCCCUAGAAAUGUUGCUUUUAUCAUGGCGAUGUGGCUCUUGUUGGCACAAUUUCUGGUAAUAUGAAAAGAAAAUUAAAAUUAUUUUGGAAAAAACAAACAUGGAAGGCUGUAAUUAUGUAUGAAUACAGCUAUGAGAUCCUCUGAAUUUCUUAAUGACAAGAUCAUCUUUCUUUAUAAUCCAUAGAAAGCUUAUCUUAAAGACAUGAUUUUAUCUUUGAUCAACCUUCUAUAACAGUCUCCUUAUCUCAUAGGCUUGUUACAAUUUUUUAUUUUUUUUUUAAAUAUGCUUGUUACAAGUUACAACAAAGAAAUUGCUACUUACCCACUUAAUAUUUUGUAUUCUUACCACUUAUAUUCCCUAAUAAUUUUCAUAAUACUAGUUAUCUCUUUAACGUCAAUAUUUUCAUAGAAAAAACCUUCACAAAUUUGCCAUCUUAGGCCCGUAGCCAUAAAAUAAAUAUUUAUUGACAUCCUAGGAAUGGGAGCAACGUAACAUUAUAGGGUUAUUAUUCUUUCACUAACCUAAUUUUAUUGAAGUAACAAAUUAUUAUAAGAAUUAUUUAAGGAUAAUAGUUUAUACGUAAACUAUGAAAAAAAUAAGUGAUUUAUUAAUUACUAUUUUUCUGUUUCUUUCUGUUAAUUGACUUAUAAAAUAUCAAACCCAAUUUUGUAUCUAAAAUUUUGAAAGUGUGACAGAACAGCCUUGAAUAUAGUUACCAUAUGUUAUAAAAAUUUUACACUUUAACAAAUCACCCCCAAAAAUUCUAAUCCUUAAAUCUUUUUGUCUCGCUGUAACUCCCUCCUCUUCUUCAUCAGAUUGAAGUACUCCAAAUCAUUGUGGGAUUUGCUGUUAAUGGGUUUGAUUUGGGUAAUAUUUAAUUUUUAGUUUUGUUAAAAUGAUUAAAAUUUUAUGGUAUAAUUCAAAUUUGGGAUAUUUUAAUGUAAAGUCAAAUUUGUCAUCGUGACAUCAUCUUUUUGGACUUACGGAAAUAACAGAAAAAAAAAGAGUAAAAUAUUAUUUUUAUAGUCAACAGUUUUUAUAGUAAUUUAUUAUUUUGAUGUAGUUACGAGUAAUGAAAGAAUAAUGACCCCAUAAUAUAAAAACUGUCAUGUUAAAAGUCGUAAAAACAGUAAGAUUUAGGGGUUGCUAUCAUCUUUUGACUUAUGGAAGUAACAGACAAAAGAGUAAAAUGCUUUUAUUUAUAGUUAAUAAUUUUUAUAGUAAUUUAUUAUUUUGAUAUAGUUAAGAGUAAUGAGAGAAUAACAACACCAUAUUAUUAAAACUGUCAGGAAAAAAGAGGUAAAAACAGUAAGACUGGGCAGAAUAAUAUUGGUUAAUACUAUAUGAUUCCACCUUAAGCUCACCAACGGGAUCCGUGGCGCAAUGGUAGCGCGUCUGACUCCAGAUCAGAAGGUUGCGUGUUCGAUUCACGUCGGGUUCAAUUCCCCGAAUAUUAGGAUCCAACCCCUUUUUCUUUUUUGAAGAGCAAAAUUGACUUUAACCAACGUUGAAACGAAAGUACGACAUGAUUCUCAAAAUAUGGCAUCUCAAUAGUUUUGCCUGGAUAUAAAAUGCUCCAUUUCCAGUCAAUCAUAUAAGAUGCUCCAUUUCCAGUCAAUCCUAUUGCCAUUUCAAAUGGGAGGUCAGUUUUCUUAUGACAAAUGAAAAGCAUACCAACUACUGUUGUGUCCUACCAAUUUAAGAGUUACAAAUAUUUUACAUAACCGCCCCAUUUCACCUCCCUCUCAGUUCUUUUCUCUUUUGCUCUUUUGCUCUUUUGCACCGGGGCAUAUCGUUACAACAACAACUGCUAGAAAGAACAGAAAAUUCUACAUCCUAAUUGAUGGCUUCCCCCACCCCCAUCCCCGCAAAAAGCAAGCAGCAAUACACUGGAAGUUACUGCUGAACUGUUGAGUCAUAGGAGGAUCUGUAUUCCAACAUCUCAGACUUGUAUCGUUCCUUGUCCUUCAACCCUUUCUCCUGGUAAACCUGCAUCACAGUAAGAGUGAACUGGUGAGGGGUGACCCAAUUUACAAAAUAAAAUCUUCCAUUGUAAAAGUCGGCCGGACUAAUUUAAACGGUUUCAUUUAUGUCCCCACGCUCAAGCCUGUACUGUAUUCAUUUCAUAUGCCCCAAAUAUGGAUUCAGAGACAAUGACGUAGAGCAAUCACAGCUAGAUUAAUUAAAUGCAAAUAAGUUGUAAGUGGAUCAGCUCAAGUAUCCCAGUUGCUAGAGUCAUCUUGCUUCUAAUACCAAUAAAAAAUUUAAUUUAUUAACAAGUCCUACUAGAAUAUAAACAUCUAAAUUACUCUCUGUGUCACUGCCUACUGGAUACAAGUUUUGAUAUACGAACAACUGUCCUUGAGUAGCAUACCACCAAAAGCAAAUAGCAGAAAUAACUAAAAAGUUCAAUAAUCAACUUAGAAAUAAGGGCUAAACUUUCAGAGCAAUAUGCAGCAUCCAUUGAAAUUAUUUUUGUUGAAAACCAUUCAUAUCCAAUCAUUAAAUGCAACCGUGUGUACUUAUCUACAUGCUGUUAAAGAAAAGCACUUGAGAAACAUCAGGAUAUGGAGACAUGAUACCAGAGAAGAAUUGAAAGUAAAUAUCUGGUAUACCUGUUUUUCAGCUUCUGUGAGAUUGCUCCAAAGGACCCCUAUCUUCUUGCUGAUGGCUUUCUCUUGUCCAUAGUAGUGUGGCUUUAGUCGGGCAUAGUGCUCAGCAAAGAAGAAAUUGUAACCACUCCUGUUUGACUUGGGCCGAGAGGGAUCUCGUAAAGCCAACCGAGAUCUCUUACGGCGUCGGUGAGUAGGCGCAGCUGAAUUAUUAGAACUCUGAGACACAUUAUGCGCAUGAGGAAUAUGAUAUAAGACACCUUUAAGUUGUUCAGAACCCAAGUUCACAGUGACCAGAUAUCCAUUAUCAAAUUUCCCAUCAAUGACUCCAGAAACUGAACAGCCAAUCUGCAAUUUUGAACUCCCUGCACAUCAAAUAUACAACAGCAAUAGUUAUAUCAGCCAACAACCACUUAACAGAUCAAAAAAAUUUAAAAGAGGAAAAAGUAGGUACCAUGUGAAGAAAAUACUGAUGGAAAAUUAAGAACUACCAUAAUUCAAACUUUUUGAAACAAGUAGAUAAUCAUAUAAAACCAAUUUAUCUUUAUGUAAAAAGUGAGUAAUAACACAAAUCAUUCUGAAUUACAAGUAGAAGAACUAAUCAUAAAUAGACACCAAAUAAUCAAGGAUGAAUAUAUAAAAUGUCACGGAUGAAACAUACCCUGACUGCCCAACUGGUUAAUUGUGGAACCUUCCUCUGGGGAUGCUGAUCCAUUGUCAAGGCUGCUCCCGCUUACAGCAUCUGUAGAAGUAGAAUAGCAAAUUAUAUAAUGAAAUCUAAACAAAAGUUCUAACAGAAAAUUCAAAUCCAUAUUUCCAAGUACCAGGCAUUGACGAUGAAGGAGCUUCUCUGCGGAAGUAGUAGACUUGCUCGAAGUGGUAAAGUAAUGAGAGAUAAUACUUCCGUAAUACAAAUGAUGCACUGGUAAUCGUUGUGGGAAAGUUGAAGACCACAACCACUUCCUUCCAUCUACGAUCUCUAAUUACCUAAAACCAUUUCAAGACAAUUAGGGGGGAGAAAAAUGGAAAAAUACAAAAAAGAGCUCCUCAGUUGUGAGGAGAAAAUGGAAAUUAAUCUAUGGAAGAUGCCCCAACAAUCAUCCCAGUUGCAAUCAUUAUCAAAUCGUGGACUAGAUGAAACAUAACCAAGACAAACCAUGUCAUCGGAAAAUGCAGGAAAAAUGUUAAAGUCAUGCCUCAAAAAUUAGCUGUGACAAUAUCAUUGGAAGUUUGUUAAAAGAUCAAGAUAGUGCAGGUCAUAGGAGAAAAAAAUACUUGACAUGAUCCUUUAAUCAUCUCCGGGGAAUAUGAGACUGUCACCAUUAUCGUUAGGCUAGGUUUUGUAACAGAUUUACGAGUGGAAUGUUGCACACACCAUUCUCCUCAUUUAAAACAAGGCAAUAGCUUGUACCUUUCCAAGACCACCACGAGAUGUCACCUCCACAAAAAGGCGAUGCAGAUCGAGCGCCUUUCCUCCUACAGUAGGAACCCUAUUCAAAGGAAAAAGAAAUUGAAGGAAUGUCAAUCGUACUCGUUUUUCUUAUUCUAAGUUUUAUUAAGAAGGUCAGCUCUAUUGGUGGACUAGCAGCAGAAAAGGAUAAUGAAAGGAGUUCAUGUAAAGGCAUUCAAUCACCUAGAGGGAAAGAAGGAAAAAGGAACAAAGGGAAUUAUGAAAGGGUCGAUUGAAAUAAAAGCAAGCAAGAAACAUAAUGACCUCAAAAGUAAAUGUAUAUAAUACUUCUAUGCUCCACGUCACACCGGAUGAAGUUUUAGCCAAAUAAAGAGAAGGCAGACAGGUCUCAUAGUUUGCAACUUUGGAUAAUGGUGUUUAAAUACAAAGAACCAAAACAUUGAAACCUUAAUAAGACCAGCAAGUCACUUAAUAUCGGCAGGCCAAUCAUGCAGUUACAUUGAACAAGCUUAUCAAACCAGAUUCCAACUAAUCUAACAGGAUGUUCAUUCUUGUCUCCAACUGUCAACUAGUUUGAAGAAACUGUCGAGCUGUAAUUAUAUCAAUUAGUUACACGGUAUCAAAGCAUUGAGAUCUGAACCACUGCCAUAUCAGUGAGCCAUAAGUCAAAUGGCAAUCCCCGUUGUGCAUCCAUGGCAAGCAUAAAAAAAGUUAAUGGUGCCUAACAUAAAUAAAUUAAGAACAGACCACCAAUCAUCCAACAUUACUUAGAAAAGGUAAAAAAAAAUUACUAAAAACAUAAAGCUCUCAGUGUCAAAGCUCAAAAUUUGUUCAGCAGACAUGAGCCAAAAAUCAUAAAGGAACAAAAUUUACGGAGGGGGAAAAAGAAAACAUGAAGAAAAGCAAAAGUCACAAACUUGAACUUGUCACCAAAAGACUUGUGAAAUGCUUCGAGAGUAGCCCAGAAAAGAUCAGAACUCUGAGCAAUAUCCUCGUACUUGGCUGUUGGUGGAGGGUAGUAACUGGAUGCCUUGUUGUUGUUGUUGUUGUUGUUGCUGUUACUGUUGCUGUUGCUAGUAGUGGCGGAUGAUUUUUGGCCAUUUAACAUAUGGGACGACAUGUUUUGUGCGAGAGAUAAAGAUUAGAUAGUAAGGAAGAAGAAGAAGAAGAAGAUUAAUUUUUUUCUUUUUUCUUUUUUUUUUUUUUUGGCAAAGUAAUUAGCCAAAAAUAAUAAAUAAAAUGAGGAUUAGAUGGUUGACAAAAAGAUGAUACGAAAAUAAAAACUAUAUGAUAAAAUAAAAUAUAUUUAGAAUAAUAGUAGAAUCAAAGUUAAUUCUUGCUACUAACACAAGCAGAGGAGGGGAGAUAGAAGAAGAGGAAUGAGAAGAUGAGGUUAGGUCAUCGGAUUAAGACGAAGGGUAAAGGCAAAGCAAGACACUGGUGACUCCUUUUAUUUUAUUCUUUAUUAUAUUAAAUAAAGAUUAGAGGCGCACCCAGGCUAAUAAUUAUUAUUUUUAUUUUAUUAAAAAAAUUAUAUUUAAACUACAAAAAGACAUCAUUAACGACAUCACGAAUGUUGCCAUUUUGUGUGUCGGAAUGAUAAUGUAAUACGAACAACAAUUUCAUUUCCAUGUAUUUUUUUUAUAUUUAAUUAUCAGUGCUCUUAUUUAUUUAUUUAUUUAUUUAUUUAUUAUUAUUAUUAUUAUUAUUUAACUUUUUUUUAGAAAUUAUAAUGUGAGUAUUGCGAAUGGAGUAGAAUAUAUAGCCGGUGACUAAUGCAUAUUCUUUUGAGAAGAAAUUAUUAUAUAAAAAUUUAGUGACAUAUCUAUAUUAUUUUUGGUUGAAUGAAAAUGCUUGCAAUUAAUCAAAAUAAAAUAAUGACUUUAUCCACAAGAGUCAACAUAAUUGAUUCUCUUACCACAUAGGUCUUAGAAAUCUGGCCGUUCUAUCAUGGUGAGCUACAAUUACCAUGAUGAACGUGUUAAAUUAACUUCACUGGUACAUGGUGGAACUUAAUUAACCAGUCCGCAAUUUAUUUGAUGAUUCAUUUAAAGGAUGAUGAUAAUUUAGGGGGGGAAAAGAAAUAGUGUUAACAAUUUCUAGGUUUUUUUUUUUUAAUUAAAAGCUGACUAAUUGAUGGUUUUAGUUCAAGGAAAGUCAAGUCUUCCGAAACGUCUAUUAAUUAAUUUUAAUAAAUUGAAUCAGAAGAAAUUAGAAAGAAAAAAAAAGAAACAGGAUCUCCUUCUUCUAAUCUGAGUUUCAUUGAACUUUUAAAGACUUUGUGUACGGAUAAAAUUUAAUUUUUUUUAUUAAUUAAUAACUAAUCAUAUAGUUAUUUGCUCAGAUUAAUCCGGAAAAAAAAUUGCUGCAAAUUACUGACACAGAGGCCAGAGUCAGAUUAAAGCCACCACUAGAGAGCUGAGAUCUCAAGAAUCCAUAUUUGAGUCAACAUUUGUUGCGAAUCAUUUGUUUUCAGUUUCUGUUUUUUUUUCUGCAAGCUGUGACAUACGGAACAAAGAGAAAAAAACAUGCACGUUAAAAAUGUGAAAAAUGCAAAGAUUACAUCAUCGGUCUCAUCCAUUAAAUGCUAGGAAAUUUAUUAACUAUACAAAGCGCAACACUUGAGAAAUUAAGAAACUAAAAGAGACAAAAGAGAGACAGUACAAAUAACAAAAUCAACCAAAGAACUUGGGAUCAUAGCCGUUGCUGGAGGUGGCCAAGAUGUAGUAAGCGACAAUAUGGCCAAUGGAACCCCAAGCGAGAACAUCAACAAUGUUAAAGCCAACUGGGUCGUUGGAUUUGAGGAGGCUAACAUAUUCCUUGGCACGAACAUCACCGGCUUCAAAGUGGGUGACUCCAUUCUGCUCGGGCAAGCCUUGUUUGGCCACGUUCUCUCUUUGGAAGUUGAAGAAGACGAACCUGCCCAAGAACAAGGAGAGGCCAGUGCUGAGGCUGAUGACAAGUGGUGUGUUCAGCUCAGCUUUAAUGCCGCCGAAGCUGUUUCUUUUGGCGGAGGUGGCGAGCUUGGGGAGGGGGGUUUUGGCCCUGGUGUUGAGGGGUCUUAGGCCUUGGAAUGAGAUGCUGGAGGGUGAAAUUUGGUGUUUUCGGACGGUGAUGGUGGAGGGUGUGAACAAGGAGGAUGAGGCUGCCAUUUUUCUUUUUUUCCCCUCUUUUUCCUUCUUUUUUGUGUUCUGGUUGAUGCCUUGAUGGAUGAUGGAGUUUUUGAGUUCCUGGAUUAUGAUAAAUUUUUGCAAGAAAUAGAACAGGCUUAGCGGCGAUAGAAACACAGAUAUGGAUCACGUAUUCUCGUGAUCCAUACAAGUAUUGGUUAAGAAAAAAUCACACUGGGAUAUGAGAGGAUGGGAAUGAGUGAUGAAAGAUUUUUGCUAAGGUUACUUGGCCUUGUCUCAUUGGCUCUCUUGUGGAUCAGAGAUUUCUGGUUCCAGAUUCCAGGUGUCAGCAGAAGAGCUCUCCACUCUUGAUUAUAGUUUAAUAUAUAAAUUUUAUUUUCCCUAGAUCCAUACAACUAGGAUCCGUGGCGCAAUGGUAGCGCGUCUGACUCCAGAUCAGAAGGUUGCGUGUUCGAUUCACGUCGGGUUCAAUCCCCCUAAGUUAGGAUCUCUUUAUUUUUUAUUUUGAGUAAACCCCAGGUUAGUUUCAUUAAUUGCAGUAUACACGUGUUACUAUUUGAUUUCUGACACUGUUUUUUCCAUUACACUUUCAAAAAUUCUCUAUAACAUUUCUAACGAAACUAAGACCUAAUAUCAUUGAUGCGUGGUGUAUGAUUUCAUAUUUAAGUGCAACCAGUAACUUGAUAGGCGUCACAAGAAACACUUGCAACCCGUACACUUUCAAACCAUUAUAACAUGAUGCAACAUUGCAAGUCUGACCCUCCACCAUGGGCCUACGACAUCGGUAAGAAAGCGAGAGACUGGAAAAGAGAAUCGAACAACAUUAACAUAAAUCAAGGGCAGGAUUCACUCAUGAAAUUGUACUGUUCAUCAGGAAGACAUAGUUGUCAUUUUCCUUUUAUGUAGUUCACAUGAAAUAGCUGGUUUCUUCCAGCCUCUGUACAUCGAUUCCUGCAUUUUCACACAUCUUCUGACGACCUCCACCACAGGAAGUGGAAUCACAAUUGAUUGAACCACAAUAACCUAAAUUGCACGUCACGGCACAUUUACACCUAGACUCUCCUACCGGCAUGAAACUAGGUUUCUCAACUGAACCAAGUAAGCCCCAUCAACACACUUAUUUGCAAAUUGCACAUCCAACUCAAAUUAAGGAGUCGAGAUAUGAGUAAUUCCGGCAGCGACCAUAUUCAAGGAGGCUGCCAUAUGUCCGAUCCCAAACUCCAAUGAAGAGAGACUCUGUGUCGGGACUGAAUGAAAUGCCAGAUAUUUCACCAAAAAAGUCAAUUUCCUGCUCCUUCUCAUACCCACUCUUAACGUCAUAGACAUGCACAAAGUCAGCAGGCUCGGCUGUCGCCAUGUACCGACCAUCAGAUGUAUAGCGGAUCGACCUAAUGGCUCCAAGAUUGCCCUUCAGAACAGCCACCGACUCAGAUAGGUUUCGUAGAUCCCAAAUUCUGCAUGUUUUGUCCUGGUUUCCAGUGGCGAAAGUGACACCAUUGGGGUGCCAUGCAGAUGCAAAUGAGAAAUCCAAGUGCCCGCACAAUGAGGCAAUGGUCUGCAGAGAUCACAAACUCAAGUUAGAGCAUGCUUUGAUUUCAGGCUCUAGAUGUCAAUUUAUCACUAAUUCAUGAUAUCAAAUAACUUCCAAAGAAUUAAUUUGAGAACACAUAUGUCCAUUUAAAUUGAAAAGAGAAGAGGAGCCUACCUUUCCCGUCAUGGAAUCCACUAAUAAACCAUCUGGGUUGUCUCCAACGAUUAUUAGAAGUUUACCAUCAGGACUUUGUGAAGAAUGCUGCAAACACAACAAACAGAUGAUUACCUUUUCAGUCAUAAAAUUCAAUAAUCUACAUAACAGGAUUAUACAAUAUGAGGAACUUACAUUCACAGGCCAAGGGAAACGGAAAUGCUUAGAGAGUUGAUACUUCCCCAUAUCAAAGUCUCUCACUCCGCAGUCAUUGUUUGAGGCAGUAAAGUGGACUGCACCACUGAGAAUUAAGUGAACAAGAUUAAUUAGGUUCAGCUUGGAAGUCCGUAGUUUAAUUACGGGCAUAAGAAAGAAGAAAUACCUGGGACUGCCGUAGAUCUCAACAGCAUUGGUGAUUGCAUUAUCAUCAUAAGUAGUACGAGAACAAAAGCUCACUCCAGGUCGAUCUAAAUGCUGUAUGUCAAUGAAAAUAACACCUCAAUCACAAAACCAACUAUAUAAUUCUUUCAAAGCCAAAAGUGGUAAGAUGAAAGCUAUUAUCAUAGCUUAGCAAAAACAUUAACAUGAUUCAUAUAUCAAAACUAAUGUACCCCGCCGUUAUUCAAUUAAGGAUCCCUUAAAAGCUAAAAGCCCUACAACCUAAGGCAAGGAAAUCACAUCUUACGAAAAAGCAACCACCAUUUAUGCAAAUGGGCCUGCCACUGCUACAGCAAGGCUUAUUUAUUCUCCAAUAUCUCCUUAUUCUACUCCAGAAAAGACUUAAAGAGGACGUGCUACAACUUACCUUGCAAAUAAGCUCUCCCUGAAACCCUCCAGCAACUAGCAACUUGUCUUUCACAGCAAGCGUACUAACUUGAGUCUGCGUAAAUCCUUCCAACAGACUGCCAGGAUGUUUCUAUAUAAAAGUAAUUAAAAAAAACAAAAAAAAAAACCGUAUUCAAAUCUUAAGGAAAUCAUGAUUCAAGAUGAUAAAAUUUGGAAAGGCAAAAGGAUAGAAAAAGCAAGGGUUUUUCAGCACAAAAUUUGUAAAAAUACUAACCUCGGAUGGUGCCACAUGGCCUGAAACAUUGAGAACUUGAGACCUGCUGGAAGUUAAUGAAGACCAAUGGAUGACUGAAAAAUGUGACAUAAGGUAGACAUCGUGCUUUGACGUUGCCCAAACCAAGUUCCUCAGCUACAACACAAAAACAAAGGUGUCAGAGAAACACAUAUCAUCUUUCGUGAGUCAAUCGCAGGUCAGAAAUAGCCACGUAUGUCUGCACGUAUCCAUAAGCCAUGUUCAUACCAGAGUCAUAUUGCUGCACACUGACAAAUAAAUGAUGCAUACUAUUGUCCAUUUAUGCAAUGAAGAACCAUGACACUAAGGACCAUAAAUUGAGUAAUUCACUCUAGUUAAGAGUGAUAAUCAGAGUACAUUGAAGGGCGAUAGAAAAGGAAAUGUGAGUUAUAUGUAACUACAAUUAUACUUCAAUUAGCCUACCUGAAAAUGAAGAAUAGUGGAUUUCACAGAUCUUGAAUUUCUUCUGAAUUCAUAAUAUGAAGCCCCUUUCUUAGUAACUUUGCAAUCCUGCAUAUAAUAAUGGCAGAUGGAAGGUAAAACAGUGAUUUCUAUUGAAUUACAGUAUAAACAUUGAACAUGGUGUGAAAGGUAAAGGUAGAAAAACAGAAAGUAAAAAUGUUCCACCUUCCCUGAGCCCUCUCCGGAAUUAGGAAUGUUUUCAUAGUUCUUGUACUGUUCUAGCCGAGUUUGCCGGUAUUUUUCCCUGGUUAUGCUAAGCCUCUCCCAUGGUAUACCCUGGAUAUCCUUCCCUCUUCUAGCUUGAGCAGCAGACGUAUCGGCUAUUUUAUUAUUCUGCACCAGUCACAUCAAACCUCUUAUAAACUACAAUGCUCAAACAAAAACUAAAGAAAGAUCAAACAUGUAAAAGCAACAUCCAGAUCAGCUCAAAUAACAAUGUUAGAUAAUGCUUAAAACUUUCUAAAUAGGCAAAGUGAAACACAUCACAAACCGAGUAAUCAUAUUCAUCGACAUCAGAGUCUGAGCCACCCAUAUCUCUGCCACGAAAUUCUUCGUCCAUAUCAUCAUCUAUAUCUUCCAUGUCAUAUUCAUCUGCCAUAUACUCCGCAUCAUCCGCGUGGUAAUGGGACAUAUUCUGCCAAUUAAAUGCACAAGUGCACCAGAAUGAAUUAAAGCAAAUUCAUCAGAGAACAACAGGGUAAUACUUCAAUGUAAAUGUAAAACAAAGAUAAGUCAAUAUACAAUACUACAUGAAGCACUCAAAAUACUCUUGUCAAAAUGGGGUUGGAAGUAGAUAUGGGUAAAACACUCAGAAAAUUCCAGAAAACAAUAGGAUAACACUUCAAUCUAAAAGUAAAACAAAGUUUAAGUCAAUAUAUAAUACUACAUGAAGCACUUGAAAUGCUCUUGUGAAAAUGUGGGUGGAGGUAGAUGAGGUAAAACACUCAGAAAGUACCGGCUAGGUGAAACCAAGAGAGCACCCGUGCAGGCAUUUGAGAGAGAAGCAGUGAUACAAACAGAAAGGUUACGAAAUACAAGUCACCAUACAAGAAAAUUGACAUCAACUGAAGGUAGAGAUAUCGAGACAUAAUGCCCCCCCAGUUGCAAAAGCCACAAGAACAGCCAGAACAAUUUCAUCACACAUAAUAGCCUCAUCAAUGGAUUACCUUAACCUGAGCUCAUAAAGGAAAAUCUGAGGGCUGUACUUGUUCUUAAGGAAACUAAAAGUCCAAUUUCGUUAUAAUCAUUAGACAUAACUUUAAAAAUUCAAGGAAAUGCAAGUCAACUGGAAAAACUACAUCUAUCAAGAUCAAUUCUGAAGGGAUUCAUGUAUAAUUUUCCCUACAGAGUAAAAGCACUUUCGAUAUAUAUUUUUUAUAAAAAAAACGAUUUUUAGAAGCUUUCCCAGUUCAAGGGAUUUUAACUUUUAGGCCAAAUCCCAUGUCAAAUUCUUCCAGUGAUAGCUCAACAAAACUAGCAGAAAAUAAUUCCAUUUAAGAAUCAAAAUUCCAUUUUUUACGCUCUAUUCCCAAAGGAACGUGAAUAAUCAACAUCUUGAAAAUUGUAAUAAUCCAUUAUAAAAAUUUAUAUAACACAAACUCUUAUCACGUUUAGACCAACCAACAAAAUUAAAAUCCCAAAAAACACAAAAGAAGAAACCAGAAAAACAAAAUAAAACCCUAACACAAUCAACGAAAGCGGGUUUUUAUAAAUAUGUAACAAAAUAAGAAAAUUAAUUUUACCUCUUUGGCGAGUUAGGGUUUACGGUUGGCUCCUCCGAUCUGAGGAAAAAAAAAUCGGAAACUGAAUCGCUCGCACGUUAGAAGACUGUAAUGAUAAUUGCUUGCGUAAUAAUUGAAUUGAAAAUAAAAUGUCCCUCCAAACUUUGCUUUGACGGUGAGUUGAAUUGAUCGCGAUAAAUUGGGAGAAAACGCGAGAAGAAACGAGAGUGAGUGAGACGUAUUUGCGUUUAUCCGGUUGUUCUGAUCUUCCACGAAUGAAAACGAGAAGCCUGAAAGAGACAGGUGCUGUUAUAUGGAGUCAUAUUACUAUUUUUAUUUUACUGGCCUGAACGAUAACUGCUUGCGUGUCUCCUAUCAAAAGAAAAUGUUUUAUUUUUUCCUUUCUAAUUUUGCAAUAAAAUAUGCACGCACAAAAAUUUUUAGGUUAUUUAUUUUAAUAUUAUGUAUUUUUCAUUUAUGAUAUAUUUAUUAUCGUAAUUUUUUUGUUGUUGGAAUUAUUGUAAUUACUUUAUCAAUUAAUGUAUAAUAAUAAAUUUUAUCUUACAAACUCAUAACCGACAGAAUGUGGGUGACAAAAGCACAUUUUCUACCAUCAUUCAAUUACCUUUCUAGAAGAAGUAUAUCUAUUUAUUUCUUUUUGAAGAAUAAUAGCCCCAAUGUUGUUUGUGAGAAGCUUUAUUUUAUUAAUAGUAAAUAAAGACUGUGAUUAAUCAUUCGAUGGAUAACAGAUCGGUUCGGUUUUGGACCAAAUGAAAAAUUUCGGUUCGAUUUAGUACUGAAUUUUAAAAAAUUAAUUAGAAUCGAACCAAAAUUGAACCAAAUAAAAAACGAGAUUUCUUUUUUCUUUUGAAUUUGGUUUAGUUCUUCGAAUUUUUAUAUUUUUUUUACAGAAUUCAAUAUUUUUUUUUAUUUUCUUAUGCCCACUUAAAAUGUGGCACUGUUUCAAUAAAAAAAAUUAAUAUUUCGUUCGGUUCAAAAUUUUAUAUUUAAUUUUUUAAAUAUUGAACCGAAAAUUUCAAAAAAAAAAUCAAACUGAACAAAUUCGAUUCUUCUCAUCCUUACCAACCAUAGUGAGAUAUUAUUAUUCUGAUAAUUAAUUUUCCAUGGUUUAUUUGAUGGCCCAACCACCUUUCAAUUCCUCUAAUGAAUACAAAAUGUUCCUUUUCAUAUGGAAAUUAACGCCCUCCCGUUUUUAUUAUCAUUAAUAUUGUUAAUACAAAGAGACCCUACCAUUGAACUUUGGCUUCAUUGAUGCUUGAACACCAUUAUGCAAACUUAACAUUCAGUUUCAUAGGUUUUAUUAUGCACGAACACCAUCAUGUUUCAAUAGAGAUUAUCUAAUUUUAAUAUUAAAAUUCUUAUCAUGUAUUAUUUAGUUCUUAUCCUCUUAUAUCAUUGAAAGAUAGAGUUGACUGCUCCUUUGGGAAAAAAAAAAUAAUAAUUCUCCCAACUUGUCUCAUAAGUUGUUUCUUUUCUUAUUUUAAAAUCUUCUACUAAGUAAAUGUUCCAUCUUAUAAUAAUGAUGAUGGGGUAGAAUUAAUCCCAUAACAACGAUGACAAGAAAAUAAUGAGAAGGGACAAAAAAGAACCUUCUUAUUACACUAAAAUAUCGAUAAAUUAUUAGUCAUGUUAUUAUGAAAAAAAUCUAUUAAUUUAGCGAAUGUUAAUGUAUCAAUAAAUUAAUAAUUAUCAAUUUAUAAAAUAGUAUCACUUUUAUAAUAAGAUUUUUCAUUAAGUAUAAAGGUAGUGUAAGUAGAGAAUUUAGUGUUUAUGUUAAGUUGUACGAGACAAUUCUGAUUUAUUCUUGAUCGAUUCAUUGAUCGAGUGAAUCAGUCACUUGAUAAUCCUUGGCUAUAUUGCAUGCCUGAAUCACGAUUUCAAUUAGAUUAAACUUCAAUCCACCUCUAUUUAGAAUGAUCAACUUCCAUUUACUCUUUAAAUACAAUUAUUUUUAAUAGUUGACUGAUGUUAACUUAAUAAAAUACGAGAAUGUCCCUAAUGCUAACUUACAAUUUUGUGAAGUUAAGAAGGAUAAUUUUAUUUUGCCGCUUGAGGCAUGCUGUAUUUUAAGUUAUAUGACAAAGAUAAUUUUGUUAAUAAAAAUCCCCUAAAACAAUAGUAAUAGACCUAUAAAAAAAUUAAAUUAAUUUUUACAUAUAUUUUAAUUCAUAAAAAAAAUAUAAUAAUUUAAAUUACAAUAUCACCACAAUGAAAAAAAAAAAAAAUUCACCCUUAUAUUGACGUUAGCCAUCGAAUAUAACUAUUUUUUAAAAAUAUAAAUCAUUAAUCAAUUAAUUAAUCUUUACCAUUCAAAACACCAUUUUACAUUCCAUUACUAUCUAUAAGGGUUACUGAUGUAAUUGAAUAGAUUGAAAAUUAAGAAUAUAUAUAUAUAACUUUGCAAAUUCAAAAAACCAAAACCUUACCUCUAAUCGUAAUCCCAAAAUUUUAUGUUUUCUUGGUUUUAUUAAUAUUUCAUUUGUUAUAAAUUUUAAUAUUACUAUUUUUUAAUUUUUUUAUAAUAAAUUCCUUUUUAUUAAAAGCCACUUUUUUGCAUUUUUCUUCCCAAACAUGAAGGUAAGGGUUAAAAUAUUAAAAUAAUUAAUAAUUUAUAAAUAUUUGAGUAUAUCUAACGUUUAUCAUUUUUCAUUGUUUAUCUUUAAAAAUCUUGAAAAAUAACCCCUUUAAUUUAUGAUUAAAAUAUGAAAAAAAUGAAAAGUUAAAAUAUUUUUAAAAUAAAAUUUUGAAAUGACUUAGUGGGCCACAAGAACUAAUUUUAUUCCUAAUUUGGGCUUUUGUACAUAAUAAUUUACCAACUAUGCCACUAUAAUUUGUUCUUAAUUUAAAUUUAAAAUUAUCAUUCAAUUUCUUUUCUUUUUUCCUUUAUACUUCAUACUUAUUUGGUACGGCUUUUAAAUAGACACAAAUACUUAUUUAAUCUCAUAAGCCUUCUUUUUUAAUUUUUUAUUAUUGUUUUUUUAUAUUUUCUUUUACUAGAGUUUUUAAAAAUUAAAUAAUUAUUUUAUCUCUACUAACAAAAAUUUUAAGUCUGUUCAGUGUUGUUUCUGAAUUAUAUAUUAUCUGAAAACAAAAAAUGAAUAAAAAUAGUGUUUUAUAGUAACUAUUUUUUGAAUUUAAACAUGAGUCUGAUAUUAUUUUCUGUAACAUAUAUUUUAAAAUUAAAAACAGUAAUAUAUGUUUGGUAAACAUAAUUGAGAAGGAUAAAAACAGUAAAUAUAUAUUUGGUAAUACAAUUUUUAAAAGUAGUUUUUACUUUAAGUCAUACUUAGAGUUAAAAAGUAAUUAUUUAACUAAUACAUACACAAACAUGCCAUAAAUAAUUUAAACAAAAUAAUUUUCAAAAAUUACAUGAUAAUUAUUUUUAGUGUUAGCAUUAACAAAUUCUACGAAUAUGAUUAAUUGGGUCUAAAAUAAACGCGAAGAACCACCAUCACAACUUACCCAGAUAGAAAAAUUGAGGAAUAAUACUAGCGAGUAGAGAUGAAGUAGAGACAAAGCAAAAAGCAGCAGCAGUAGUUGAGAGUUGAGACUGAGCAGAGAUGGAGCAACAAUAGCAGAGGCAGAGCAACAGUCAAUUUUGGGCACGGAAAGAGAGAGUUGCGACAGUGGAUUGUGGUUGACAAACGAGUAACAGUCACAAAGCGAAAGAGAGAGAGAGAGUUGUGAAAAGUUUAGGUGGCUUGUGGUUGAAGGAGAAGUAUCAACCACAAAGAAGAAAGAUGUGUGAAUAGAGAUAACGAGAGAGAUGGGAUAAGAUUUGAGACAGAGAAUGAUUGCUUUUGUAGUUUGUCUUGGGAUUUAUUUUUUUAAUUUAAUUUGCAAUUCAUUCGAGAAAUUCUUUGUUUAUAAUUAUUUUUUGGAUUCAACCCACCGAACAUGUAUUAUAUUUAUACUCGGAAAACAAAAAUGAAAACAAUACCAAAUAUGCUAUUAAAUUUUAGACUUUUAAAAGUAAAAGUUGUAUAGCUUUUUUAAAAUAUUAAAUAUCUAAAAUAUUCUUACUUAUUUGAUAUUUUUAUUUCAUUCUAUUCAUAAUUUAAUUUUUAAAAACUUAAUUUUUAUAACUUUUAAUAAAAACUCUCGUUAUCAACCAAACAACUUUUCUUUUUUCAAAAACUUUACUUAUAAAAACUCCACUUAAAUAAACUCUAAUUAAAAAACUCUACCAAACCAAUUAUCUUUUACUCUUUUUUAGUCCUUCUAUUUUUUUUUUCAUAUUUUGUCUUAUUUUCCUUUUCUUCUUCUUUUUUCGUCAUCUACUCUAUUUUUUGUUUUUUGUUUCAUCUUUGUUUCUUUAUCUUCUUCUUUGUUCUUCAGUUUCUUUCUUCUUCUCCUCUACCAUUGCUUCACAGCAGCAUUAGGCAACAGGCAACAGCGGUAACCAUUGGCAUAACUGUUAGGGCGGCACGCGCAGUGCGCGACACGAUCUGCUCCUAGAUUGUGACCCUACGUUGCUACCAAGUCGGCUGCCACUACUUUGAAUUGCCGCAUCUACUACGAUGGUUUGGCCGAAAAUUGAGUGACGACGGUUGUAUAUGGAUGCUUGAGGGGCGGUAAACACGAUGACAGUGGUGGUGAGAAAGCAUGCGAGCUGAACGGUGUAAGUUAAAGAAGAGGUAGCAGCGUGUUCAUCUUGUUGUUGAAAAGGAUUCUGGUGAUGCUUUAGUGGCGAUGAUGACAUGGAUAAGGCUGCUGGCAUGUGGGUAAUCUGUUAGUUUUAUUGAAUGGCGUUGAUGAUGGUUAAAUGGUGGUUGAUUUGAGUGUGGAGCUCUCGAGUUUUCAGUUGCUUGUGUGAUGGUUUUAGGCGAUGGUAACGACAGCCGAUGAUUGGGCUAUGGUUGUCUGAUUAUGGGGAUUCUAGUGGGAUGAUUAAACAAGCAUAAAAUGAAAUAAAAUUUAUUAUUUUAGAUUUGGAGAUGUUGCAGUGAAAUUUAGGGUAAAUGGUUGUUUACAUCUGUUUAGUUCUUAUACUUUAAGACAUCUUUUUUGUUUAAAUAGAUCACACUUCUGUCCUUAUUUUUUUCUUUACUUUUAUAUUAUAACCCUUACUACAAUUGUAAAAUAACAUUCAAUACCUUACAAUAAUCUUGUUAAUAAACUAUUUAUAAAAAAAAAUAAUUUAUCAAAUUAAUCCUAAAAUUAAAAUAAUAAACAAAAAUUUUACAUUAUAUUUAUUUUACUUUUAAGGUUAAUUUGUUAAUUAAUUAUUUUUAUAGAUAAAUAAAUCAAUAUUACUAAGAAUAUUAUUUUAAGGGUAUUAUUAUAAAAGCAAAGAAAAAUACGAGCAUGAUGUCACAUAUUCAGGUAUUUUUAAAAAAUAGAAGGAUUAGUCGGACGUUUAACCUAAAACAUAUGGAUUAAAUGAGCAUUUAAAGUAAAAUUUACAUUUGGGGGAUUUAGGGUUUUAUUUGACAAAAAUAGAUCGAAGAAUUUAGGGAUUUAGGACGUUAAUAUAUUUAUUGAUAUUUCAAUGGGUAAUUUUUAAAAACCUCCCCUGAGGUUUGGGCUUGUUGCAAGUAGAUGGCGAGAAUUGAUUUAUUUGUAAAAAACCCCCUACCGUCAGUUAAGUUUAAUAUUGACCGUUAGUUGAUCGUGCAAAGACAAUAUUACCCUUAACAAUAGUUUAUAAACGAAAAUAACUAAAAAAAAAACCAAAAUUAUUGGUGCAAAAAGCACAAACCCUAUUUUUUGACAAUUUUAUCCUUGUCAAUUCUAAAAAUUUACAAUAUCAUAGGUAAAGAUUAUGACUAUUUCAUUUUUAAAUUUUUAAUUUUAUCUUUCUUGUAGGAAUUUUAAGGAAAUAUCAAUAAUUUAAAGAGGAUUUUUUAAUUUUUUAAUUUUAAUUUUUUAUAAGAACUUUAAUAAAAUAUCAAUAAUUUAAAAAGUGUAAAAUAGCUAAUAAUUUUGGUUUUUUUUUAGUUAUUUUCGUUUAUAAACUAUUGUUAAGGGUAAUAUUGUCUUUGCACGGUCAACUAACGGUCAAUGUUAAACUUAACUGACGGUAGGGGGUUUUUUAUAAAUAAAUCAAUUCUCGCCAUCUACUUGCAACAAACCCAAACCUCAGGGGAGGUUUUUAAAAAUUACCCAUAUUUCAAUAUUAUAAGGGAAUUGCUGACAUUUUAUUUUAUUUUUUUAAAAUGCGUUGAAGGAGGUCCUGUGCCCGUGGAAAUUGGAAUGUCUAUUUUCUAAUUGAAAUAUUCAUAAUCAUAGUACAUUUUUUAUAAUUUUCAUAAAAAAAACUAAAAUAGGAAAUAUAAAUUUUAUUUGUAAUAAAAUAAAAAAAACUAAAAAGAAAGUAGUGUUAUCCCAAAAAUUAGGGGUACAGUGGUCAUCCUCUUGGUCAAAGAUAGUCAACAAACAUUUUUUUUACAGAAAAUUUAACAUUUAGGGUGAAAAUGUCAUUUCACUAUAUCAAGGGGGGUGAAUAUGCCUUUUAGUUACAUUUUGGGGGAGUAUGUGUCUUUUAACCUUAAACCUAUAAUUUUAUCUGUCAAAAAUUAUAAAACCGAUGGCAAAUAUGGUCCAUUCAUUACAACUAAGGUAUACAUAUAAUAUAAAUUACCCAAAAAACAUUAAUUAAAAAUAUAAAUUAGUAAUUUGAAAGCAAAGUGAAAUUUAUUAAAAUAUUUAGGUGCGUGUAAUAAUUUAUUAAAACAUUUAGGUGUAGUAGAAAUAAAAAAUAGUUUUGACCUUUUGAUUAGAUAACUAACGGUAAAAGAACGUAUAAAAAUAAUUUGUUAAAAUUAAGUAAUAAUAAUGGCAUUGGGGCGAUAAAUUGAAGUUUUUAUAUAUUAAAGUUUGUCAUUUUAAGUAAAGUUCUUCCACUUUAAUAUUACAAAAAAGUUAGAUGAGAUUCAAGAAAAAAUCAAUUUUAAGAAGAAACAAAAAACAUUAAAAACUAAUUUUAUAAAUGCCUCAUAUACAUCAUAUGUAUUUAGUUUGAAAAUAAGUUAAUUAUUAAUUCAUGUAUUAAUUGGGUUAUUAUCAAAAAAUAAGAUUUUAUAAAAAAAUUUAUUAAAUUAUUAAUUUAUUACGUUGACCUCAAGUUGGGACUAAUAAAAAUUAUUCAAACGAGAGAUUAAUUUAUCCAAUCAUUUAGCGUGGUUCAAUUGUAUUUGUUAUUGUCGUAUUUAUGGAAAAGUUAACGAUAUAAGGCCAGUUUCACAAUUUUUAAAAUCAAUUGGAAUUUUUUAAUAUUAGAUAAAAAUUGAGGGAUAUCGAUGAUCUUUACCCAAGAAUUUCGAUAAGGCUUUGCACUCAUACGAAGGUUCAGGUCUUUUGCAAGCAACUGAGUACUGACAGUUUUCUAGCGGACCCCACUUAAAGCCACACGAGUCCCACGUGGCAAAUCACAAUAAAAAAGGUGGACAAGUUAAAGAAUCUCCAAAAAAACUUAAUAAAAAAGGUUAAAGAAUCUGUAUUGCAACUGUUACCACGUGUAACCACUAUAAUUAUCCCACGUCACGCUCCCUCCCGUCAACCUUAACGUCGCCACUCAUCUUCGAGUCAAAACAAGAUCAGUUUAGUUUCCUCAGAAAGAAAACAGAACAAUUAUCCUGGAAAAUUCAAAACCGAUGAGCUGAAAGUGAAAGAUGGCGAUGUUGUUGAGAAGAGUAUGGGAAACGAUGUCGUCUCGGACUUGUUCGACCGGCGACUCGUCCGCUCGGCCUAGUUGUACGACUGAGUCGUCAUCUUUAGGUGCAUUUGAUCAGAUACCGUGGGAUGUACUUAUUCAAAUUGUGAAAUUGAUUGGUCCAAAGGAGGCGGCGAAGCUCUGUGUUGUCAGCAAGUCGUGGCGCGCGCUUGUAUCUGAUAAUCGUCUGUGGAUUUUCUUUCUACAGCAUCAGCAAGAGCCGUGGGACUCCAUUUUCUUCGGUGAAACAACUCUCGGAUCGGGAUAUCCUUACCAGUGAGUGAAUUACUGUGGAAAUUCUGUUUGGUUGCUUAGAAAAUGGAUGAAAGUGAAAAUUGUGAAAUUUUCACUGUUUGAGGUGCUAUUGGGUGAAAUAGUGUACUCAGCUAAGGGAUAAAUUUCAAUUCAUCCCUCAGAUAGAAUGAGAAUUUUUAAUUCAUCUCCUGUGAAAGUCUUAAUUUAUCUAUUUUUGUUCAGAAGACGAGGGCAAAUAAGGGCACGUUGAUGGAUUUCUUUUUUGUCUUUCUAGUCGUAAUUGGGGAUAAAUUGAUGUUUUGACACUUUUUGAGGGAUUAAUUGAAGAUUGUCAUUCUAAGUAGGGGUUAAAUUGAAGUUUAUGGAAGUAGUAAUAUUGAUUUGAUUGGAUCAUAUUAGGUAGAAUUUUUUGGGUUAAUGACGAAUUUUGAUUAGGAAAAAAGAAUAUGAUCUUUUAUUAGUUAAGGUUCUGAAUUGGUUUUAGAUUUUUUAUUCAUCAAUAGUGCAAAGGUAGGUAUUUUGGUGCUUGAUGAUAGGGAAAAACCUUAAAUUUUGGAUUUUAAUCAAUGAGUAUUCAAUUUCUAAUGCUUGAUUAUUGAUAUGUAUACACUGGACAGACAGGACUUUAAUAUGGGGUAGAUUAUCAUUAUAAUUAUUGAUGGUUGCUUAAAUUGAAUCUUAUGGAAGUUAGUUGACUGUUGAAGACUGGACAUUUGAUGACUGAGCUUUUGUGGUCUGUUGUGAAAAGUGAGUAAUAGGAUAUUUUUGUGCAUAAAGUAGUCAUAUUCAUACCUUCUUUUUUUUUUUUGGCGGGGGGGGGGGNNNGGGGGGUGGGGAAUAACUGAUAAGAGUUGUUAAUUUAGUUGUGCUAACCUAAUGUCCUUGUCAAAAUGAUUUUUAUUGCAGAACUUUGGCGACUGGCUUAUCAUUCAUGCAUAUUUAUGGCCAACGGGCCCAAGUUCCUGGUUCUGUUAUCAUUGAUGGUGAGUACUUCGAAAUCUCUUGUCAAUUUUUGUUCUUCAUUGCGGUGUGGUGGGUAAUUGGGUAUACUGUUGUUCCAAUUUAAGGGCAUUGUAUGAAUUAUUCUUUGAAUCAUUGUAGUCGUCUCUUUCCUAUUUCUUGAGUUUGUCUGCGUCAUUUGUUUUAAAACUGUCCUUCUUGAAAUUUGUAUUGUGUUUCCUCUUGAUCGUUUCUGUAGGUGGUUCAGGUUAUUGCAAGUUUGGUUGGAGCAAGUAUGAUUGUCCUUCUGGGCGAACAGCAACAUUUUUGGUGAGGUUUCCACUGAACUAGCAGUUCGGUUAAAAGUUUCUUUGAAACAAAUGUUACUUAAAUGUGAAAUAUCAUUUAGUCAUGAAAUGAUUUUCCAGCUAUGCUUAUUGUUUCAUAGAUGAAUUUCACAACAUUUUUCUCCAUUCUAAACCCAUGUGAUGCAUAGGAAUUUGGCAAUAUUGAGUCUCCGAUGUACUCAAGACUUCGACAUUUUUUUGCAACUAUAUACAGCAGGUUUGUUUUUCCUAUUUUAUGUCUAUUUUGCUGUUGACUAUUCCAGGUUUCUUUUUUUUUAAAAUAAAAAAGAAAAAACACAAAAAAUUUCUCUUUCUCGCAUUCAUUUACCAACACACAUGAACAAGGAUGAGGGGUCAUUUAACUGUUAUCGUACAUAUUUUGCAGCAUUAGAUAUAUGGGUGCGAAGUCGAUUGUUAAUUUCUGUAAUUAUAUCUUUGGACAUGGAUAAAUCUAAUGACUAAUGUUUAAUAAAGUUCUAUUUUAUUAAGAUAUGCUGGGGAUUAAUUAUAUAACAUGUGCUGUACAAGAUUGAGCUUGCUGAUCCUUCUGUGUUUUGACGCAAUUUUUGGUCUUAGUAUGCUAACCCUUGUUGUUACAGGAUGCAGGUGAAACCAUCCACGCAGCCAAUUGUGGUGUCUAUUCCAAUCUGCCAUUAUGACGGUUAGUUACAUUCAACUCAGCUCUAAGACCAUACCACUUUUUCCUGCUAUUAUUUGUUUGAGUUUAAAUUUUUGGAAUUUAUGCUCUCUCUGUCUGAACAAGAUGCUAUUGAAAAUUAGGCCAUUUCUUAUGGAGUCUACUAAUUGCUUUCUUUCUUGGGACAAUCAUUUUGGUUCUUGGUGAUUUGGUAAUAGAGGAUGGCUCUGCAGCUAUUAAAUUUGUGGUAAUGAGCUUCUUGCUUAUACAUAAUUGUUAAGAUAAGGUUCUCCACAUUGCAUGGCAGCUCAUUCGUCAAUUUAGAAAUGACCCCUACGUAUGCCCAUGAAUGAAUAAUUUUUAUGAACUUCUGAUGCAUGUUUUGUCAUGCACUUGCUUUCUGCUGGUUGUCAAUCUGACACUGUAUGUUUUUAUUAUACAUUCAUUUUUACUCUUUUUUUAAAAGAAAGAGAAGCUUUGUCAUGGUGCUGAAAUCCUUGAUCUCCUAAAGUUUAAAAUAAAAAAUAGGUGCUAUUUUGGCCAGAUGUGAAAAAUAUUGGCUAAUUAUGGGAGUUUAUUUAAUACUUACAAGUCCUUUCAGUUUACUAUCAUCCAUAUCACUUGUUUUCUUUAUCUUAUAUUCCAGAUACUGAAAAUGCAAAAGCAUCAAGACGGCAGCUUAAGGAUUGCUUCCAACAAGUCCUGUUUGACCUAAAUGUUCCAGCUGUCUGUGCCGUCAAUCAGGUAGGUCUUACCAAACAAAUAUAGCGUGUUGGCCACUACCCCCCCCACCCCCCCUNNNNNNNNNNNNNNNNNNNNNNACCCCCCCUCCCCCAAAAAAAAAAAUGUAAAAAACUACUAAGAAGCUAAUGGUGGCAUAAUUAUAGUUCUCAUUUCUGUGGUGUGCUUCGGCUUAUGAGGGACAUAACUUGAACAAGUUUGUGCCACAGAGGCUUUUAUUUAUAUCCUUUUAGUUUUGAACGGUCAAAUUGAAGUUCUUUAUCCUUUUUGGAAAAGGGAGUUCUUCAGCUUAGUUACAGAGAGAUAAUCCCUCCUUUCUCUUGUUAAUCCCACUGACUGCUCAAGUAUAUAUAAAUAUACAGGCAACUUUGGCUUUAUAUGCAGCAAAACGAACUUCAGGAAUUGUUGUUAAUAUUGGUUUCCAGGUCACUUCUGUUGUUCCAAGUGAGCUUUUCUUCUUCUUUAGUUUAUUUUGAAUCAACUGCAAAGUGUUGAAAAGCGGCCAUUAACUCUCACAUAUGGCUCACUGUGUGCAAGAUGUAUAAAAUAAGGGUGCUUUGUUUAUGUCCACAGCUUUUAAUGAUGUAUCAAAAUUUUGUUUUUUCUUUCUUUGGUUUUCCAAAUGUUAGUUUAACUGAGCUCAUCCUUCAUUCCUUUCUAUCGACUUCUUUCACUCAAAAUCAUCGGAUAUUGGAUUCAUAAGGGAUUGCGGUUUGGUUUUGUAGUUUUACAUGGUAAAGUAAUGCGCAAGGUGGGUGUGGAAGUAAUGGGACUGGGAGCAUUAAAACUCACAGGAUAUCUUAGGUUGCUGAUGCAACAGAAUAACAUAAAUUUUGGAUCGCUGUACACUGUUCGCACACUGAAAGAGGUACUCCUAUCCUCCUCUCAAGUGAAAUCUUGGUUGCUAUAUUGUAAUUUUUGUUGAUGGGAACCUUAUGUCGUAUCUUUUAAAGUAGGGAAGUAGGGAUUUGAUUGUUACCUUCUACGUGCAUGCUUGGUGAUUGUGAUUUCUAAAACAUAACUUUUCAUCAUUUUUAUAUUUAAUAUUAGUGAAGUCGUCUAAUGCUCCGUGCUUUUCCUUUGUAUCUGAUUAAAGAUUAUACAUAUCUUGUAUAUUUGAUGAAAUUGAUUGCUUUUCUGCAUUGUCCCUGUUUUUUUUGGAAUUCUUAAUCCACAUGUGCUGUCUUUCAAUAUGGAAAUGCUUCCUGUUCAAGUUGUCUGAUCCCUCAUUUGGCAACAUGGAAUUACAGAAACUAUGUUAUGUUGCUGCUGAUUAUAAAGCUGAGUUAUCAAAAGAUACACAAGCAUCAUUGGAAAUUGCUGGAGAAGGAUGGUUUACCCUCUCGAAAGAACGCUUUCAAACUGGGGAAAUCUUAUUUCAGCCGCGUAUGGCAGAUGUGUAAGUUCUAUUCUUGAAUGAUUCUGUUAUUUAUCUCUUUUUUGUUAUGACUUCCCCCUUUUUUUAAGUUCAUUUCUUUCAUGUCUUCUGCCAAAUAUUUGACAUAUUCAUCAUAUCUAGUAUUCCGUUGAUUAACAGUUUGAGAUUGCUUUUCGAAUAAAGAAAUCGUUUAUGAUAUAAGUAAUAAUCAUAGAUAUAUUUACCAAUUGGGUUUUUCUAAACAGAGCCUAGCUAUGUCAUUUUAUUGGUUGAGCCAAGCCGACCAUAAAAUUGAUUUAUUGCUAAUAUUAAUCUGGAUACUUCCUCAUGAAAUAGAUCUAAUUGCACUUCAUUGCAUUUCACGCUACAAAUUUUAAGUAAAUGCCGCUGAAGGACUUUCAUGGAGAUGUUUUCCUUGGAUGAGCCUUGAAGACCAAUAUAAACUUUUGAACAGCAAGCCUAUUCUCAAGCUCUAAAGACUGUUUAAGAAACCUUUUUUAAUUUAUUUAAAAGAGAAAGAAAGUCAUAUUUCCCUCAGAUGUUGAAUAUCAGUGAUCCUAUUUAGUUAAAUUGAGGCGUUUGUUCUUAAGAAUUAGUCCGUGAGGACCCUGGCGCAGGAACGUGGUCCUUAUUUUAAUUGCACUAUUUGUAGUUCAUUAUUUAGGAUGUCUAAUACCAUAAGUUGCAACUCCCUUAACUUGUUGAGUAAACAAUUGUGUUCCCUUGUCUCAGGCGCACUAUGGGUUUAGACCAGGCAGUAGCACUUUGUAUGGACCAUUGCCAUUACGCAGAAUUGUCAGGUGAUGAUGCUUGGUUCAAGACUGUGAUUUUGACUGGGGGAUCUGCGUGUUUGCCUGGCCUUGCAGGUAUAAGAAACAGCUUCAAUAAGCAAUAAUUUCUUAACCCUGAUAAAUUUUUGUAGUUGCAAUGAGGAUCCCUUUCUUUUUGGUGCCCUCUAAACGUUAAACAAGAUGAAGAUAGAUAUAUUAGAGUGAAAUAUAUUUGAAUAAAUCAGCUUAUGAAGCUUUGUCUCUGAGCUUUACCCAGAAAGGCUAGAGAAAGAACUACGUGGACUUCUCCCCUCAUCCAUCUCCAAUGGAAUUAGAGUCAUUCCUCCUCCUUAUGGUGCAGACACUGCAUGGUUCGGGGCAAAACUUGUAGGCAACGUAAGCUCCUUCACUACAUCAGUGAAAUGUUCCUACAUGCCUAUUUGCAUGUGUUUCCUUCCAUUUCAGAUGCUUAAUGUAGGGUUCCAUAUAUAUUAUGACAUGGGCUUACUUUAUGUAGUCUGUAGCUGUAUUCUCCCAUGUUGAGUAUUGGUUUCUAUCAAUUGACAUAAUACUAUAGCAUUAUCGGAUAUUUUUUGAUUUAUGCUCAUUAAACUCUUUUCUAAUCAAUCUGUGUGCUGUGGUUAUGCAGUUAAGCACCUUUCCUGGGGCCUGGUGUGCAACAAAGAAGCAGUUCCGGCAGAAGAGUAGAUUCAACAUCAUGUGGUAAAUUUAGCUUCCUAUGGCAUUGAGAACCUUAGUGAGUUCCUAAACUAUAUUAAAGAAGCCCACCAUAUUCAAUACUCAGAUUUCCUACGAGGAGAUACAUUAGUUUUUUUUCCCACACUGCCUUAGAAAUCUUUGGGUCAUUUACUGGAUUAUGAAACAAUAAUGUUAAUUCUUUCACAGGAGGAGUUCUUUACCGUAUCUUGAAGAUGAUGCACAUUAGGUUUCAUUUACUGUAAUGAAAUAAUGAUGUAAAAUUGCCAAUGCUGGCUAACAGAUGAAAUCAAAUGACUUGCAACAGUGCUGUAUUAUUAUUAUUUAUUAUUAUUUUACUGGAAUUCAGAACCAACAUUGUUUAUUUAUGAAAGUAAAUGCCGGCUUCCUUCAUCCAGUUCAUGGCAUCAACUGUUAAUUGUCUGACAAUGCACUCGUUUUGACUUCAAAAGAACCUUUCAAAGACAAAGAUGUUAGGUGCAGUUUGCUGAUAUUAAGCCACCAACUGGGCAACUCUCAACUAAUAUUGCAUCAACGCAAAAUCAUAGAGAUUCAUAUUGAAAAUGACAAUUACAUGAUGAUGGAUUCAAAUGUUUUGAAUAGUUGAAUCGAAACAGCUCUUUUGUCAACAAAUGCAGUUGACAGUACAUACUAACUUCGUCUUCUCAGUGAAAUGGAAGAAUUAAGCAGAAACAAACGCAUAAAUAAAAUUUCUGUACGAUGGUGAUUUGCCUUUAUCACAGUUCUGAAAAUACAGAGGGGUGUGAUCAAGUAAUCGGAUGUAUAGAAACUGAAAUUUGAGAACUCAUAAUAACUGGAAUACCAAAAUAAGAAAGGCGGCUGUGAACAUUAGCAGUGGGGAUGAAUUACACGUGAUCUGACUCCUACUUGCAUUUGCCGACUGAGUUGGUGCUGAUGCAGGACAUUCAAGACCUCGCUUCCCUUCCUGACACUCACUGGCAAAAAGACCAGGAGGGUAUUUCCCAUACAGGUUAAUGUAGCUGAACAUGGUUGUAGCGCAGUCUGUCGUCAAGUCAUUAAUCUGAUCCGCAUAAGGACAAGCAAAUUCCUUAAAAGCACUACAGCAUUUGUCAGGUGGAAACUGGGGUCCUUUGCAUUUGCUUGUGAUGAUUGUGUAGUUCAGAAACUCGAAAUUCACGGGGCAUGCUGCAGAUAAGGCAAGCCAAUGUAUCAUUAUUCAAAUGUGCUCAAUCAACUAAGAGAGCGACAUACAUUAAUUAACUAUGUUCUCCAUAAUAAAAGGGAACGAAAAAGAUCACAUAAAUGAAAGACAAGCAAGCAGUCAUUGGAUUAGGACCAUAUUUUCUUUCUUUCUCAUAACAGUGUCCUUGAUCAGAAGGAUUCAGGAACAAUGCAAAUUAUAGCUAAUCAGAGCAGGCAAAAGGUGUGCAAAAUAAGUGCUUCACUUGGGCUAAAAUUUUAAACUCACCUUAGGCAUACCUUUCACCUUUUCUUCCCUAUAAUCAAUACAAUCAUUUUAUGUUAUUCUCAUCUUUGCUCUUUCUUUCUCCUUAUAUGCUUCAUAGGAUUACAUGUGUAUGCAUGUAGCUAAGGAAGUCUCCAGAACAGAACUAAUCGAUAAUUGCAAUGACAACCAGCGAAGAUAUUGAAAAUCAAGUCCAAAGGUUGUGUGAACAAUGGUUUUGCUUAAAAUUUGCAUCAGUAUAGCGUUUAGCUUAUGACUCACUAUUACCUUUAGGAGACUGUUAAGUUAUUUCAUCCUUUCAUCUUAGGUCAAUCAAAUUAUUGACAAAGAAUUCCAAAAGUACUUUCUAGUAUAUUACUACUUGCUGUAAAGCAGUUGAUAUAUUCAGAUAAGCCGCAAAGUAAUGUGCCAGUGUUAUCUUUAGAAUUGAGUCAACCUUGUGGUUCACUCAAAAUCUAACAAUCGGGUUAUUCUAAACAGCUGAAGCAAUUUCAUCCAUACGGGCAAUAUCAACAUGUCAAUUUUCAAAGUCAUUCACUUGCUUAAAUUGGCAUGUUUUUAUAACCAAGAACAAUGAGACAUAUAUGUUUAUCACUCUGUUAUUAUCGUAAUGCAGUUGUAUUUAGAAGUUCAACUGUAUGCAAAAUCCAUGACGCCAACACAGAUGUAACUCUUACAAGUAGUUGUGGGACUGAUUAAGCAAGAUUAAAAACUAAGACGGAAGGAAAUCCCAAUAAUAACAGAGAAUUUUGCUUCUUCCAGCACUCUAUUUAAUAUCUUGUUUCUGUUUUUGCCAUGGUUUUCACUAAAACUCCUAUCUUCCUCCAUAACAGAAUUAAUUGAAUGAAAAAAAAAAAGACCAUUUGGGCAAAUGACAGAAAAUAGAAACUUAGAGAUCUUAGAUCUCACAUAAAUAUGCAUCACAAAAUUAUGGCAAAAAGCUAAUCAAAAGAAGAACAAUUAAUUAGGAUAUAUGAAAUCAACAAAAAUCAAACCUUUCUUAGCCUGGAGAAGAUUUCUGCCAGUAAAAGCGUGCGAUUCAAAGAUACCAUCUGCAUCCAACUCAAGAACAUAUAUUUCACUACCAAACAAAAUCCCAAGUAGCAUAAAUAUAACUUUAAGAAUAGAAAAACCUUAAAUUACCUGAAAUGAAAGUUGCAGAAGACAAACCCAUCAAAAUAAACAAAAGAAAAAUAGAUAGAAACACUCUGUUGAACUCCACCAUUUCUCUCACAGCACCAGAAAAGAUCCAAUUUUUUUUGUGCUCCCACCUAUUCUCUUCAAAAAAGAUAGAAGCUUUUUACACGCUUGUACAAAACCAGUAUGCAACAGACAGCGACGGAGCAGAUUUGAAUGAGUUUAAAGAUUUAUAACAUGUCGUGAUGAUUUUGUAAUAAAAAGACAAGGAGCUGUCGUCUUAGUAGUAGUUGCUGGCUCUUGGAUUACAACCCAUAAAAACGCGGAAACCGGGAUUUUUUUUUAAUUUAAUUUUUAUUUUUCUUUUGAGUUUUUGUUACUGUCAUUAAUUUUUAUUUUUUGGUUUUUGGCUACAGAAACUGUUGUGACUGGUGACUAUUACUGUUACUUUAACCAUGUUAUCAGUUACCGUUGUGUAUUGCAGUCUGCAAAGCAAAGACCCGACAGUUUACCGUUAAUAUCGGUUUCAACCGCUCCAAUUUUCAUCCGAGAUAUUUUUCUGUUGUUAAUUUUAUUUUGAUUCCUCGUUAAAGGUUCUAUCAGAUAAAUUUGGGCUAAUGUUUCAAAAAAAAAAAGUAAAAAAGAAAAAAGAAAAAAAUGGGCUGCCUUCUCGAGUGUGGUUGAAAAUUGUACACAAUUUGUUUUUUCUUUGAGAAAAAAAAUAAUAAUAUUACAAUCUAUUGACAAAUUGUAACAUUAGUGCCAGACAUAUUAUAACACUCCAAAUCUAACAUGUGCGGAGCACAUGAAGAAGAAGGUUAUUUAUAAAUCGUAAUCUUUACUCAUAAAUUUCAAAUUGAAAUAUCUCAAAUUCUUAUUCAAAUAAAUCCACAAAUUCAUAUAUUUAACACUAAAUAAUCUCUCCCAAAACAAAACAUAAAUUUCAAGUUCAUAACAGAAAUAAAAUAAAAAGAACAUGUGUCUAUUCCUCCUUUUAUUCAAAUAGCAAAUGAAAACAAAAUCUCUAACUCCAAAGCGAAGCACACAUUUCAAAAGGAACUUAAUUUGCAAAAAAGUAAUGACAAGGGGUGAGCCGUCAACUCGGUAAGUAAAACAAUUCCUAACACACUAGGCCUAUUGAUACUAAAAAUAUUACAAGCCUUCUUUUAUUUAAAAACACAUAUCAUAAUCCAUAAAUUUUAUAAAACGAUAUAUCACGAUAAAAUAACAUAAAUUCAUUGUAUCUCAAAAUAUCAAAAGCAUAGUUAUUUACGAAAGCAAAUCAUAUAUCACAUUCACAAAAAAAUAAAAGGUUAGCUCAUGUCACAUAGUGUCACCUAUAGUCUCGGUGACUCGGCCAGAAACAAAAUCAGAAUAUCGUGUGCACACUCAGAACAGAAACCUAGUACUGAUCUAGAACAGACAUAUAUCAUAUUAUACGAUCAGAAUAAAAAACAGAAUAACUACGGACAAUAAGCCAAAACACAAUGACUUAUACGUGACACUUUGCACUAUAUGUGGCACUUUGCGACGCUUUGACCUUCAAGAGGUGUCCCCCAUACAGUCCCAAGAGGUGGCCCACGUACAAUCAUAAAUAAUUAAAAUCAUACAUAGGCACAAAACAUUCUUAUCGGAUUCAUAAAAGUUCAUAACAAUAAUUUAGGCUUGCAAAUUAUUUUAUAGAUAAAAUCAUAAAAGGUAGUCACAUCAUAAAAUAAUUUACAUAUUAAAAAACAUUUAUAAAAAUACUUUGUUAAAAAGAAUUUAGGUUUGAAAAUAUUUACAUAAAACUAAUUUUGUUAUCAAAAUCAAUUAAUCAUUUAAGUAGUAUAAAAACAUUUAUACUUAUAAUAAUAAUAUCAAAAUACUUAUACAUAUCCAGUAUACUAGGAAUGAAGUUACUUAUCUCGACAAAAUAAUUUGAAUUAACAAACCUCUAUGCCUCCAAGAGUCUCAAUCACCUCCAACACCUUAAACAAAUACAAGGCAUGACAAUUAAUAACUUAUUCUAAGAACAUAAUUUUUCUAAUUCAUAUCUGUACAGGUCUGAUGCUCAGAAUUUUAACUCUUAAUCUAAAACUAAGAAUGACAUAAUAUUCUACAAGGCUAUUCUGGACAUCCAUAGGCACCUCAUGUAAUAUUUCCACUCAUAAGCAAUUCUAAUCAAAUUAUCCCAAAUCUCCUAAGGGUAUUUAAGUCUUUUUAGAUUUUAGUAAUCCUUUUUACCCUAGUAUAAAUAGAAUGAGAUGUCUUUCCCCAUCAUAAGAGAGAGGGAAAGAGAAAUGGUUGAGGAAAAAAAAAGAACGACAAAAUAAAGAGAGAGAGAGAGAGAGAUGGAGAGAAAAGAAAAGAAAAAGAGAAGAAGAAAGUCUUCUUCUUCUUAGUUUUGCCAUAUGGAACACAUGAGAUCAAAUUGUUAUUGUUGGGAGAAGUUUUGAAGGUAAGUUUUAAUUAUUGGUUUCUAUUAAAUUGUUGUGGAGAAGCAUGAUUGUAAUAGAAGUAAAAAUCUCAAAUUUUACUGACCAUAUGCUGACACAUUGAAAAUUCAUUGAUAAAAAUUUCAUAGCAUAAUUCCUUCAAAAACUAUUGAAAAUAAUUGACGUUUCAGACAUCAUCAAUACUGUCAAAUAAUUUUUUGUUUUGAACACAAUUGUUUUAAAAAUACAAAACAAUUUAUUGCUUUAUCAUAAAAUCAUGAAAAUUAACAGAAUCAUACUAGACAUAUAUAAAAAUCAUUGAUCCAAAUUUCAUAAUUUUCGAAGAAGUCUAGCUAUGGUAAAAAUAAUUUCGUAAUUCACGUUAUUCAUUAAAAUCAUAAAUUUCUAGGUUUUCAGACUUGAUUUUGAAAGAUCAUAAUUAAUUGAAAUCUUAUCCGAUUAACUUGAAACAAGUUUCAAAACGUUCUAAACGAUAUCUAGUUUAACAUACCCAAAAAUAAGAAUAAAAAAUCAAUUUGUAUAAAUUAUUAUAAUUUUCGUAAUAAUUUACUAUCAGCAUAUUUCUACAAAAUCUUAGGUUUCUACUUCUAUUGCAAUCAUGCUUCUGCACAACAAUUUAAUAGAAACCAAUAAUUAAAACUUAUCUCCAAAACUUCUCCCAACAAUAACAACUUGAUCCCAUGUGUUGCCUAUGACAGAACUAAGAAAAAGAAGAAGAAGAUUUUCUUCUUCUUUUUUUCUUUUCUCUCUUUUCUCUCUAUCUUUCUCUCUCUCUCUCUCUUUUUUCUCUGUCGUUCUUUUUUUUUUUCCUCAACCGAUUUCUCUUGCUCUCUCCCUUAUGAUGGGGAAAGACAUCUUAUUACACAUAUCCCAUGGAUCUCACUCACUGUUUGUGUCCGUAUGGUAAAAAAAUUGCUCACAAUUAAUAAUCAGUUUCAAUCUUUCCUUAAAAUGUAAUGGCUUGUGCAAGAGAUUCUUUCUUGUACUGGUAUGUUAUUGGUUUGACAGCUAGGAUUUGCCUGUCAAAGAAAUUGAAGACGGGAGGCUACUGUUGUCCGAUUGAUGAAGUCCAUUAAUAAAUGUAACUUGAUCAUUACAAGAACAAUAUUUUAUUUGUUAUAAAGCAAAUCUCAUUACGAGAUUGUAUGUUUAGAUAAAUACAAAAACGUCAAAAAAAUUUUAAAUUCUUAAUUGGGUUUUUUUAACGUGUGAUCUGCAUUUGCCGACUGAGUUGGUGCCGAUGCAGGACAUUCAAGACCUCGCUUCCCUUUCAGACACUCGCUGGCAAAAAGACCAGGAGGGUAUUUCCCAUACAGGUUAAUGUAGCUGAACAUGGUUGUAGCGCAGUCUGUCGUCAAGUCAUUAAUCUGAUCCGCAUAAGGACAAGCAAAUUCCUUAAAAGCACUACAGCAUUUGUCAGGUGGAAACUGGGGUCCUUUGCAUUUGCUUGUGAUGAUUGUGUAGUUCAGAAACUCGAAAUUCACGGGGCAUGCUGCAGAUAAGGCAAGCCAAUAUAUCAUUAUUCAAAUGUGCUCACUCAACUAAGAGAGCGACAUACAUUAAUUAACUAUGUUCUCCAUAAUAAAAGGGAACGAAAAAGAUCACAUAAAUGAAAGACAAGCAAGCAUUCAUCGGAUUAGGACCAUAUUUUCCUUCUUUCUCAUAACAGAGUCCUUGAUCUGAAGGAUUCAGGAACAAUGCAAAUUAUAGCUAAUCAGAGCAGGCAAAAGGUGUGCAAAACAAGUGCUUCACUUUGGCUAAAAUUUUAAACUCACCUUAGGCAUACCUUUCACCUUUUCUUCCCUAUAAUCAAUACAAUCAUUUUAUGUUAUUCUCAUCUUUGCUCUUUCUUUCUCCUUAUAUGCUUCAUAGGAUUACAUGUGUAUGCAUGUAGCUAAGGAAGUCUCCAGAACAGAACUAAUCGAUAAUUGCAAUGACAACCAGCGAAGAUAUUGAAAAUCAAGUCCAAAGGUUGUGUGAACAAUGGUUUUGCUUAAAAUUUGCAUCAGUAUAGCGUUUAGCUUAUGACUCACUAUUACCUUUAGGAGACUGUUAAGUUAUUUCAUCCUUUCAUCUUAGGUCAAUCAAAUUAUUGACAAAGAAUUCCAAAAGUACUUUCUAGUAUAUUACUACUUGCUGUAAAGCAGUUGAUAUAUUCAGAUAAGCCGCAAAGUAAUGUGCCAGUGUUAUCUUUAGAAUUGAGUCAACCUUGUGGUUCACUCAAAAUCUAACAAUCGGGUUAUUCUAAACAGCUGAAGCAAUUUCAUCCAUACGGGCAAUAUCAACAUGUCAAUUUUCAAAGUCAUUCACUUGCUUAAAUUGGCAUGUUUUUAUAACCAAGAACAAUGAGACAUAUAUGUUUAUCACUCUGUUAUUAUCGUAAUGCAGUUGUAUUUAGAAGUUCAACUGUAUGCAAAAUCCAUGACGCCAACAAAGAUGUAACUCUUACAAGUAGUUGUGGGACUGAUUAAGCAAGAUUAAAAACUAAGACGGAAGGAAAUCCCAAUAAUAACAGAGAAUUUUGCUUCUUCCAGCACUCUAUUUAAUAUCUUGUUUCUGUUUUUGCCAUGGUUUUCACUAAAACUCCUAUCUUCCUCCAUAACAGAAUUAAUUGAAUGAAAAAAAAAAAGACCAUUUGGGCAAAUGACAGAAAAUAGAAACUUAGAGAUCUUAGAUCUCACAUAAAUAUGCAUCACAAAAUUAUGGCAAAAAGCUAAUCAAAAGAAGAACAAUUAAUUAGGAUAUAUGAAAUCAACAAAAAUCAAACCUUUCUUAGCCUGGAGAAGAUUUCUGCCAGUAAAAGCGUGCGAUUCAAAGAUACCAUCUGCAUCCAACUCAAGAACAUAUAUUUCACUACCAAACAAAAUCCCAAGUAGCAUAAAUAUAACUUUAAGAAUAGAAAAACCUUAAAUUACCUGAAAUGAAAGUUGCAGAAGACAAACCCAUCAAAAUAAACAAAAGAAAAAUAGAUAGAAACACUCUGUUGAACUCCACCAUUUCUCUCACAGCACCAGAAAAGAUCCAAUUUUUUUUGUGCUCCCAC
rnacentral:lncRNA from 1 species